UGCUGUUGGAGUGAUGUUUCUUGUGGAGUGAAAAUAGAGAGAAAGGGUGGUGAGUAGUGGGCGCAGGGCUGUUGCUGCAGCUGAACUCAUAUUCACCAGGCGGAGNNNNNNNNNNNNNNNNNGUGGUAUGAGCGGUGUUUGGCGGUGAAAGCCUCCCGGUUGAUGUGGUACUGGUGGAACAUCAGGUUCUGUAAGGCUUUUCCGGCGAUCUUGCCACGCCUUAUCAUCAUGUUGAGGUCCAGCAACAACUUUCUCUUGGAUAUGCCUUUUCGCAGCAUGAAGUAAACCACACGAACUAAGUUCCAAACUUUCUUGGCUAAAACCGGUAGAUUUUGUUCCAUUUUUGUAACUAAGAAAGUUAUUGGCUGUUGUUUAAUAGUAUAUGAAGAAGAUUGCAGAUAAAUUGUUGUGAAAUGGAGGGACGACGAAUGAGAGUACUUAUAGGAAACAAACACCGUUUGUCACUUUGUCCUUUGAUGUUAAGUUCUUUUUUUUUUUUUUUUUUUUCACAACAUUAAUCAUACCCAUUGGUUUGUCUUUUGAUUUUAAAGUUAACCAGACAGUGUGUGGGACCUUCGUAAUUUAAUAAGUUCACUUAGCUUUUUAUAUUUCACUUUACUUUAUGUACGCACUACUUGGGUUGUUGUCUUCUACUCUCGAUCUUUUCUUUUCCAUAAAUUAUUAGGAAGGGUUUGUGGCAGAUUUUGGAUUGGAUAAGAUUAUGGCCAUGUGUUAUUUGUUUAAUGUUUAACUUGAUCAUAUACAUACAUGGUUUCAUUAAUCUUGUAUAUGUAUAAUUGCAAAUGUUAUGUUUUAUUGAGUCAAAAUUAACUACUCUUAAUCGUGUUAAUCAUAUUUGUGUGUGAUUAUAUUUACAUAAAAAGACUAAAGUUUUUAGUUUAGACUAUGGAUGCAACAUUCCAAAUGUUAAAUUUCAAAAAUCUUUGCGAAUGAUAUAAUUAACUAUUGACGUAAAUAUUAGAAGUGCUAGGAACCAUAUUAUUGAUUUACUUAGGUUAUCAGGAGUGCUUAAGGCAUCAAAUAUAACCACAUCACCAACAACACUAUUCCAACAACAUUUGGAGAUGGUAGUCACACGACCAAGAAAAAAAAAAAGAGGAAGAGAUAAGUCACUUCAGCCUAAUUACACACACGUUACAAUGGUAUCAUAGCCUUAUCUAUAAAACAUAUAUGGCAAUAAGGCAUAUAGUGAUUGUAUGUCUAGUUUUUCAUAUUUUUAUUUUAAAAUUGCAAUUGUUGUGAUUAGGGUGAGAAUUUGAAAUGGACUGGACCAAAUUUACAGAAAUUGAUGGACCUUUGAUCGGUCGUCAGGUCCACGUCCAGUUCCAAAUUUUGGAUGUAAAAGUAAGCAUUUGGACUAGAACGGCACUCACACCGGUCAUGUUUUGCAAAACUUAGUGGAUCUUCAACCCGACCUAUUGACGUUUACCAACUCCAGAUCGAAAUCUGGUUUCCGAUCCGGUCCGAGUGCCCAAAUAUUUACCCAAGGUUGCGACUAACAAUUUAUUACAGCAUUGAGUUUCAAAAGAUAUUUUAGUUUUUUAAUUUAUGAGUUUAAAGAAUAAGUAACCUUUUACACAUGUAAGAAGGAUACACAACCUUCGAAUUCCAUGCUGUCGCUAUAACCAAAAGUAAGUCCCCCAUUUGGUGGUUUAAACUUCUAGUCGUAGAGGGGAGAGGGAAAAGUAAUUACUUAGCGUUAGAGGUUUGGUGACCACUGCCCCUCCACCACGUUGCAACUCCCACCUCAUUAUGAAAGCAGUUUUCCCAAGAAACCUCCGACCAUACCUCCAAUUAUAGGUGUCUUAUAUACUACCCUUGAUAAUUUUGCUUCAUUUAAUUUAAAACUAAGAAAAGGCUCGUGCCGUUGCACACGUCAUUCUUUUUUUUAAAAAAAAAAGAAAGUAGAAGAAUAUGAUAAGCGAAAUGAGGCGUAUAUAAGUUAAGGGAAUGUAUAAGUUAACGGAAGGUAGGACCUAACUUUUUUAAAAAAUUUAAUAUANNNNNNNNNNNNNNNNNNNNNNNNNNNNNNNNNNNNNNNNNNNNNNNNNNNNNNNNNNNNNNNNNNNNNNNNNNNNNNNNNNNNNNNNNNNNNNNNNNNNNNNNNNNNNNNNNNNNNNNNNNNNNNNNNNNNNNNNNNNNNNNNNNNNNNNNNNNNNNNNNNNNNNNNNNNNNNNNNNNNNNNNNNNNNNNNNNNNNNNNNNNNNNNNNNNNNNNNNNNNNNNNNNNNNNNNNNNNNNNNNNNNNNNNNNNNNNNNNNNNNNNNNNNNNNNNNNNNNNNNNNNNNNNNNNNNNNNNNNNNNNNNNNNNNNNNNNNNNNNNNNNNNNNNNNNNNNNNNNNNNNNNNNNNNNNNNNNNNNNNNNNNNNNNNNNNNNNNNNNNNNNNNNNNNNNNNNNNNNNNNNNNNNNNNNNNNNNNNNNNNNNNNNNNNNNNNNNNNNNNNNNNNNNNNNNNNNNNNNNNNNNNNNNNNNNNNNNNNNNNNNNNNNNNNNNNNNNNNNNNNNNNNNNNNNNNNNNNNNNNNNNNNNNNNNNNNNNNNNNNNNNNNNNNNNNNNNNNNNNNNNNNNNNNNNNNNNNNNNNNNNNNNNNNNNNNNNNNNNNNNNNNNNNNNNNNNNNNNNNNNNNNNNNNNNNNNNNNNNNNNNNNNNNNNNNNNNNNNNNNNNNNNNNNNNNNNNNNNNNNNNNNNNNNNNNNNNNNNNNNNNNNNNNNNNNNNNNNNNNNNNNNNNNNNNNNNNNNNNNNNNNNNNNNNNNNNNNNNNNNNNNNNNNNNNNNNNNNNNNNNNNNNNNNNNNNNNNAUAUAUAUGUGUGUGUGUGUGUGUGUGUGUGAAACCCUUUUCUACAACAUUAAGCUGUCCACGUCUAUAAGAAACUUCCCCACCGACCACUCUUCAUGCCUCCGUCUGUUAGUAGUAAGCUGUUUGCCUGCUCGCUUUCCUGCUUAAACGCCUCUUGGUCCCUACAUCAGUUGACAUGACAUUGGGAUUAUAGAAACGGAAUAGGAACUACCUUAUUAUUUUUAAAGAAACUACCUAAUAAUUUUUUUAAGAAAGUAAUAUCAAUGAACCCAGAUUUUUUAUACCUAAUAACCAUUUAGAAGAAGCCAAUGUAUAAAUAUAAUCCAAUCCAUCAAAAAGUAAACAUAAAAAAAACUAGAAACGUCAUUCAACGAUUCGAUAACUAACUCCCAUUACCUGCGGCCUCAAGACUUAAACUGUUGCGCCUGCCGACUUCAAUUCGCCAAUCACCGUUGAGCCAUUGCCCAAUCACCGUUUUUUGCCGUUCAUCCUCUCCAUCGACAAUAAUCAAUCCACAGGUUUAAACUCUUAGAUUUCUUGUAUACAUAAAAAAAAAAAAAUAAGUAACCAUUUUUUAGUGAUAGUUUAGUGACAUAUAUUGAAAAAAUAUGCUUAAAACAUAUCGAUGACGAGAAAAUUAUGGAUAAGUUUCAAGAUAUAAAACCUUAUAUAGUUCAUUUGUAAGUAUUUUAUUAGAACUAUUAAAAUGAUUUUUAAAUAUUUUAAGGCACACAACCUGACCCAAUCCGAUCCGCCAUCAUCACCACCACCAUAACCUUUUACUCUUUCAUAUUUUUUCAAAUUCGUUUAAAUUAUGAACCAUGUAAUUUUUGGUUCUAGAUUCGCCUUUGGACGAAAAUGACAAAGAAUAAAGAAAAUGAGUUUAAUUUAGCAACUUUUUAAAAAAUAUGUGUCGAAAAUCUGAAUGUUAAAACCUUCGGAUUGAUAAUAGAAGAUAAAAAAAAAAGUAUCAAAAUAGAAGAAUGUUGGAAAAUGAGAGACUAAAUUGUUAAUGGAUUAAAGAAACCGAACACUUUUGAUAAAAAAUAUAAAAAAAAAAUGUAAAAUCAGUUAUUAUAUGUAUAUAUGACAUGUAAGUAACGACAUACUGUGUAUUUUAUGAUACAUUUGCAUUAUUAAGGGUGAUUCAAUGUAAUUAAAUAAUUCCGUGGAUUUUUUUAGAGAAAUUAACUCUAAUAUUCCUAAAAAAUAUUACAUUUUAUUAAGUAAUUAAGUAAUUAAGUAAUAUUUUUAUAUAUAUAUAUAUAUAUAUANNNNNNNNNNNNNNNNNNNNNNNNNNNNNNNNNNNNNNNNNNNNNNNNNNNNNNNNNNNNNNNNNNNNNNNNNNNNNNNNNNNNNNNNNNNNNNNNNNNNNNNUAUAUAUAUUCCUUCAACUAUUAACUGUAAUGUUUGUGUUUCACUUUAUCUUUUUCUCGCCUCAUAAACACAGGUAAAUUUGAAGUAGCCGUGGACCAAAAUGCAAACAAGCAAAACAACGAAAAUAUUUAGUUGUGGAAAACAUGCAAUGUACGAGGGUGCGGACAUCAGCAUUUGGCAAACCAUAACACGUUUUUUUGGUGCAUGAUUAACGCGCCUAAUUAGGGAAAAAAAAGUCGUGUGUGUUGGUACGACCAAAAUGGGUUUGAUUGCUUUCGGGAGAUACGUUUCUUGCAAACUGAUUGUACUUGGUUUUUGCUUUUUCCUUUUCAAAGCCGGUCGUCCUCAUUUGCAUUCUGGUUUCGUGAGUAAAGUCGGGUGCCGUAUUUGGAUUAUUGAUUAAGGGUGCAUGAACACAUACAAUGAAACAAUAUGCUUUUGGGGAUAUAGGUAUGUAUCGUAGUCAAAUUAAUUGUUGAAGACAUAGAAAACAACAGAAAAUGACACAUAUGACCUAUGAACUUUCUAGGGUUUACUCUUUUAUUCACUUAAUUUUCUGUGGCUUUAUAAUGGAACAAAGUUGUGAGCAACCUGCCUUUUUAGUCUUGUUACCUAAACUAGCAAGUAGAUAUACCACAUGGCACAUAUAAAAACUAAUUUUACUAAUUUUAAAAGCAAAGUCAGCCAAAUAGUCAAAAUUAAAAGUCAAGUAAGCCAAAGUUCCCCAUCUUGUCUCCUUCAACGUGUCACACAAUCAAUUGAGAAAUUCAAUCGGAAUUUGAGUACAAAAUCCGGAUAAACACAAUCGUUGAUUUGUCUUAAAUAUGGAAAAACCUUAACCAUGUGAUUUGCAAAAACCUUCAAGACCUCAUUAACAAUGGCAUCCAGUAAAUUGAUUUGUAAAGAAAUUUCUAAAUAGCUCCAAAGAAACGACAAUGGUGGUAUUAUCAACAACAGUAGGAACGGGCGGGGGUGGGGUUGAAACUGUAGCGGCAGUAGAAGGGCAACGACGGCGACAGGUGGUGUUGGGAACGACGAUGGAGACAGCAGUUAGCGAUGAUUGAGUGUUGCGAUUAGGGCUGUGCAAAAAAACCGCACAAACCGUCUGCACCGCACCAAACCGCACCGCAUAAUGCUAUUUAGAAUUUCGUGGUGCGGUUUGUGGUACAUCAUUUUAUCAAACCGCACUGUGCGGUCUGGUUUGCGGUUUGUAUUUAUAGAAAUGCGGUUCAAACCGCACCGCACCGCAUGUUAUAUAUAUACUUUUUUUUCUUUACUUUUUUAUAACUUCAAAUCACGAUUUAGAAAUGAUGUAUAUAAAUAUAUUUCUUAUAAUAACCAAAUAUCUAUAACGUAACAUUAAAUGACUAUUAGAUCAAGAUCUCAUGGUUUACAAGAGUAUAGCAACUAUAACGACAAUUUAAAGUCAUAACAAUGAUACUUACAAAACUAUACUAGCAUGAGUCACAAUAAUAAAAACGAUUUAACUCGAAAAUUGUAUUUGUUUUUAUAAAAUGAAAACAAUCAAUUUUUUUAACCCGGUCGGGUUUUUGUUUUUUUUAUAGAUUUAAUGUUGAACAACUCAUCAAACCGCAAUUAAACGGCAUAAUCCGCCCGCAUCAAACCGCACCGCAUCAUGCGGUUUUGAACAUCUCUGGUGCAGUUUGCGGUUUCUAAAAUAUUCAAACCGCAUAUGCGGUGCAGUUUGUGGUUUUGACUCGAAACCGCACCAAACCGCACCACGCACACCCCUAGUUGCAAUGACAAUGGAGGAUUUACUGCUUCGUUUACAGUUGGCUGAUCGAAGAAGGACCAAGGGAAAACAAUGGCGGUGAUGGAGCAUUUGUGGUGGUGGGUUACGAAUAAAGGAGGCGGAGAGUCUGCCACCAUCGACUGUGGUGGUCCUCUUCGCUGGUUGAGGAGACAAUGGAGAGUAACGUAGGUGGUGCCUCGUAGCUAGCUCGAUAGAAUCAGGAAAGGAAUGAUGGUGUGUAACGCCCCGAUUCUCAGGUAUUGUUUAAAUAAGAAUUUUUGGGUUAAGCUCUCCUCGACGAGUUGGCUGACCUACUCGUCGAGUAGCAGCAAAGUGGGAUCGCGUGUUAAGUGACCUACUCGACGAGUCCAUAUUGGGACUCGACGAGUAGGAGCUGUCAGAUGAAAACUUAAAUCCUGGGGUUUUCACCUCUAUUUAAAGGAGCCUCAGCCUCCUUUGGCCUCUUUGCAGUCUUUGAGAGCCCCUUAAAAGCCUAAUAUGCGUGUGUGUGUGUGUGUGUGCCCAUUGUGUGUUUGAAGCUUGAAAAGAGGAUCUUUAGAGGGAGAAGGCUUGGAGGAGCAGGAGAUUGGAGCAAGUAGAUUGUGGGAAUCAACUCCUAUCUCAGUUAUCAUCUUCCGAAGGUAACCUCAUCGCCUUUUUCCUUGUGAAUCUCUUCUAUUGGUUGAUUUUUAGGGUUUUUGGAGAGAUCUUAAGUUGGAAAGAUGAGCUAAGGGCUAGAUCUGAGGUUGUAACUUCAGAUCUGGACCAUCCUUGGAUUCUAGAAGCAUAAAGUUUCAGUUUUGGUCAUGAUUAAGGUCCCUCUUGAGCAUAAAGUUCCAUUAAGAACUUAAAAUAGGCAUUUAGAGCCUUUAAAGCCAUGCAUGCACGUAAAGUUUGCAACUUUACAUGAUAAGCAUGUCCUAGAAGCUUGGAUCUGUGAUUUGGAGCCGCUGCAUGGCUCAAAACAAGUCUAUCUGCAAAGAGGACUGAAUGGACUCGGCGAGUCGCAAGGUUGACUCGGCGAGUCACAUGAAGAUAACUGUGAACUCGACGAGUUGGAUGAACAACUCAGCGAGUCCGAUGAUUAUUACCAUAAGACUCGACAAGUUGAAGAACAACUCGACGAAUCGGAUGAGUUUUCCCUAGGAUAUAUAUGCUUGAGUAUCCGUCGAGUUGCAAGGAGGGAACUCGACGGGUGACCUUAAAGGUUGGACAAGAAUCGAAGGAACUUGACGAGUGCGGCGAGUUGUAAUGUGCUUCAAGGAACUCGACGAGUUGGGGGUCAACAUGGACCGUUGACCUUGACUGAGGACUUUGACUUUGGUCAAGGGUUGACUAAUGGGUUAUGGAGUACCUUAUAAGGUUAAAGACUUAUGAGUAUAUUGUACUAUGAUCAUAGGUGGUGGAGCUUGUGUCAAGUGAUCCGAGAGUUGGAGUUUAUCUUCUGAGUCGACAUCUGCAAGGUGAGUUAUCCUCACUAUAUCGAUAGGGUCUACGGCACCAAGGCCGGCCCUUUAGUUGUUAUUGUUAUGGUAUGCUACAUGUGGUUAUGAUCUGUUAGAUCGGAAUCAGGGUUGACAACAUGUUAUGCUCUUAUGAUUCGUAAGGAUUGGUAUGUUACUGACCUGCUAGGUCAGUACUCUAGUUACGAGAGAAUUCUAUGAUUGAUGAUCAGUGUAAUAGAUAUGUUUGAUGUUUGUAUAUGCCAGUAUAUAAUAGAUAUGUGCACAUAGUUAUUUGAUUGAGUGGUUGGGUUGAGGCGGUCCUGCUUUGUGCUGAAGGCCAACAUACCUUAUGAGCGGUCCGGUGAGACUGCAGGCCCAUGAGGCAGACCAGUUAUCCUGAGGGCUCGGGAUAUAUUCAGAUAGACUGUAGGCCCAGUUGGGCGGUCCAAUCAGGCCGAUGGCCAGUAUGCAUGUUGAUUGAUUGAUUGUUACUGAUAUGACAUUGUCACUGUGGUAUUGGUAUUUUGGGGGUAGCUCAUUAAGCCCUCGGGAUUACAGUUUUCAGUUUAUUGUUUCAGGUACUUCAGGAGAUCAUGGCAAGGCGAAGGCGUGACCGUACCGCUCCUCAUCCUUAUGUUAUGAUUUUGGGACACUCUGAUGGAUAUUGAUUUGAAAACAUUUUUUUGUAAAUGAUGCUAUUUGAUUUUUAAUUAUAAUUGAAAAGUUUAAAUUUGGCCCAAAAUUUAUGGAUGUUACAAGUUGGUAUCAGAGCCUUAGUUUGAGUGAAUUGGAGGAACACUUGUGUGAAUCUAGUCUCAAAUCAAGGAGAUUUUCAGAACGUAAGUUUUUUUAAAAUGGUUUUCAAAAUAAAGGAUGGAGGAUGCAGAGGGUACGAUCAGCCGGAGCCUGUAAGUAAACCCCAAAAUACCAUACAGUUAUUUGAUAUUCUGAUAUGUUAGAACAACAUGUUAGUGAUAGGCUAGGGAUCUUUAGGAAUCACAUGAUAGAUUUUCCUGAUUAGAUGAUGCCUAUUAGCCUAAGGAUUUCUUGUAUAUGGAAUUGACAUCAUAACUGUAGAUGUUUAAUGUAUGCAUCACGAUUGUGCAUAAUAAAGACCUUAUAGCCUGAGAAUGUUGAUUCGGCUUUCGGGUAGGAAUGGAUAUUCGAAUGUCUAUUGGGUCCAGCGUUAUGUGCAGCUAGCAUGCACUAGCGCUGCAGGGGAUGAUGGAAGUUUCAUGGGUACAAGAGUCAUGAGAAGUGGUGAGACUAGAUGCGAGAUAGUUGGUAUUCCUCUAAAAGUGAGGGUUGAGCGCAUUUCUAUGUUGAGUAUAGUAUUAGGGCGUUGUGGUGAUACUUGAGACAAAUAUGGGUAGGUGUGUUAGGUAGUAUGGGCUCGUAAUACUAGAAGCACAGGACCCAUACGCGUAGCAAGGAAGUCACAUCCCCUAGGAUUUGUGGGUUUUGGUCUCCCGAUAUUAUGUUGUUUAUCUGAUGUCCUGAGUUUACCUUUCAUUAUGGUGGUGACGAGACAUUUUGCUACUAGGUCCAUAUUAGGAUCAGGGUUUGGAGACGGAGGGUCAGAGGUGUCGGUAGCACCUGAGCCCGUGGUUUAGAUAGGGACUGAGGAGCUGGAUGCUAGGAUCCGGAAGAUUCUGCAUGAUGAGGUCAUUGCGGCUUUCCGAGCGCUGCUACCAGAGAUGUUUGGGUCGAUUAAGACCGCGAUGGUUGAUUAUUUUGAUGAGCGAUAUGCAGCUUUGGCAGAGACAGCAGCCGUUGCAGCCACUUCAGUUGUAACUACGGUAGGGGUUGGAGGAGGAGUCGGCAGGGAUUUCCAGUACCGGGACUUUGAUAAUACGAAGCCCCUGACAUUUGAUGGUACACAGGAUGCGAUCAGGGCAAUGCGGUGGUUGUCUGACGUGGAGGGCUGUUUCUUCACGUGCUCAUGUCCUACUGACUAGAAGGUCAGGUGUGCUCUGAACCUGCUUAGGCUCGGGGCAAAGGACUAGUGGAGAUUAACGACAGGUUCAUAUUCUGAUGAUCAACGGGCUGCUAUUACUUGGGAGCAGUUCCGGGAUAUGUUUCACACCUGCUACGUUCUGCGCAUGGAACGGGAGCGGCUUGCUCAGGAGUUUUUGACAUUGAGGCAGGAUGGGGAGUCCGUGAUGGAGAUUACCCGGAUUUUCACUGACAGGGCUAUGUUUUUCCCGGAGUUUGCAUCAGAGCAGUAUCAGAUGGCUCGUUAUCUGAGUAUGCUCAAGACGGAUAUACGGCAGUUUGUGGAUACACAACAUUGUGAUACCCUCCUGGAUCUACAGGAAGCGACGAGGCGGCGUGAGUUGGAGAUAGAGCUGCAGCUGAAGCAACAACGUCAGGCACCGACACAGUCUCAGCUGGCGCCUAAGCGGUCUAAGACCGCUGAUCCUCGAUCUAGGAGUCAGCAGACUCACAUUUGUGGAAAGUGUGGCAGGGGUCAUUCAGGAGUUUUUCGAGCGGCAGGUGGGUGCCACAAAUGUGGCAACGAGGGGCACUAUGCCAGGGACUGCCGUCAUUCCGCCCCUCCAGCAGAUAUGAGGAUUUGUUACCAUUGUCAUCAAGUUGGUCAUGUGAAGACCAACUGUCCGCAGCUCGCCGCCAAGCCGCUGGGUCCCGCGCCAGCUACUGUGAGGAUUGGGGAUGGGAGGCCAGUCAAGGUGGAACCUCCAAAGGCUCAGGGUGGCGCCUUCCAGCUCAUGGUCGAGGAGGCCAAGGCAGCACCGGAUGUGGUUGCUAGUACGUUUCUUUUCUCUGUCUCAGUUAUUGUAUUGGUGUUAUGCUUAUUGAUUGUACCUAUGGUUGGGUAUGUUUUUAGUGAAUUCCUUAACCGCUUUGGUAUUAUUUGAAUCGGGGGUGAGUCAGUCGUUUGUAUCUCAGACCUUCUCUAGAGGGUUCAGUGUACCGAUAGAUGAUCUUGAGUGUCCGUUGCGAGUUUCGAUCGCCAACGAGCAUGGGGUUUUUGCUUCUUCGGUCUACCGGGGAUGCGAGUUGGAUAUUUUCGGGGUGUCCUUCCCGAUAGAUUUGAAUCCUAUCCCCAUGGGGGAUGUAUGCAUGAUUGUAAGGAUGGAUUAACUUAGCGGUUUUGGCGCCAUGAUCGACUGUGAGGGAAGCGGGCGGUNAUGAUCGACUGUGAGGGACAGCGGGUGGUGGUUCGAACCCCAAGUGGGGGAGAACUGGUAGUAUAUGGUGAAGGCACCAGGUCGGGAUCAGGGUUUUGUUCGGCAGCCAGGGCUCGACAGUAUAUUCAGCACGAGUGUGCCGGUCCUUUGGCAUAUGUGGUAGAUACGUGGGUUAGAGAGCAUCUCUCAGUUUCAGAGGUCCCGAUGGUUAGAGAGUUUGUUGAUGUGUUUCCAGAGGAGUUACCUGGAGUGCCUCCAGUGUGGCAGGUUGAGUUCAGGAUUUAUUUUGUGCCAGGUGCGGCCCCUAUCGACCAGGCGUCGUACCGUUUGGCACCGCUGGAGAUGCAGGAGCUAUCAUCUCAGUUGCAGGAGCUGCUAGGUAAGCAGUUUAUUCAUCCGAGUAGCUCACCCUGGGGAGCACCGAUCCUUUUCGUCAGGAAGAAGGAUGGUUCGCAUAGGAUGUGCAUUGACUAUAGGGAGCUGAACCAGUUAACGGUGAAGAACUGUUAUCAGCUCCCGAGGAUAGACGAUCUUUUUGAUCAGCUGCAGGGAGCAUCUUGGUUUUCCAAGAUUGAUUUGAGAUCAGGAUACCACAAGGUCAGGGUGAGGGAGGCAGACGUGGAGAAGACCGUGUUUCGGACUCGUUAUGGUCAUUACGAGUUCGUGGUGAUGCUGUUUGGGCUCACCAAUACGACAACAGUGUUCAUGGAUUUGAUGAACUGAGUCUGUAGAUCGAUGCUCGAUCACUCGGUCAUAGUGUUCAUAGAUGAUAUCUUGGUGUAUUCCAAGACCCGAGAACAACAUGAGGAGCAUCCUAGGGAGCUGCUGGAGGUGUUGAGGCGAGAACGGAUGUGUGCCAAGUUCUGAAAAUGAGAGUUUUGAUUACGAGAGGUCCAGUUCCUCGGAUAUCUCGUUAACCAGGAGGGGAUUUUGGUCGAUCCUGACAUGGUGGAGGUGGUUAUGUAGUGGGAGACUCCAAAAUCUCCCUCAAACUUCAGGAGUUUCUUGGGUUUAGCAGGGUAUUAUCGGAGAUUCAUUCCUGAUUUCUCCAAGAUUGUCGUACCCCUCACUCGUCUAACAAGGAAGGGGGUGGAUUUCCGGUGGGGCCCUGAGCAGCAGAGGGCAUUUGAGACCCUCCGGCAGUGUUUAUGCGAGACGCCAGUGUUGACACUCCCCGAGGGAGUGGAGGAUUUUGUGGUAUUUUGUGAUGCAUCCAUCAUAGGAUUGGGGGCAGUCCUCAAGCAGAUAGGACGGGUAGUAGCCUACGCAUCGCGGCAGCUGAAGCUGCAUGAGACGAGAUACCCUACGCACGAUCUUCAGUUGGGAGCGGUGGUUUUCGCUCUCAAGAUGUGGAGGCACUAUCUGUACGGGGUCCGUUACACUAUAUACACGGAUCACAAGAGUUUGAGACACAUCAUGGAUCAGCCGAACAUGAACAUGAGGCAGCGCAGGUGACUAGAUGUGGUCAAGGACUAUGAUUGGGAGAUCCUUUACCAUCUUAGUAAAGCGAACGUGGUUGCGGAUGCUCUGUGCCGCAAGUCAGCUGGGUCCUCGACCCUAGCCAGGUGUGUGAGGAUAGCGGUGGAUUCCCCGCUGGUGGGUUUGGUUAGGGAUGCUCAGAUUGAGGGUAUGAGACCAGAGAACUUGAAGUUAGAGAGGAUUAAAGGCAAAAGCGUCCGGUUUGUUCAGGAUAGCCGCGGAUUGUUGACCCGUUACGGUCGGGUUUGGGUUCCGAUGUCCGGAGGGGUCCGGCAGAUUGUGAUGGAGGAGGCUCAGAAGUCUCAUUUUUCGAUUCACCGGGGAGCCACUAAGAUGUACCGUGAUUUGAGUUCAAGUUAUUGGUGGCCUUGUUGGGUUUUGAGCAUUCUAACACUCCUAAGUGUACAUGCAACCCUAAAUACCUUGGAUCUAUGUUUUCUCUAUUAUACAUGCAAAUAAGAACUUCCAAGGUAUUAUCCUAAUCUAGCAUACAAAACAAUGAGUGUAACAAGAUAGAAUACAUACCUCUUUGAUGUAGAAAGUCUUCAUGAAGCUUGAGUGCCUAGCCCCAAUAGUGUGGAAGCCUCAAAUGGAAUCACAAUCACCAAAACACUUAGAAUAACUUGAGAGAAUUCUACAACUCAUGAAAUCGGCUAGCCCUUUCUUACUCUCACUUUAGUGGUCGAUUUGGUCAAGAAUAAGAUGCUUAUAUAGUUAGGGUUACACCAUGUAAGCCCUAACUGACAUGGCCUUUCAUUUCCAUGAUCCAUGGGUACAAAUACACCAUGGAGCAUCCAUGGACCAUCCUAUGGGUUUUAGCCCAACUUGAUUAUCCAUGGAGCAUUAGCCCACUAUACAAGUAUGGAUGAUUUACACAAUCAACCCAUAUAUUUAAUUAGUCUUCUUUUGAUCACUUAAUUAAUCCUAGAUUAAUUCUUGAUCAAUACUAAUUAAAUAAUCUUAUUAUUCUUAUUAUUAAUAUACUAGAACUUAUAAUAUAUUAAUAACCAUAAGUGUCUUAUUUCUCUCAUUAUAGUCUAUCCAAGUGCAUGAUGGUAUGCAACCCAAAUGGACCAUGCCGGGUCGGGUCAAGUCUUACCAAUUAUAGUUAUGGACUUAGACAUUAAUCCAACAGUCUCCCACUUGGAUAAGUCUAAAACUAUUAUUGCGUAUGACUUCAGGAACCAACUGGCAAUCGUAGCUCUCAAAAGCUUCUGUCGAACUCUGACCUUGUAGAUGAACUCUGACCUUUGUCAAUGACUUGUCCAUUAGAUAAGGGAUCAUAUAUUCCUCCAUUCUAGAUAUCAUAUGGACUGAGACAUGGAUUAUAAUCAUUCUCUCUGUCCAUUUGUUGUUUCCCGAUUUCCGAUUUAUGACGACUGACUAAUUGAACAAAUCAAAUCAGUCCUGGCCCGGCCGAGCACUUCCAUUUGUCAUCAUCAAAUCAUCGAGGGGCCCACAGAUAUCGCUUUUAUCCCGAAGGUAAAAGGAAUGGAUAAACUUCGACUCAUAUGGCUUGUUCUACUACUUGUUGAAUCAUACACAAAGGCACGUUUUAUAGCACCGAGUUACCAAAUGCGUUUUCGUGCAAUCAAUGUACUAUCAACUCAUAGUAACAACUCAUAUCUCUAGGUUUGAAGAAUAUAAGAUAUUAUCGUCUCAUGAUCACUCGUGAUAAAAUCCAUGAAGUGAUUCCAAUGAGCGCGGGUUGAAUCCAAUACUCAGAACUUAUGAGCACUCAUGAGUGUUGUAGCCCUUUGUCCAACACCUUAGACCUCUACAAGCCAACCCAUGACAGUCUUAAUUCAUAUCUACUUCCAACAUAUGACCGACUGUGGAUGGUUUGAAUAACUUAGUCAUUCCGGAAGAAUAACCCAGUUUAUUCGGGAAGUCAAAACAUGCAAAAUGAAACACAAUAAUAAUUGAAUCCAAUAUGGUAUCAACCCUUUGAACAUAAAUAAAACACCUUUUAUUUAUCACCAUAUGAUUACACAUUAUUCAUUGUAUACUGUUUCAGCUAUCAACUUUAUUCUUGAAUUUAAAACAAUAGUUGUCCCAUGCUCCAAGCAUGUACACUAUGUUUUCUUAAACACUAGUCAUGCCACACACCAAGUAUGCAUACUAUGUUUGUCUAUGAUCUUUACUUUGUGAACUAGAUCAAUUGAACAUAACUUCAAUGAUUCUCUUUUCACACUCCCAAAUCCUUACUGCAAAUGCAAGAAUUCCAAAUUCAUGCCAUUUACUGAAAUCUGUUAGAUUCUAAACUUAUAUGCAUUGAUCCUCUUGUAAUGAUUAUGCACAAAGUCACAAAGACUUGGCAACAAUCAUUACAGAGUAUUCCAAAGGAGAUCAACUCCUUGGAAAUAUCCUUCUUGCAUUAAGUUUCCUUAAUCUUACACAGAUUGAAAAUUCUAACUUUGAAACAUUUCCAGAUUCCAUUUUGACUAUCACUUCUGAACAAGAGUUGCCUCCUUACAGAUUAUGUCAAUAUGGUCCUUCCAGAAUUAUCACUAUACUUCCAAUUGUCCUUGAGUAACCAAUCUUUGGUAAACCUUAGAUUGUCCUCGACAAUUGUUUAAUCCUUUUAGUCAUAUCCAGUUCUAAACCUUUUCCCUUCUUAAUGCCCCAGGCAUUUGGAAAAUUUUAGAACGGAUGAAUAUAGCACAUGUAAUCGAUCCUAUAUCCGAAGCAUAUGGGACACGAUUCAUGAUGUCUUACAUAAAGACUAAACCAGUCUUUUGCUAUAAUAUUUCCAUUUCAAUUUGCCAAGUUCUCAUAAUUCAGAUUAUGAAAAGGGAUGCCGUAAUCAUAAUCGAAUUUUAGAACGCAAAUAAUGGACCCAUAUACAGAAUUUCCUUAUGUUGAGCCAUUCCAACAUGAAAUUCAUAUAUAUCCUUGACUAAAUGAUUAAAACCUCACGAUCUAAGCUUAUAGAUUUGAGAUGAAGCAUAAUUUCCUCUCCCUUAAUUAUAGCAAAACAACUUUUUCCCAAUUGAAACUUUUGUUUUCUAUAAUUAACAUUGCUAACUUGCAAUACUUAUCAUAAUUAUCAUGCUCCCACUAACAUGAUGAUUAUUAGCAUAACACUUAUGCUCCCACUAGCUUUGACAUGUACUCAGAAAUCAGCUGGACAGUCUGAAAUUUAGAUUCAUACACCCUUUCCGUAGAUAGCUCACCUGUGUGUCUAAGCAAUUUCAAGAACCAUGAAAAGGGAUACCGUAAUCAUGGUCUCAAUUGCUUAGGCAUUUGCCAUUUCUCACAAGUCCAUGUUAGUGUGCCGGUUAACCACACGCGCUCCACUAACGACUUUUGAAAAUGCAAAUAACACAAUUGAUAUCUUCGUAAAAUCUACUUAGUGAAAGCGUUUCCUCACCAUCAUUUUCAUGAAUCGGAGAGAAACCUUAUGACACUUAGAUUUAUAUGGUGUAUGAGUUCCUACCCAUAUGAAUUUGUCAAACCAUAAUCACAAGACAAAGAUAAUGACAAAUCCAAAACCAUAUGGAUUGAACUCAAUCUUAACUUCUUGCCACCUGGCAGCUCAAGGGCCUGCCAUUGCUUCCAAGUUGUUAUGCAACAAACUGAGAACUCUAAGAACUCAUAUGCAAAGCCAACUUUAACUGGAAUGGGCACAGAUAUGUCAACACAAUAGAUUAUAAACCUCAAAUUGUGUGCUAGUGAAGAACUUUAGGUUUUAUUCUUGAUUAUUUCUUGAGACUUUCAAGACCUUUAAGACUCCCACUGUCCUCUUGACAUAUAAGACUCCCUUGUCAAACAUCCAAGAGAUAGUGCGGAUUCUAAUCAAGAAAAACACUUUACCCAAUUGGCCUAAGUUGGUCUUUGUUUUAUCCAAAACAUCACAACUUACCAAUUUCAAAUGUACAAGAGUAGAAAACUUUUACUCUUACAUUUGACAAGUGUUUUAAACCUUCUUUAAGACAUGUCACUCAAAUGACAAUCUUGGAGUAUGACUCUAAGACUUGUAUUGGAACGAAGUAUGACUCAUCUUCUUGAUUUAACCAUUUCAACAAUUCAAGUUCCUCUUCUUAGUCAUAAGAAUGCACUAAGAUUUCCUUAGAGAACUAAUUUUGAUAUGGUUUCUUAAUCAUUAAGAUGAUCACAAAACUGAUACUAAAGUACUCUCCCAUCUUUUCAGAUUUGAGAAACUUUUAUCCUUCUGCCUUAUUUGAUUCUUCUUAUCGAUCUUUAGUGGUGGACUUAAUCAGUGCACAAGAAUGUGUACUCGAUCCCUAAGUCCUUUACUUGACUCACACAUCCAUGUGAACAAGUAAUUAGUCUUAAUUUUCCAAAACUUGAAAGUUCUCAUUCAUCAUGCUAUACAACUUGCAUGAUUCCAAGUUCCGGUCCAAUUGAAACUUGGGUGAUGAGAAUCUUUCCUUAUUUGGUAAAUUUAGACAUUACCACAAAUGAAAGAAUCAAUUUCAUAUUUCCACUCUUGCUAUUAUUGGAGUCAUAUAAGCAACAAUUUUUUUUUCUCAAAUGCCAUUGUAAAGAUUUUAAAAUAAAUAAAAUCAAAAAUUUCCUUUUAUUUUAAAACUUUGCGGAAAAACUAUCCUUACAAUCCAUAUGAAAACUUGUUGUUAUCUAUUCCUAAGCAAUAUCUCAUAACUCCUAAGAAGUAGCUCAAGAAUCCGAUUUUUCAAACUAUGCGAUAGAAAUCCAUCUAUGCGAUCAGAUUCAGCAUAUUCUUCCUUUAAGUUUCUUCACUUUCCUUUGAUUCUUAAAACAUCACCAUGUGACCCAGUCACAUCAUGUAUCAAGAAUCUCAAAAUAGAAACUUAACAGAGUUAGAUAGUGGAUUUUACCUGAAGUUGAGUCAAACUUAUUGACUUUAACAUCCUUAGGUAAAUUUGGCAGCUUCGCAACCAAUGCCCCUUCCUUUGGCAAUAUAAACAUAUGGACCCUUUGAUAAUGGUACACGGGACUAUCACAGACUUAGCUUUUCUCUUUACCAUUUGGUCAACCGAGUUGACUAUGGCCGAUCCCUUUCCAUUGGGAAGAGAAUGCUUUACUGGAUAUCCAAUGUCAUCAUUGUCAAUGUCCAUAAAGUUUUAGGAAGUUGAUCUUAGCAAAUAGAUAAGAUCAUUAAGGGUCUUGUCAUAGUCUGUUUCAUAGGUGUCCCAAAGGAACUCACUAUGUGACUUAGAAAGUGGUUGAACCACCAACUUUCUCAAGACUUUGACACCCAACUCUCCCGGUUUGUCAAUAUGUGACUACAUCUACAAGAUGUGACCACACCUAGACCUUGCCUUGCCAAUAGGGCCUGAGUGACCUUAAACUUUUCAAGAACUUGUGGGUUAGGGAGAAUAAUUUGAAGAGGUGAAGAAGUAUGAUAUCCAUGGGACAUCAUCUUCAUUAGGAAACCUUGUUUCAAGAGAUUUGGGAAGAUCAUAGGUGUCUAAACCAGACAUCUUUUGGGAGAUAUUCAAGAUAGUUGAUUUAAAGUCCUUAAUAUGACACCCAAUAUGAAAUAUUAAGGCUAGGACCCAACAAACUAUUUUAUAACUUAGAAGAGGUAUGCCGUAAUCCAAGCUAUAAAAUAUUUGAAGGUAGGUGAAUGACGAUUCACCAAUUUCCACCAAGAUAAACGAAAUGUAUUAUUAGGUUUUAAUUGGUUUUGAAACUCCUAGAUCUUUGAGAUUCAUUGAACUUUUCAAAGGCAUGUUUCAAUCUCGAGUGUGCCCUUCAGGUUUUGUGACUGGGAUGCCGAGGAUCACAAAACAAGGUGUGAAGUAACCAUGCAAAUCACUUGGUACCCUUAAUAAAUUACCCCUCAAUCGAUGUGCCGGUUAACCACACACGCUCCAUCGAUACUAUGAUAAAUAUUAAGUCACCCUUUACCUACCUUGUUAAGUCCAAGUUAGUGUGCCGGUUAACCACACACGCUCCACUAACGACUUAGACAAAGUGUAAAGUGUAAUUUCAUGGAUUAGCACCUUAUUCACAUUUUUCCUAAGUAACUAAGAUUGGGUAUUAUUAAGAGUUUAGUUACUUAGUAUUAUCAUUAAUACUUUUAAUGAAGGGAGAAUUCUAGUCCUGUCAAACCCGUUCGGCUAACGACCCUCCACCAGUCAAGCAAGCGGUGGGUGAGAGUGGACACCCAUUAAGUUGCCAUUUUAUAGGCAACAACCUUAUACCCACCUUAUAGACCGGCUUCGUGAAUGAGGCGUACUAGCGGUAAGACUGACUUUACUCUUAUACAUAUAUAUAUUAUUAACUUAUAAUAUUAUAAAGUAUAAGGGUUGAAUUUUAACUUUUAAAAUUCUAAGGGCUAACUUGGAAUUAAAGUAUUCAUACUUGAAAACUUUUCAAAUUCCAAAACUUGAGGGCAAGUUUUGAAACUAUUCAAAACUAAUUAAUUCCAUAACUUAUGUGUUUAAAGUAGUUUUAAUCCAAAAACUCUUCAAGUUCCAUAACUUGAGGACAAGUUAUGGAAGACUUUAAACUAAUAAAAGAACUAACUUUUUCUUUAUUUUAUAACUUAUGGAUUUAAUUAUGGUUACAUAUUUUUCUUUAAUGAAGUGACUCUUGAACUUCCAUAACUUGAGGACAAGUUAUGGAGUCAAAAAAAAUUAUUCAAUGACACAAGACUCUUCAUUUUGUAACCAUUGCCAACUUUUAUGAAUUUUAUGAGUCUUUAAUGUGACUCUUCAUGUAACUUGAGGACAAGUUACACAAACACAUUUUAUACUCAACUCUUAGAUUAAAAUGGAUUGAAAACAACUAUUUCACUCAACAUUUCUAUUAAUCUAAGCAACUCAUAAGAACAAGAUAAUUCAAAUCAAACUUUUUCAUGUAAUUAGUCUAAACCUUAAACUAAUACAAAACAUGAAUCUAUUGACAAUUAUCUUUGAAAAUGGAUUAGCAUGAACAUUACCACAUCAAAAACAAGUUUAUAAGUUCAAAAACAACUUAGGGUAAUGUUCCUAGUCCAUUUCUAGCCAAAAAACUCGAAAAUAUGCUGUCUGGGGGUCCAACUCGUCGAGUGCAUGAACAAACUCGGCGAGUUGGAUCGAAUUCAUCACUUUUUAGGCAUGGACUCGCCGAGUCUCCUGAUGGACUCGCCGAGUCUGAUGGCCAGACAGCAACAGAUUCGUUUUUUCAGCUUCUAUUGCAGGUAUAACAAGAAAACAAGCCUAGGCUCUGAUACCACUGUUGGGUUUUGAGCAUUCUAACACUCCUAAGUGUACAUGCAACCCUAAAUACCUUGGAUCUAUGUUUUCUCUAUUAUACAUGCAAAUAAGAACAUCCAAGGUAUAAUCCUAAUCUAGCAUACCAAAACAAUGAGUGUAACAAGAUAGAAUACAUACCUCUUUGAUGUAGAAAGUCUUCAUGAAGCUUGAGUGCCUAGCCCCAAUAGUGUGGAAGCCUCAAAUGGAAUCACAAUCACCAAAACACUUAGAAUAACUUGAGAGAAUUCUACAACUCAUGAAAUCGGCUAGCCCUUUCACUUCACACACUAGUGGCCGAUUUUGGUCAAGAAUAAGAUGCUUAUAUAGUUAGGGUUACACCAUGUAAACCCUAAUUGACAUGGCCUUUCAUUUCCAUGAUCCAUGGGUACAAAUACACCAUGGAGCAUCCAUGGACCAUCCUAUGGGUUUUAGCCCAACUUGAUUAUCCAUGGAGCAUUAGCCCACUAUACAAGUAUGGAUGAUUUACACAAUCAACCCAUAUAUUUAAUUAGUCUUCUUUUGAUCACUUAAUUAAUCCUAGAUUAAUUCUUGAUCAAUACUAAUUAAAUAAUCUUAUUAUUCUUAUUAUUAAUAUACUAGAACUUAUAAUAUAUUAAUAACCAUAAGUGUCUUAUUUCUCUCAUUAUAGUCUAUCCAAGUGCAUGAUGGUAUGCAACCCAAAUGGACCAUGCCGGGUCGGGUCAAGUCUUACCAAUUAUAGUUAUGGACUUAGACAUUAAUCCAACAGGCCUGGCAUGAAGUGAGAUAUCGCUUGGUUUGUUGAGAGGUGCUUGACCUGUAGGAUGGUCAAGGCCAAGCAUCAGAGGCCGCAUGGUAAGUCGAAGCCUCUGGAGAUUCCCAUAUGUAAAUGGGAACAGAUCGCGAUGGAUUUCAUCAUGAAGUUGCCGAAGACGUCAAGGGGGUUCGAUGCUAUAUGGGUCAUCGUGGAUCGAUUGACCAAGAGUGCCCAUUUCCUAGCCAUACGCGAGAGUUCGUCGGUAGAGAAGUUGGCCGACCUCUACGUCAGAGAGACUGUCUCUCGCCAUGGGGUUCAAGUUUCUAUCGUUUCCGAUCGAGAUGUCAGGUUUACUUCCCGCUUUUUUCAGAAGCUCCAUGAGGAACUGGGUACGCGACUGUAUUUUAGCACAGAUUUCCAUCCGCAGACCGAUGGGCAGAGUGAGCGGACCAUUCAGACCCUCAAAGGUAUGUUGAGGGUGUGCGUCAUUGAUUUCGGUGGGAGUUGGGAUUCCCACCUACCGCUUACAGAGUUCGCCUAUAACAACAGCUAUCAUUCUAGUAUUGGCGCCCCGCCUUUUGAGCUGUUGUAUGGCGGAAGUGUACCACCCCAGUCUGUUGGGGCGAGGUUGGGCAUAGGGAGAUGGGUCGGAUAGAGGUAGUUCUGCAAAUUACCGAGAUGAUACAGCAGAUUAGACAGCGACUGCAGACCGCUCAGAGUCGGUAGAAAAGUUAUACCGACCGACGUCGAUCUGAGCUAGAAUUUCAGGUGGGUGACAUGGUUCUCCUGAAGGUCUCACCCUAGAAGGGUGUGAUCAGCUUCGGAAGAGGGGAAAAUUGGGUCCCCGUUACAUUGGGCCGUUCAGGAUUGUUGCACGGUUUGGCAGGGUGGCUUAUAGACUACAGCUUCCAAAGGAGCUUAGCCGGAUCCACAACACAUUCCAUGUUUCGCAAUUGCGAAAAUGCAUUAUGGACCAGGAGGCAGUGGUAUCGUUGGAUGACAUUCAGGUUGAUGAGUGCCUCCACUAUGUGGAGAGGCAUGUGGCUAUUUUGGACAGGAAGAAGAAGAUUUUGUGGAACAAGGAAAUACCUUUAGUAAAGGUGCAGUGGGAACACUGGAAGGGAUCCGAGUGGACAUGGGAGCCGGAGGCGAAGAUGCGCGAGCAUUACCCGACCUUUUUUAUUCCAGCAGACUUCGAGGGGAAGUCUAGUUCAAGUGGGGGAGAUUUGUAAUGCUCUGAUUCUCAGAUAUUGUUUAAAUAAGAAUUUUUGGGUUAAGCUCUACUCGACGAGUUGGUUGACCUACUCGUCGAGUAGCAGCAGGGUGGGAUCGCAUGUUAAGUGACCUACUCGACGAGUCCAUAUUGGGACUCAGCGAGUAGGAGCUUUCAGAUGAAAACUUAAAUAUCGGGGUUUUCACCUCUAUAUAAAGGAGCCUCAGCCUCCUUUGGCCUCUUUGUAGUCUUUGAGAGCCCCUUAAAAGCCUAAUACGCGUGUGUGUGCCCAUUAUGUGUUUGAAGCUUGAAAAGAGGAUCGUUGGAGGGAGAAGGCUUAGAGGAGAAGGAGAUUGGUACAAGUAGAGUGUGGGAAUCAACACCUGUCUCAGUUAUCAUCUUCUGGAGGUAACCUCAUCGCCGUUUUCCUUGUGAAUCUCUUCUAUUGGUUGAGUUUUAGGGUUUUUGGAGAGAUCUUAAGUUGGAAAGAUGAGCUAAGGGCUAGAUCUGAGGUUGUAACUUCAGAUCUAGGCCCUCCUUGGAUUCUAGAAGCAUAAAGUUUCAGUUGUGGUCAUGAUUAAGGUCCCUCUUGAGCAUAAAGUUCCAUUAAGAACUUAAAAUAGGCAUUUAGAGCCUUUAAAGCCAUGCAUGCACGUAAAGUUUGCAACUUUACAUGAUAAGCAUGCCCUAGAAGCUUGGAUCUGUGAUUUGGAGCCGCUGCAUGGCUCAAAACAAGUCUGUAUGGAAAGAGGCGAGUCGCAAGGUUGACUUGGCGAGUCACAUGAAGAUGGCUAUGAACUCGACGAGUUGGAUGAACAACUCGGCGAGUCCGAUGAGGAUUACCAUAAGACUCAACGAGUUGAAGAUCAACUCGGCGAGUCGGAUGAGUUUUCCUUAGGAUAUGUAUGUGUGAGUAUUUGUCGAGUUGCAAGGAGGGAACUCGACAGGUGACCGUAAAGGUUGGACAAGAAUCGAAGGAACUCGAUGAGUCACCCCGAUGACUCGGCGAGUUGUAAUGUGCUUCAAGGAACUCGGCGAGUAGCCGGGGGUACUCGACGAGUUAGGGGUCAACAUGGACUGUUGACCUGACUGAGUAUAUUGUACUAUGAUCAUAGGUGGUGGAGCUUGUGUCAAGUGAUCCGAGUGUUGGAGUUUAUCUUCCGAGUCGACAUAUGCAAGGUGAGUUAUCCUUACUAUAUCGAUAGGGUCAACGGCGCCAAAGUCGGCCCUUUAGUUGUUAUUGUUAUAGUAUGCUACCUGUGGUUUUGAUCUGUUAGAUCGGAAUCAGGGUAGGCAGUAUGUUAUGCUCUUAUGUGUAACACCCCGUUCUUCGAGUGUUCAAUUAUAAGUCCCUGAGAUUUAAGAGGAUGGGUAAUUCUGGUCCCUUUCGAGAAAUGAGCUUCAUCCGAGAAGGUUUUGGAUGGGUGUAUGUGUUAGAAGUAUUGGGCUUCUCGUUACCCUCGUAUGUAUGUAAAGUUAUUGAGAGUGGGAGUAGAUUAGAGGAGUCGCGGUGCCUCGAAGUUGAUCAUUGUUUAUAGUUCUUUGUGGAAUAAGAAGGAAAUGGUCCCAUGCAUGCAUGGCAUGCAUGGCAUGCAUGCAUGCUUUUGUGUUUUGAAAGGUGGCUGGGUACACCCAGCGUAAUCUGGACGUACGCCCAGCGUAAUGGGACGAAUGGUUACGGGUAGCCGGGUGAGUACGCCCAGCGUACCAGGGAGGUACGCCCAGCGUACUCUUAGAAACCCCAAACCCUAUUUUGAGGGUCAGCCACUAUAUAAGGAACAUGAUGGUUCACCCCUUAGCCUCCAAAAGCUUAUCCUUAACCUCAGAAAAACCCUAGAUCUCGUGUUCUCUCCAUUUUUGGGUGUGCUUGACCUUGGGAAACUCUUGUUGGCAAAAGAGAGGCUUGAAGGAGAAAAGGGAAGUUGUCAAAGAAGAAGAAGAGCAUGUGAAGCUUGUAGAUCUGAAGAAAUACCACCCUUUGGAGCUGGUUUAAGGUAUAAAGCUUCUUGCUUGAUCUCCAUAUUGCAUAGAUCUAUGUAUUUUGAAGCCUUGUUAUCAUUCUUGUCCCUAAAGUCCUCAUCUUGUUGCAUAGUUCGAUUUGGUCAAGAUUAUCUGUCCUUUCAGACCUUUGGAGAGGUCUUGAGUGAUAAAAAUAAGGUCCCAAGGGCUGUUGUUGUUCCAUGUAUGAGUUAUAUAGGUCUUAAUGGAUUAAGACCUUGGAUUAAGAGCUUAAGGACGUCCCAAGUGAUAAAGUCUGAGACUUUAUGAUUUCUAAUCAUAUUUGGUCUAUGGAUCUGAAGUUUGGGCUUAAGAGCUUAAGCCAUUAAGAUGUUAUAAGGACUUACUGGAUCUCGUAGUUAUGCCCCGCGUAGCGGGCCAAAGCCCCGAUCCUCAUUUGCGUUCAUUGCAGUACGCCCAGCGUACCAAGGAGAGUACGCCCAACGUACUCCUCCUGUGGACUUUCUUUUGGACUUUUGGGUUGGGCCAUUUGUUGGUUGUUGGUGUUUGGGCCAAGUCUGGAAAUUAUGAAUAGAGUAUUAUGGGCCCAAUUAAUAUUAUGGAUAUUGGAUCUAGGUCCAUUUGGUGAGGUGGGCCCAAUUUGGUAAAUUGGGUCAAUGUUGGGCUUUGUGUGAGUUUUGGACCUUGGUCUUGGCCCGAUAAGGGGAAGUAUGUUUGACCUAAUGCUUAUGCUUAUUAUGUUGGUUAGUUCGGGAUUUGCGGUGAGUUGGUGAUUCGAGAGUUUGCUUCUUCAGUUCAGAGUUUCGGCAGUGCGAGGUGAGUUAUCCUCACUAUAUCAACAGGGUUUAAGGCACCAAGGCCGACCCUUUAUCGGAUGGAAAUCCGGGUAGUUGUCUGUUGUUAUGAUAUUGCGAGAUAUGGGCCGGAAGGCAUUAUGUUAUGGGCCGGAAGGCAUUAUAUGUUGUGGGCCGGAAGGCAUUGUGAUGUGGACCGAAAGGUCAUGGCCUGGAAAGGCGUAUGUGCGUAAUUAGUAUGUUGGCUGAGUCGUAGGGUGAUGUUAUGCUAGUGAUCGGCUAGGCCGGUAUCCUGGUUAGGGUGAUGAUAUGUUAUGUGAUCUGUUUGAUCGAUUUGCUGACUGUGAACUGUUAUAUGAUUAUAAGUUAUGUGCACACGGUUGCUUGGACUGGAGUGUGACCCGGUAUGCAUGUCUGUUCUAUGUUCUGUUAUGUUAUGUAUGCUUUUUUUUAUGUUAUGGGCCGGAAGGCAAUACGUUUCGGACCGGAAGGGCGUAUAUGUGGUUGGUAUUUUGGGGGUAUCUCACUAAGCUUUCGGGCUUACAGUUGUGGUUUCAUGUUUUUCAGGUUCUUCAGGAGACCAUGGCAAGGCGAAGGCGUGAUCGUACCGCUCCUCAUGUUUGGGUCGUGAUGUGAUUCUGGGAAUACUUUAAAUAAUUUGUAUUGAAAACCUUUUUCUAGUGGUUUUAAUGAAAUUGGUUUGUUUUUGAAAAAUUUAAAAUUGGUUGUAUUUUUCGGUCGUUACAAGUUGGUAUCAGAGCCUUGGUUUGAGUGAAUUGGAGGAACAUUCGCGUGACUCCAGUCUCAAAUCGACGAGAGUUUCCAAAAGAGAAUUUAAAAUGGUUUUCAAAAAUGAGUAAGGGAGGACGCGGGGGUACGAUCAGCCGGAGCCAGUUAGUAACCCCAAUUUACCAUACAUGCUAUUUUUUUUGAGCCUUGAUAGAACAGCAUGCUAGAGUUAGGCUAGGGAUCUUCAGGAAUUCAUGAUAAUGUUGCCUGAUUUGUGAUGUCUGUAGCCUAGGGUUCCUUAUGGGAGAUUCUCAGUGUUCCUCUAGUGGUGAUGGUUGAGCGUUGUUAUGCAUGUUUCUCUAGGGUGUUGUGGUAGUACUUCAUACAAAUAUGGGUAGGUGUGGAAGGUAGUAUGGGCCCAUACUACUGAAAGCAGAGGACCCAUACGUGUAUCAGGGAAACCAUGAUCUCUAGGGUUGGGUUGAGAGAGUUGGAUCCCAGGAUUGUGGGAAGUGUCUGAGAUUUUGUGGUGUUUUUCAGUAUGGAGAUCCCGAGGCAUGCUAGGAGUGGAUCCGGAUCAGGAUCGGGAGUAGGAGAGGGAGUUCUGGGCGGGUCUGUGUCGCCCGAUUGUUGGUCANNNNNNNNNNNNNNNNNNNNNNNNNNNNNNNNNNNNNNNNNNNNNNNNNNNNNNNNNNNNNNNNNNNNNNNNNNNNNNNNNNNNNNNNNNNNNNNNNNNNNNNNNNNNNNNNNNNNNNNNNNNNNNNNNNGCUAUGCGGCUCUCGUAGAGACGGCUGCCGCGGCGGCUACAGUGGCUGUAGCAGCGGCAGGGGAGGAGUUAGUCGGGAUUUUCAGUAUCGGGACUUCGAUAAUAUGAAGCCUCCCACCUUUGAUGGAGUUCAGGACCCGAUUGUCGCUAUGAGAUGGUUAUCUGACGUGGAGGGGUGUUUCUUCAUGUGUUCAUGCCCUGCUGAUCAGAGGGUGAGGUGUGCUCUGAACCUGUGAAGGCUCGGGGAAAAGGAUUGGUGGAGAUUGACCAUGGGGUCAUACUCAGGUGCGUAGAGGGCUGCGGUUUCAUGGGACCAGUUCAGAGAGAUGUUCAGUGCUCGUUAUAUUCCUCGGGUUGAGAGAGAAAGAUUGGCUCAGGAGUUCCUCGAGCUAAAGCAGGGUUCGGAGUCGGUAACGGAGAUCACCAAAAUGUUCACUAAGAGGGCGAUGUUUUGCCCUGAGUAUGCUUCGGAGCAGGCUCAGAUGUCCCAAUAUCUAAGUAUGCUCAAGAUGGAUAUCAGACAGUUGGUGUCUACGCAGAGGUGCAAAACCUUGUUGGAAUUGAAGGAGGCCGCCAGGCGGCGUGAGUUAGAGAUUGAGUUGCGGUUGCGUGAGUUGAGGCAGGCUCCGGUGCAAUCGCAGCCGGUGCCGAAACGGUCCAUGACCGUCGAUUCCAUGGUAGGAGAGCAGGGUAGUCACACUUGUGGGAAGUGUGGAAAGGGUAACGCCGGAGUUUGUCGGUCCGGUGGUGCAUGCCGCAAGUUCGGAAAGGAGGGGCACUAUGCGAGGGAUUGUCAACAGUCAGCGCAGGCCCGGGGUUUAAGGAUUUGUUAUCAUUGUCAUUGGAUUGGACACUUGAGGGUCAACUGUCCACUAUUUGCUGCAGGACCAGUACAGGCUCCAGUACCGGCCAUGUUGAGGAUCACGGGUGGAGGUCAGAGUGGAGCGGAGCCCCCAAGGGCUUAGGGUCGUGCUUUUCAGCUUGCAGCGGAGGAGGUAAGAGCAGUGCCGGGUGCAGCCGCGGGUAUGUUUCUUUCUUGUUGCCUUGUGGAUUUAUGAUUAUUGUGGAGUAUCGUUUAUCUGCUAGUCUCGUUGGAGAAGUUUUCGUUUUGGUAUCCGUUGUUUCUUGAGGGUUUGGCAUGAUUAUGGAUUUGUGUUUCGGGCUUUCGUUUUGGUAUCCGUUGUUCCCUGAAGGUUUGGUAUGGUUAUAGUUUGGUGUUUUGUGCUACCGUUGGUUAUCAUUCGUGAGGGUUAGUAGUGGAGAUGCGACAUUGGUUUGAAGGUCGAGUAGCAUCUGCAGUCUGAGGAGUGGAUAAUUAAAGAUUGGGUCCUUUUCGAGCGGGAUGAUCAGUGAGGGAAUGCGUUUUGGUGAAGGUUGCUAGUGCUAGUGGGAAUCAGUCUGUGUGUAAGCGUUGGGUUUUGUGCAAGGUUAUUUUGGGAGGUCGGUGAUAGCGACCAGUGAUUGAUAGGCAGUGCCCUAAGUGGGGGAGAAUUGGAAAUUCUCCGGAUGAUCGAUAGACUUGAGAGGUUGUUUAGCUGCUUGGGAUUUCGGCGGGAUUUCUUUCAGCCGAGAGCGGACUGGUAUGGGUGAGUAGCAGGCGUACGGGGCGGAUUACAGACCUGGGGCAUUUGAGUGUGGAGGGCCUGGGAUCGGGCCGGGAUUGAGUAUGUAUGUUGGAGAUAGAGUUCGGAACCCUUAGAGGGCAAGAAUAGUAUGCAUGGGAGGAUUCCCGGAGGGAUGGCUCGGAAUGAUGAGUGCUGCUUGAGCGGUCCGGAGAGACUGAAGGCUGAAAGGCAUAUCAGUCAGGCCGACGGCUCGGGAGGACGGUCUAGCCAGACUGAAGACCUGGUGAGGUGGACUAGUCAUGCUGAAGACUCUGCAGGUAUUAUCGGAUCGGUCCGAGCAAAUGGGUUGGUUAUGUUGUGAUGUGUUAGCACUAGAAGGUCUGGCCCCGGGUAUUGAUCUUGAUUAGUAGAGAUGGUGCAUGGACUUGAGAGUCCUUGUGAGCAGAUUCAGGGCAUAUGUGUUGCAUGGAUAGCGGUUAUGCUAUAAAGGGGUAGUGCAGCGUUAGGUGAGCACCGUGGCACUUGUCAUGGUGACAAAGCAGCCAAGUGGAUUUCCUUGGUAAGGAAAGAGGGAUAGGAGUGUAGCUCCGAGAGGAAGAGCACAUUCACGGAAGUGAAAGCGGCAAUGUAGAGUUAUGGUCGGAGUGGUCCGACGGUGGUCAUUGAGCAGUGUGAUUGCGAUGGGGGUAUGGAAUGACAGCAUGAUGGGAUGUCUGCUGACGACGCGAGAGGGAUUUCUGCGGGUGUAGAGCCAAGAGUCUCAGGAUGGAUACAGGGAUGGAGUCUUGGACUCCCAGCUUGAUUCUGAUCAAGGAGUUGUGUAUGUAGAGGUGAUUCCUCCUGGGGAUGUUGGAGAUGUCGUCAGUGUGACGGGUUUUCCCAACCGAGGGUGCCAAGGCUGGUUCAGCAUGUGCAUGUGAUUGCAAGAAGAGAACUCGUUGGAGUUUCUCUAUGACCGAAGAUUGUGUCUUUCUGUCGGCACGGAGUGGAUAUAGUUGGAUUCGGGUCAGGGAUCCGGCGGUUCAUGGUUAUUUCUAGCUUAUAUGAUUCGAGUGAUUAUUGCAACCUGGAGCAGUAGUGCAUCAUGGGUGGUCCCCGAUUGUUGAGUGCGAUCAUCAGAGGGUAAAGCCGGUGACCGGCUUGAGACGGUGGUCAGGACACCGCAAGAAAGGUGGAAGUGAGUUUCGGGUUUCGAUGGUUGAUCAUUGAGGGACCUGGUUUGGUUAGUGACAGGUAGUGCGUGGCAGGGGAAGUUCUGACUUAGAGUUACUGCAGGCUUCGAGGACGAAGCCUAAUUUAAGUGGGGGAGAAUUGUAACACCCCGUUCUUCAAGUGUUCAAUUAUAAGUCCCUGAGAUUUAAGAGGAAGGGUAAUUAUGGCCCCUUUCGAGAAAUGAGCUUCAUCCGAGCAGGUUUCGGACGGGUGUAUGUGUUAGAAGUAUUGGGCUUCUCGUCACCCUCGUAUGUAUGUAAAGUUAUUGAGAGUGGUAGUAGAUUAGAGGAGUUGCGGUGCCUCGAAGUUGAUCAUUGUUUAUAGUUCUUUGUGGAAUAAGAAGGAAAUGGUCCCAUGCAUGCAUGCUUUUGUGUUUUGAAAGGUGGCUGGGUACGCCCAGCGUAAGCUGUACGUACGCCCAGCGUAAUGGGACGAAUGGUUACGGGUAGCUGGGUGAGUAUGCCCAGCGUACUCUCAGAAACCCAAAACCCUAUUUUAAGGGUCAGCCACUAUAUAAGGAACAUGAUGGUUCACCCCUCAGCCUCCAAAAGCUUAUCCUUAACCUCAGAAAAACCCUAGAUCUCGUGUUCUCUCCAUUUUUGGAUGUGCUGGACCUUGGGAAACUCUUGUUGGCAAAAGAGAGGCUUGAAGGAGAAAAGGGAAGUUGUCAAAGAAGAAGAAGAGCGUGUGAAGCUUGUAGAUCCGAAGAAAUACCACCCUUUGGAGCUGGUUUAAGGUAUAAAGCUUCUUGCCUGCUCUCCAUAUUGCAUAGAUCUAUGUAUUUUGAAGCCUUGUUAUCAUUCUUGUCCCUAAAGUCCUCAUCUUGUUGCAUAGUUCGAUUUGGUCAAGAUUAUCUGUCCUUUCAGACCUUUGGAGAGGUCUUGAGUGAUAAAAAUAAGGUCCCAAGGGCUGUUGUUGUUCCAUGUAUGAGUUAUAUAGGUCUUAAUGGAUUAAGACCUUGGAUUAAGAGCUUAAGGACGUCCCAAGUGAUAAAGUCUGAGACUUUAUGAUUUCUAAUCAUAUUUGGUCUAUGGAUCUGAAGUUUGGGCUUAAGAGCUUAAGCCAUUAAGAUGUUAUAAGGACUUACUGGAUCUCGUAGUUAUGCCCCGCGUAGCGGGCCAAAGCCCCGAUCCUCAUUUGCGUUCAUUGCAGUACGCCCAGCGUACCAAGGAGAGUACGCCCAACGUACUCCUCCUGUGGACUUUCUUUUGGGCUUUUGGGUUGGGCCAUUUGUCGGUUGUUGGUGUUUGGGCCAAGUCUGGAAAUUAUGAAUAGAGUAUUAUGGGCCAAAUUAAUAUUAUGGAUAUUAGAUCUAGGUCCAUUUGGUGAGGUGGGCCCAAUUUGGUAAAUUGGGCCAAUGUUGGGCUUUGUGUGAGUUUUGGACCUUGGUCUUGGCCCGAUAAGGGGAAGUAUGUUUGACCUAAUGCUUAUGCUUGUUAUGUUGGUUAGUUCGGGAUUUGCGGUGAGUUGGUGAUUCGAGAGUCUGCUUCUUCAGUUCAGAGUUUCGGCAGUGCGAGGUGAGUUAUCCUCACUAUAUCAACAGGGUUUAAGGCACCAAGGCCGACCCUUUAUCGGAUGGAAAUCCGGGUAGUUGUCUGUUGUUAUGAUAUUGCGGGAUAUGGGCCGGAAGGCAUUACGUUAUGGGCCGGAAGGCAUUAUAUGUUGUGGGCCGGAAGGCAUUAUAUGUUGUGGGCCAGAAGGCAUUGUGAUGUGGACUGGAAGGUCAUGGCCUGGAAAGGCGUAUGUGCAUAAUUAGUAAGUUGGCUGAGUCGUAGGGUGAUGUUAUGCUAGUGAUCGGCUAGGCCGGUAUCCUGGUUAGGGUGUUGAUAUGUUAUGUGAUCUGUUUGAUCGAUUUGCUGACUGUGAACUGUUAUAUGAUUAUAUGUUAAUGCACACGAUUGCUUGGACUGGAGUGUGACUCGGUAUGCAUGUUUGUUCUAUGUUCUGUUAUGUUAUGUACGCUUUUUUUUAUGUUAUGGGCCGGAAGGCAAUAUGUUAUGGGCCGGAAGGCAAUACGUUUCGGAUCGGAAGGUCGUGGCCUGGAAGGGCGUAUAUGUGGUUGGUAUUUUGGGGGUAUCUCACUAAGCUUUCAGGCUUACAGUUGUGGUUUUAUGUUUUCAGGUUCUCAGGAGACUGUGGUAAGGCAAAGGCGUGAUCGUACCGUUCCUCGCGUUGGUGUUUUAUGAAAUGGACCUGGGAAAUACUCUGUUAAAUAAUGUAUUGAAAACCUUUUUAUAACAAUGUUAUUAAAAUGGGUUGUUUUUGAAAAGUUUUAAUUGUUUUGAAAUUUUUGGUCAUUACAUUAUGAUCCGUAAGGAUUGGUAUGUUAGUGACCUGCUAGGUUAGUACUCUAGUUACGAGAGAAUUCUAUGAUUGAUGAUCAGUGUGAUAGAUAUGUUCGAUGUUUGUAUAUGCCAGUAUAUGAUAGAUAUGUGCACAUGGUUAUUUGCUUGAUUGGUUGGAUUGAGGUAGUCUUGCUUUGUGCUGAAGGCCAAAAUACCUUAUGAGCGGUCCGGGGAGACUACAGGCCCACGAGGUGGACCAUUCAUGCCGAAGGCUCGGGAUAGAUUCAUAUAGACUGUAGGGCCAGUAGGGCGGUCCAGUCAGGCCGAUGAACAGUAUGCAUGUUGAUUGAUUGAUUAUUACUGAUAUGGCAUUAUCAGUGUGGUAUUGGUAUUUUAGGGGUAGCUCACUAAGCCCUCGGGCUUACAGUUUUCAGUUUAUUGUUUCAGGUACUUCAGGAGAUCAUGGCAAAGCGAAGGCGUGACCGUACUGCUCUGCAUCCUUAUGUUAUGAUUUUGGGACACUCUGAUGGAUAUUGAUUUGAAAACUUUUUUUUUUUUUUUUUGUAAACAAUGCUAUUUGAUUUUUAAUUAUGAUUGAAAAGUUUAAUUUUGGCACAAAAUUUAUGGAUGUUACAUGGUGGGGCUCAACCAAGACUAAACAGGGUGGUUUUUGGUUGGGUUGCGGUGGUCGGUAGCUCCAUAACGGUGGUUCAACACUAAGAUCGAAGGAAGACAAAUUUCUACAUUUGAUCCGAUCAACAGAGGAGGUGUUGAUGCUCAUCGUUUUUGCUCCGAUCAACAAAUUUGUGAUGGAUUGGUACAAAAGGGAAAAAAACAAGUUUUUCACAUUUUCGUAUUUACUACCAUUUGAGCAGGAAGGAAAAAGAAGUAAGCAGGUUUCUACAUUUGCUUAGUUGACUUUUAAGGAGAGAAAGAGAGAGAAAGAUAUAUAUAUAUAUAUAUAUANUAUAUAUAUAUAUAUAUAUAUAUAUAUAUGGGUUCAAGGGUAAGGGAAACUCAAAGUCAAUAUAGAAAUAUUUGUCAACAAAUGUCCAUGUAGCAAAGGGGUACCGGAUAAACCCUUCACUUUGGUCGAAAGGACGUAAUCGACCCAACAAAAAUGACUUCGUUCCCUCGUAAAGCUACAAAAAAAGUUAAGUGACUAAAAGGGUAAACCUUAGAAAGUUCAUAAGUCGUAUGUGUCAUUUUCCCUAAAAAACAAAUAUAAAGAACGUAUUUUACAAUGUUUUUAGUCACAAACUGCAAUAUUAAACUUCCUUUUUUUUUAACAGCAAACAAUAACAUUGAAAGACCCACUAACGAGAUGCUAGUGGACAAAAAAACAAAGUCUUACCCACACUACUACAAAAAGGCACACUAUAUAGAAGUCGUUUUUUGAAAAAAGUGGGUUGUAUUAUGUAAAAACCGGGUUUUAUAAAUAUAAAUGUUAUAAGGCUCGGUUAAAAGUAAGAAAUUAGGGUAUAUGUUCAAAUCAAAUAAUUUGGUUUUGGUUAAAAAACCGGGUCUUUUUGCUGGAAAAUUAUAUAACCCAGUUUUCUAAUUGUAACCAUGUUUCAUGACUCAAGGACAUAACUUGUUUUUCAACAACAAGAUUUUUUGACAAAUGAAUUAUAGUAAGAGUAUUGAGAUUUGAGGGUUGAGGCAUGGAGUUAUAAUUGACGAAUUUUAUCCUUAUUUAUAACUACAAUAUGCAUGACUAACUUAAUACACAUGCCAAAUCCACUACCAAAAUAAUGUAAAAAAAACUACAAACCAAUCAUUUUUCAAAUUUCCUUAUUUUCCCUUCAGUUCAAUGCUAACACCUAACACGUAUUUGACCAGAAUAACAUUAUAUUUUUUUAACACCAACUCUUAUUUACCCUACACCAUAUUUUCAUUGAUUCAUCUACUAGUCUAAUAAAACAGUACAUUUUUGUCACAUGGCAUUCAUUGAGCAUCCCCUUUCGAUUAUUCCCGCUCAAAUCACUAUGUCAAAUCCCGAAAAUUGCCCCUUACGCCUCAGCUCCAUUAAACUACUAGUCAGAAAAUUCCAAAUUGUUAUCUCUGCAUUUGAAAACCAUUACAUGUUUGAAAACCAAAAAAUCAGAGUCAUUAAAUCCAGAUUGUGUUUUCUUUUAACUACCUUUUCAAAAUCCUGAAAAUUAGGAAGUUAAAAAAGACACCUUAUAAUAUCCAAUCCAUUUUAUAUUUGAAUUGCAAUAAUAUAUGACAAAAAAUUAGGUUUAGUAUCUUAUCUUAAUAUGUAUUCAUAACGUCGACCCAAUUUGAAUGUUUUAUAUACAACCAUGUUAUAUAUGACCACUAUUCCAUUGGUUUAUCAUUGUUCAAGGAUUGGUAUAGUAGCAGAAACUGAAGUUCUCUCUUUGAUUCCAUUUUCUUCUGUGAAAUUUGUCUUGAUUUCAUCUAUCAGGUAAUUUCUAAACAUCGUAUUUCAGACCAUGCAUUAGAAUCAAAAACCUACUCUCUGUUUAUGUCUUUCUGUUUCUCUCAGAUUUAAAUUUUACAAUCAAUUUUAUAGUCACCAUUUAUAGUGAAUCAUAAACUUUGUUGUUAACCUACAAAGUUCAUUGUUGGUGGUGAGUAAUGUUGUUUUUUGAGAUCUUCUCUUCAAUCUCUUCAUAUUUUUUGUUCUAUCAGUAUCAGUAACGAAUCAACAAUCUACUAUCUUUUUCUCACUUUCUCUUUUUAAGAUUGAAGUUUUACAGUCACUGCUUUCUGUUCAAAAACUUUUGAAAACGAAAAUAAACAUCUGAAAAAUAUAAAUCUAUUUCGGAGUAAAGCACGUACUCAAGUCUUCAAAUUACAUAUUUUCCAACAGUACAGGGGCAAAAUGGUCAUAUUUUUGUAAUUUUCUUAUUUAAGCCAUCCUUUUGAUAGAAAAUUUUCUAUUAAAAUUUUUUUUCUUAUUUUAUCUUUGUACUUUGAAAGUACAAUGCUAUAAUUAAUAAAAAAAACAUAUGCAUAUGUGUGUGCAUGUAUGUAUGUGUGUGUAUUUGUAUGUGUUUGUAUGUGUUUACUUUCUGAAUUUCCAAAAUUGUUCUUACAUUCCUUACUACCAUUCUUAAAAUCUGCUUUCAAUUGUUUGCAGGAAAUGAACAAAGGUAAUAAAGUAUACCUCAAAAACAUUGAACAUAUUGUUGAUGACUCUCACAUCAAAGUACGGGUGGUAAAGAUGUGGAACUUUAGAAAGAAUAAUGUCGUUUUAGCAAUUGAAAUGAUUGUAAUUGAUGUGGAGGUUUGUUUUACUAUUUUUUUAAUAUCCCAUUCAAUAUUACAUAUAUUUCAAGCAAUAAAAUAAUUGCUAUUUAGUUGAUUUAACAGGGUAUAAAAUACCAUUCUCGUGUUUUCAAUCAAAAUUUUUCUAGAUUUUGUGAUCUUUUAAAGGGAGGUCAAACUUAUAUCAUUAUAAAACCCAACAUGGCGGCUCUGAACAAUGGUUUUAGUGCUAUGGGUCACAAACAAACCAUAACUUUGAAUUGAAAAAAUAUUCUAAAAAAAUGUGAGAAUUUUUUAGGUCCAGUGAAUGGUUUUGUGUUUGUUGAUUUUAAUUCUGUUAUCGAACAAAUAGGCACAAGAGACUCGUUCUUUGGUUAGUUAUUUAAUUUUAUUGCAAUCACUUUUAUAAAUUAUGUAAUUUAUUAUACAUGUUAGUAUUUAACUUAAUAUUACUUAUUAUAUUUUAUUAAACUUGUGUAGAUGUUAUUGGACAAGCUGUCUCAUUUCGAGCACUUGAUACAUCAAAUCUUAACCCAUCCAAUCAUUACAUAAAGAUGACUAUUAACUACUUACAGUGAGAUUAUAUUUCCUUUAUUUCUUUAUUAUUUUUAAUCAUAUUUUUUCAUACUUAUUAAUUUAAUUUUUUAUUUAGGUUUGUACAACUGAACGUCACUAUAUUUGGAACUCAAGCACACCAGAUAUCACAGUAACUCAAAACUAAUCCCACGGUUACUUGUGUUAUGAUAUUGAUGCAAUUUGCUAAACUUAACAUUUGGUAUGGUUUGUAGUCAUACUAUAUAUAUUUAUUUUUUUAUUUGAAUCUACUUUUAAUGAGUAAUUUAUUUUUACAGGAAUUGGUCAAGCUCAAAGUCAUUUUGAUGUUACCAAAUUGGUCAUUAAUUCAGAGAUUCUCGAAAUUAAUGAGUUCAAGAAAGAGUUAGUUUUCUUGAACUUUUUAAUUUUUUUAUUAUUGUUUUGUAAUUAAAACCAAUACAAUUUCUUAUAAGUAAAAAAAUAUUUUUAAACAUUACAGAUUAAAAGCUGAUAACAUUGGAGGUACGUCUAAAAAAAGCAUAACUACACUCUCAAGCUACUCUUCUUCUUAUAUAGAUUAUUUUAAAAGUGAUUUCCCUUUAAAAACAGUUUGUGAGAUCACAAAACCACUGAAGGCAUAUGGCAUUAUUUGAUAUCCUUUAAUUUUAUUUACACAUUGUAUGUUUUUUUAAUAUAAAAUUUUCUGUUUUACUUAUUUUUCUGUUUUUUAUCUAUAUUUAUUUAUUUAUUUGAAUUUACUUUCUGUUGAGUAAUUUUCACAUUUUAUUUCAUGUAAUGGAAUUUCUAUUAGUUGGUUCCAUCGUCAAUAUAAGACAAAAUCUACGUUGGUAUUACGAUGUGUGCUCCAAAUGUGAAAGUAAGAUAGACACAGUGCCCAAACCCAAUCACUCCUAUACCACCCCCUACAAAAUUUAAGAAAUUGUUGUUAAUCAAUGUAAAGAUGUGUGUUGCAACAAUUCGGAUUUUCGUCCAGUUACAAAGUAUACACAUUUGUAUUUAUAUUAACCAUUUCACUUUUCAACAAAUUUGAUAUUAAUGUUAUAUUUUUUUUUGUUUAGUUAUAUGAUUCCAAUCAACGUAUAACAUGAUACUGGCACCAUUGGAUUGACUCUUUUUGAUAGGGAAGCGAAGAAGCUAUUGGAUAUCAGUGCAUACCAAUUGAGAAAAAUACAUGAAGAGGUAUGCUAUGUUAUUCAUAUUUUUAAAUAAAAAAACAUUUUAUUUUUUUAAUAUAUUAAACAUUCCAAACCAAAUUAACAUCUUGAAAAAUCGCAAGUUUGUUUUCUUGUAGAUAUUACAUCCUAUAUAAUGUGGACAACUAUAAUAAUAUCUACACCAUUGUCAAAGCAUAACGUUUUACUUAUUUCCAUCUUAUUUUCUAGAGUAUUCAAUAUGUGUCCUUAAAUCAAGUACAUUUGGAAUCAGAUGAUGUUUUGUCGAAUAUUCAUAAGGUAUUUCGAUUCCAAUAUUAACUUUUAUUUAUAUUUAACUAGAUUAUGACCCGCGUUAAACGCGGACAAUGAUUAAAUACAUAUCACAUUAAUAGGUGGCUUUGUCUUAGGUUGAAUUUUAAUAAAAAAAAACUGUUAGUUAGAUUCAUUGUUAGAGUUUUUGAACCAAACUUAGUAGAUAAAAAUAUUUAGUAUUUAUAUUAGAGCAAUUUGGUUUUUUAAUACAGUAAUUUUUGACAUAAAUAAUCUAUGUGAUCUUUGUUUUAUCACAACAUAAUGCGACUUCUUGAUUAAAACAUAUAGUGUAGUUGCUUUAUGAAUUAAGUGUGUUCGGCGUACCAAUCCUCAUGGAGGCUGAUAUGGCUCUUCUCAUAUCGGCCAUGUAAAACCAAAAACAACAAUAAGUUGUUACAUGUACCGGCAACAUUAAAUUUUGCAAAGAAAUUCGAUAAACAUUACAAUAAAAGUGAAUUGUCAUAACCAUAAACAUCAAAUUCAUACAAUGUAACUUGGUCGAUUUCAAAGUAUUUUUCCUUCUAAAAAUUAAAAUAUGAUUUUUUAGGCUACACCCAAUCACAUAUACAUAUCUUCCGAUCAUAUAAAUUAUUACAAAAAAUGUUAUUAACAAAAAUAUAAUAUUAGUUUCAUAAUUUGCUAAAGGUUAACACUAAUAAAUAAUCAUGAACUUUCACUAAUCUUACAUUUUGGUCGGUACAUCCAACUAACAAAUGAAAUUCGGUUUAGAUGUUUGAUUCAAGAAGUGCAUCCAUUUAUAAUGCUUACCAAUUUUGAUUGUUUCCGCUUGGAUGUGAACAUUAAUAUUCUUGUAGAGAAAUGGAACUUCAAACGAACUCUACAUAGCCAAAUCAGCAAACAUGACAACACAAAAAGAAGCCUAACUUGGCAUAUAACCAAAUUUCCAGCAAAUUUCAAAAUUUUAAGGUUUUGUUGAACAAUUUUUUCAAUUUAUCAGAAUUUUAUUUUUUUACAACCUUAUAUGAGUAAUCAAGAAUUUAAAUCAAGUGAAAGAAGUAAUUAUUCAUUUAAAUCCAGUAAAAAAAAUUACAAUAUUGUGAAAUUGCAUAUAAUUUACAUGUUUGCUUAUUGUCUUGGAGGUACCCAACCACUUGGAUAUGUACUAUUAUUUGAUUAAUUAGUGCAUAAAUUAAAUCAUAGAAUAUGAAAUUUAACGAUUGUUCAAAUUCAUUUACACUUGAUUUAACAAUAGAAAAUAGACAAAUUUAUAAUCAUGAAAGUAUGCUUAAUUCAACAAAUUUGUUAUUAAAAUUAAUAGAAAACUAAGUUUCUUGAAGAAACAUUGACGGACAAUGUGUUUGACCAAACAUUGGUCAAGAUGAGGUAAACAAUUUGAUCUAAGGGUGGAAAAGGUAUAAGUGAAAUACAAUCAAAAAUAUUUAUUGCUUUAGAUGAUGAUAUAAAGAUUCUCUUUUAAACAUAGAAUUUAAUCUUCUAUUUUGUAUAUGUAAAUGUCAUACACUUGGGUUGCGGUGACUUCGUAAGACAUGUGGAAAAUAUGGUGGAUAACCUAUUGACUCAUGUUCAAAUCAUCGCACUACUCAGCCUCUGUGGCCAUAGAGUUUCGCGUGCAGUGACUCCGUGUCAUGAGGCCUAACCUCAUGUUCGCAGCGGGGGAUUAAUCGGUGCAUGAAAGUUGGCCCGGAAACCCUUGUUAGGGAAGUUCCAUUUCCAAAAAAAAUGUAAAAGUCUUAGUCUUUGCCUCUCUCUAGUGUCAUUGUAAUGAGUUUUAUUAUUUAAAUCUGUAAAAUUGUGGAUAUCAUUAAUAUCUAAAAAAUAAUAAUAUUUCAAUGAUAAAUGUUUGCUAAUAAAUUUUUCAAUAAAUUCACAAGAUAUUGUAAAUUAUUGUUUUGGAACGGUUGAAAGAUGCAUAAAAGUUUAUAAUUUCAUAAAAAGUUGUAGUUUGCUAAUAUUUAUAUUGAAGUUGUAAUGAAUAACAUUGUAAUAAUGUUGGCAAAUUCACAUUCAAACGGAAAAAUAAAGUAAAAAAAUGAUUAAAAUUCUAAAUUCAUGAGUUUAAACCCAAAAGGCAAAUAGAUGAAUAAUUCAACAUUUCAUAAAACCCAAAAGGUAUUUAAAUGAUCAAAAUUCUAACCCAAAAAACGAAUAGUAUUAAACAAAGUAAUCAAAAAACAAACAUAAAGACAAAAUGGUAUGUAGACAUAAUAUGAAAUCAAUUGUACUCAAAUCACUCAACUACUCAUAUAAAAUCACGGAAAUCAUAUAUUAUUUUUCUUUAUUUGGAAUUAACAGUUUUGGUUUACAUUCUUCAUAAGUACGAUCUGCGAUUUAUGUUAAUGAUCAUUUGGUUGAGGAUAUUGUCUCCAUAUUAUCAACAUCAUAAACACAUUCCAAGUUGUGUUUUAAUAAUUCAUCUCUAGACAUUUUUUUAAAGGAUGUCCACUUAUUUAGUGGACUUGUUACAAUACUUUUAUGAAGAUUCGAAGUUGGUGUGACGUUAUCACCAGUAAAUGAAACUGCAUCCUAAAUAUAGAAAAUAAAUUCAUAUGUCAAUCUAAAAGUUAAUAAUAUUUUAAAGUAUUUAAAAUAUUAGAUUUAGUUAUAUUAUAUUUAAAACCUUUAAAUUUAAUGUGUCUUGACAUCCGAAUUUCGCCGAUAAAACGUUAAACGAAUCAGAUUACGACGCUUAUAAUUGUAGUACAUAGACAUAUGUUAGUUGAUCAACUAAAAUAUAAAAAAACGAAUCUAAUAAGUGUAGUAUUUGAAGUAUGUUUCGUAAAAGAAUGUUACAUGUUCGAUGUUAAUUUUUUUUCCAAUUCAAAAGUGAUUUUAGUAUCAACAUUGAAGUUUGAUAUUGCAUAACCAUCAACAUUGUUCUACAAAUUAUAAUGAGAAAUUUGAAUGACAACUUUUUAUCCAAAAGUAAUUUCAAAUCAGACGGAUAAAUCUUCAUAUUACCCUCCUAAAAAUGGAAAAACUAACGGUUAUAAAAAUAGACAGACAAAAAGUAAAAAUUAGUUUUAUGUAAAUGAAGUUAAUACUGAUAACCUCAUUAAACUUUUGAAGCAACUCUAGUGUGUUUUUUUUUCCAGAAGUUUCUUUGCGUCACGAUCAAAUAACGUGACACCACGCCGGUAAAGUGUUGUACUAUAAUGGUGAUUUUGAAACUAAAACCAUUGAUAGAAACAAAUUCAAUAAUAUAAAAUUUAAAAAUUUAAUCGAAGAUUAUAAUAAUAUGUAUAAAAGAGUUAUUGAAAACCUUGGAACAACAAAUACGUCUUUGUUCAUGCAAGUUGAAGUGUAACAAUAAAAAAAAACUUCUUUAUCCUGCUUUUGAUCCGUUCCACUAGCUUUGUUCAUUUUAUAUGGGAUAUACUGGAAGAUAAAUUAUGAAUAAUAUUGAUUUUAAUUUUGACACUUAAAUAUUUUGCUGAUUUAAUGGGAUUAUAUUAGAUUUUAUUGGUUAAUAACUUAAUUAUUGAUAUUCUUGUUUAAUGAGUUUUUUUUUUUAAAAAAAAUAAAUAAAAAAAAAUGUAAACGGGUUUGAAUUUGGAAAUCAAAAGCUAUAAAUAAGGGAGUUAAAUUAAGAAUAAUAUUAAUUAUAGAAACUGAUAUCAUGUAUAUAAAUAUAAUGAUAUGUUUCAAUUGAUAAAAUAAUUACUGAAUUUAAAGAUGCUAUGAUUAUUAUAGAUUCUAUAAUUAAAUGUAAUUUUGUUUGAAUUUUAUUUGGGGAAAUGAUGUCAGNGUUUGAAUUUUAUUUGGGGAAGAUGAUGUCAGCAGUUUGAUCUAAUGGUGGAAAAUAUAGGAUUAAAACACAAUCAAGGGCCCUGAUUGUUUUAUUGGUGAAUUAAAGGUUCUCUUUUGAUAAUAUUUAAAAAUGAGUUUUUUAAAAACGAAAAAACUGAACAGGUUUGAGUACUGAAGCCAAAAACUAUAAAUAAGGAAGUUAAAUUAUGAACAAUAUUAAUUAGGGUAAAUGAUGGCAUGGAUCGUCUAAAGAUGGAGAUGCUUGCUUCAGUUUAUAGAGAUUUGUGUGAUGCCAAAACACAGGUGUGAUAAUUGGAGAUGCAAGUAAGAGGCAAUACACAAAUUCUAAGCAUACAUGAGAAAAAAGGAACCAACUUAUGGUGCUACAUUCUGUUAUGAACACACAAAGCAUCAAUUGAAGCAUAACCAUUGACAUGAGGACGAAGAGGAUUAGGGAAUUAUGGUUUAAGAGAAAAAAAUAGAGGAGAAAGAUGGGGCGGCUAUUCAUGUUUUUGACAAGAUUUAUGGAGAAACCGAUACUUCAUAUAUAGAUAGAAUGAUAUGCUUCAAUUGAUAACAUAAUUGUUUAUUUUAAAAAUUCUAUAAUUAAAUGUAAUUGUGCUCGAAUUGUGAAAUAUAUUUUAGAAAGUAUGAUAGAUUCUAUAAUUACAGAUUUUAUAAUUAAAUAUAAUUAUGAUUGAAAUGUAAUUGCUAAAUUUAAAGAUUCUAUAAUUAAAUAUUUGAUUUCUAUUUAGAGAAGAUGAUGUCAACAAUUUGAUCUAAGGGUGGAAAUCAUAUGAUUGAAAUACAAUCAAGGGCCAUGAUUGCUUUAUUGGUGAAUUAAGAGUUCUCUUUUAAUAAUAUUUAGAGAUAUUCUAAUUAACAACUUAGGUUUUUUAAUUUAGGAUGUUAUUUCACAAACAUAUGAGAGUUUUACACCCUCAACAGUUGAUAAAUAAAUCGCAACCAAUACUAUGAAGAUAUCAACUGAUUUGAAGCGCAAACUCCAUGACAUUUAUGACGUUGAUUGUGUAGAUGAAUUCAGCUCACUAAAAUUUUAAAGAAAAACAGUCGGAGAGGAUAAUCCACUUUUAGUUCCAACAGUAGAGAAGUGACUUGGGUUUGGUUUUAAUAAACAAACAAUAUUUUUGGAAAUUGGAUUGGUUUUAAAGACUGUUGGGUUGUUUGGUACAACUUUUUUUGGAUAUCUAGGAUGUUAAUUGUGAUAGGUUUAUUUAGAUAUGUAUGACUUAUCAGUACUUUUGGAUGUAGGGGACAACAUAAUUCAGUUAAGUUUUUUUGAAGCUUUGUAGAUUAAGAUUAUUGGGUUGUUUUCGUAAUAGACAUGUAUUUUGGAUAUUUGUUUUUUUUUUUUUAUGACUAAUUACAUGCAUGUUUACAAACAAACAUGUUGACCUAUAGCUGUUUGUUGAGCUAAUUUCAUUUUCUGUGUCUUUAUUCCUUAAUAGCAAUAUAUCUUCAUUCUCCAUGUUCUUAUAUUUUAUGACCUUAGAAAUCGUAAUUAUUGAAAACCCACACGUUUGCAUUUCUAGUGCAUAUUUCCCGCUAUAAUGUGGACAACUAUAUANNNNNNNNNNNNNNNNNNNNNNNNNNNNNNNNNNUAUAUAUACCAUUUUCAAACUUACGGAAGAUGUAUCAAUUGCUUCGGAAUUGGAAAGUAAACUUGAGCUUUUGGAAUGUAUAUUUCCCUAUAAAUUACAGAUCUAUUUUCAACUUUUUAAGUAACUUCCGAGUUUUCCAACUUAUUUUAUAGACUACUCAAUCUUUGUCGUUGACUCACUAAUCUUCAUUUUUCCUAAACUUUGAUAUCUUAUUUUAUUAGACAAUGAAAAUUAAAAUUCAAUUUUAUAUCAACCGUGGUUUUCCACGGGUUUAGACCUAGUUUACAUAUAUAGCAUCCUAAUUUCAUAUACACAAAGUGUAGUCAGAUACAAACACACAUACAAUCACAUAUAUGUUUAAUGACCUAAUAAAGAUGCAUACAUACGAAAAGUCACAAAAUCUUUCUGAUAUAGUAACAUACCUAAAGAUUAUACACACACACACUUAAUUAAAGAAAAAUAGCAACGAACUAUAUUGUUUCUUUUGGCCUUUGAGACCCAUUUUCCCCUAUAAUUCCCCUCUUGUAAUUGUGCCUUCGAUGCAAUGGUGCUCUUGCUAGUACCUAUAUGCGCCUUAAGAAAAUUACCUAGAUGUUCAGAAGAAAAAAAAUUUGCUUAAUCUAAAAAAAAAAAAAAUUGUUAAGUACAUGUGUCAACUACUAAAUAAUUAACUUUAAAGGCCCCAAAAUUUGAAAUUUCUUCAACUUCGAUUUUGAAUAAGCAGUUAAGAACAUUAACAAAAUCUUAAUACUAAAGGAACGCACUUUGAUGAUAUGUUCAUGAUUACAAGCUGGAAAGGAACUAAUUUCUAAUUUUUAGGACAUAGCAUGAAUUAAAAAAGUGAAGAGAUGAGAUUGGAUCAUCCUAGGUCAAAUUCUAUUUUAGUAAGAUUGGUAUGGAAAUCCAUACGUAUGAUUUUUGAAACUAAUUUCUAAUCCUUUGUACAUAAUCUCUCCCUACUCCUCUAUUAGACCCUGGUCUCUCACUUUUUUCCUUCUCUGUCAUUCUUUCUAUCUCUUUUGUGUGUGGAUGAUACGGUAGGAUUGGUAAAAAAUGAUGGAUUUUUUACGGGAACUUAAAAAUGUAUUCCUGCCUUCCAGUUAAAAGUCAAAACUAAAUUGGUAUAGUAGUAUGUAAUUAUUUAUUAAAUAACAUGAUAUUUAUUUGAUUAUUAUUUUUUGGUUUAAAGUUGUUGAUUUUUAUUAAUAUAUGUCAUUUUAAUAUUAAUUUUUUAUUUACUUUGAGUUGUGUGAUUUUGUCAUAAAAAAAGUAUUUAACAUUAGUAGUUAUAUUAUGAUAUGUUUGACUAUUUCUUGUUUAAAUAUUAAAAAAUUGUUAGUUAAAAUCAAUUUGCUUAUAGAGUUCUUGAGCUCAUUUGUUCAAAUUGUUUAGAUAAAUUGAUGGUGAUGCUAUAUGUAUGCUUAAUAAACAUGAUUCCAAAAGUUUAAACUUGAAACAAAGGUUAAUUAUUGAAUUGAUGAAGAAGAGCAUUAACCCUAAAAUUUGAAAAAUGUUAUACGAGUGCUACUGAAUUCAUAAUUAUAUGAAUUAAUGCAUAUAUGUGAUUUGAUCCACGUAUUCUUAGUUAAUUUUUUUUUGCUAAAAGUGUUGCUAGAAAAAGAUCUAUGGUGGGAUAUGUGUUGAGAUGUAAUGAUUGAGAGAGAACAUUGUAUUUGAUUCUCAUUAUCUGAAUGCUUAAGUUAUAACUGAAAACUAUAUAUGAAUAUAUAACUGUCUAUAACUACUAGUAACAGAAGAUUUCAUAGAAAAGACUAAAAUGCCCUUAAGGCUAAACAAACUCUAACGACUUAACGACUUAUACUGUAACACCCCCUUAAUCUNCCCCCCCCCCCCCCCCCCCCCCUCAAUCUGGAGUGUAUGGACGAAGACCCAGAUUGGAUGCAGCAUGUUGAAGUUGAGAACCAUUCAAUGAUUUGGUGAAGACAUCACCCAAUUGAGAAGUAGUAGAAAGAUGACAUAAUUUGAUUAAACCUUGUUGUAACUUCUCUCGAACCUUGUUGCAGCUUUAUUAUCACACUUCAACGGUAUAGGAAUGAUAUUAGGAACUUGUAAUUCAUCAACCAAUCUACUGAGCCAAUCUAACUCAGCAGUAACUCGUCUCAUGGAUCAAUAUUCAGCCUCAGCGGGUGAUAAAGAAACAGUUAUUUGCUUUUUAGAUUUCCAUGAAAUUGGAACACCUUCAAACAGUAUAAAGAAACCACUUACAGACCUUCUUGUUAUAGGACAAGCAGCCCAAUCAUAAUCACAAAAAGCUUCAACUUGAAAAGACUCCUGCUUGUUGAAAAACAAUCCUUGUGUGGGAUUACUUUUGAGAUAGUGUAAAACAUGAAGAGCAGCUUUGUCACACCCCAAAACCGAUAACGGCGGAAUACGUUUCGGGGUGGAUGACGUAGUGAACAGUAUCAUCACAAUUGCAUAGUGAAUUUAAUUACAAGUGUGUUUUGUAAUGUUUAACAAUCACCCAAAAGUAAAUCAAAAAUAAGAGAUGGGUCUUGUGUGCUCCACCUUCUCCAAAAAUGUCGCGUCUGUACCUGUCUAUCUUUGACCUGAAGAUACAAGUUAUUUUGAAAACGAUUAUCAGCAUAAAGUUGGUGAGUUCAUAAGAGUUUAGUGUGAGUUUUUGUAUACAAAGCAUUAGUGCUAAAAAUGUAUCAUUUAUGUUCAUAAGUAGUAGAAACUUAGAAAAUCUCAUAUUUUCCAGAAAAUACAUUGUAAGUGACAAUCAGUGAAAGAUAUGCAUUCUUCAUUUCUUUGAAACAGAUUAUUGUAAAAAUAUAUUGGCAAAUCUCCAAAUAACAAGUGUGAUGGAAUAGGUUAAGCCUGUAAUCAGCGAUAGAGGUGCAAACUUCCUUUAGUGAUAGAUACUUACUUACUUCGGGAUGCAGUUAGCAUUUAGUGUAGUAUUUUAGAGUAGUUGUAGUGUAUUCCUUGUAUGUUACUAAUAGUGAGGAUAAUAGAGGAUCCCAUGACCUUCCCGGUCAUGCACAAUAUAGUGAAGUAGUGGCAUCCCUGGGCCUGCACGGCGCGGACUGAAAUUAACAGUCGGGAUGUAAUAGCGUCUGCCCCGUAUAGAUCUAUACAUGUAGAGUCGUCUCCCUGCUGGAAAACUUCGGGCGUAGUGGAUAGCGAAUAGAGUAUCUCGUAGUGGGUUAGUGUAUUAUUGUUUGUUUAGUGUUUUCUCUAUUGUUAUAGUGUAGUAAUCUUUUAGUAUUGAUCAUAGUGUAUUCUCUUACUAGUGUAUCGUCUAGUAAUAGUGAGUAUUAUAGUGUAGAUAGAAAUGACUUUAGCGAGUAGUAGCUGUAGCAACCGUAACUAUACCUAUUAUAGUUAUCUUAGUGAGGACGGUUCUUGGCAUGUUAGUGACUUUAGUAUUAAGUGAAAGCAGUAACAUUCGUAUCCCACACUGAUAUACAGAUUAUAUAACUAAGAAAUCAACGACAGUCGGACGGAUAACUACUACCCUAAGCCCACAAUCAAACAAGAACAGGAAAUAAGGCGAGAUAUCGGUCCUAAGUCCUCCAAGUCUUACUUAUAUAAAUAUAUCAGAGUGGUUACAUUUUAUAAGUAGAUUGAUUAAAUAAAAGUAUUUUUCCGAAAGAACAUUUAAAAUCUGAUUCACUGUUUAAAAAUAGUUUGAAAAGGGUAAAACCCGUUUAUAAAGCAUAGGGACAAAUCACAUGUGAUUUGAACUAAAAGUAGUGAAUCACAUGUGAUUAAUCCUUGUAACGCGGAAAUCGUUCUGUAAAACUUUACAUAAACAUUUAUAAGCAACUUGUAUCUCCCCCCUAAAACAUGUAAAACACUUGAAAGGUUCAUUAAAGGGGUAUGAACUCACCUGAAAUCGCGGAAAUCGGGUGAAUCGGGUAAAUCGGGUAAUAGUGUCGAUUGAGCGUUUGGUACCAAAUAACCACUUGAGCACCUUUUAGGACCCUAAUGUCAUAUGAAAUAUGUAUUUUACAAGAAGUUAAUCAUCUUAUGCUUUUCAUUAUAGUAUUUGGGCAUUCUAGCAUCGUUUUCGGGGUUUUAGGGCCUAGAAAGGGUUCCCGGGACUGAUACAAGGCCAUGAAUGAAUUACGGGAGGUCCAUGAGCUCACUCUCUUAGAGUUUAUGGCCUAAAAGGCCAUCCUUUGGGAGUUUACGGCCGUAAGCCCCCUAGGCUUGGCCGUAAACUCUUGUGACACUCCAAAAGGUGUGCUUAGGGCCUUAUCUCACUUCCUUAAUUUAAUGGUAUGUGUUUUGGACUAAGAGGGAAGGAUUAAACAUCAUAUUUUGUGACAUUUUUGGGGAGUUUACGGCCAAGACUUGUUCUUGGGUCGUAAACUCCAAUAAAUCCUUCAAGAUGCAUGUUUUAAUGGUACAACAUGGUCUCAUUCACCUUAGAUAAAUCCUAUAAGGCCUAAAAAUGAGUUUUGGGACAAUUUGGCACCAACUUUUGGGGAGUUUACGGCCUAAGAACAUCCUUGGCCGUAAACUCUCCAUUUUGCCUCCAAAUGUGAAGUUUAAUGGUACAACACACUUCCAAAGGCCUUAGCUAAAUUCCUUACAUGCAUUUGAGUGGUUUAGGGACUUGUUUGACACAAAAACUUGGGUGUUUACGGCCCAAGCCUAGCCUUGGCCAUAAACUCCACUUUUUGUUUUCAAAUGAUGUUGUUUGAUGCUUUUAAACCUUCCUUGUUGUCAAGUCUAAAUUACCAAACACCCUAGAUGAGUUUUUGGGGCUUUAAACAAGGAUUUGUGGGGUGUUUGGGGUGUUUAUGGCCUAAGCACAAGCUUGGGCCAUAAACUCCUUUUUAAGCACCCAUUUCUUGUGUUUUAGUGUCCAAAUCCUUCUAGAUACAUGCCUUAAUUAGUAUACUAGCUUAAAGGAAGGAAAAACAUGGUCUUUGGUAUGAUUUUGGGGGUUUACGGCCUAAGGAGCUUCUUAGGCCGUAAACUCCUUUUUGGUCCUUGAUUUCUAUGAUUUUGGCUUCUAAAUUCAGUAAAGUAUGUCUAGAUUAAGAUAGGGGAUGAGUACUUACGUUUGGAAGUCGGAAAUUAGCGGAAUUGGGGUCGAUUUCGGGUCUAUAGAGAGAAAGUAGAGAGAAAGAGUGAGUGUGUGGUAAAAGAGUAUUCAAAGGUUGUGCACACCCAUUUCAUAUGCCUCGGGUUUCGCACCCGAUCCACGGCUACCCGAUGUUUAAAGUUAACUGGGUUAAAACUUUUUACCCGGGUGAAGUGGUUAAAAAAGUAAUACAACUCUAUUAGGUUAAACGGGGUUAACACACACGAGUUAUAUUUCUUAUGAUGAUAUUAAGACAUGCACAUAAUUAGAUAUUCGGAUAUUGAUGAUUCCAAAUAUUACAUAAAAUGACGUAUAGCGACGCAUUCCGUUAGUGAAAAUAGGAUUUGUAACGGGAAUAGAUUUAGGGUUGUCACAGGCUUCGUAAUGUUCUUGACAAGGAGUUUGAUUGAAUUGACUUAGAUGUUGAAUAGCAUAAGACAAAUCAGGGUGUGUAUGCAAUAAAAAUUUCAAUUUUCCAAUCAAUUGUCUGUAAGUUGUUUGAUCUUUUAGAGGAUCUUUCAUAACAAGUGUCAAUUGAGAUUUGGAAGGCAAUAGAGUUUUGACAGAUUUGGUGGAAGCUAUUGAAUAAAGAUUCAAUAGUUCAUUCAUGAACUUUUGUUAAUGUAUAAUCAUUCCAUCAUUAGUAGACUAAAAUUCUAAUCCAAGAAAAAAAAUGAAGAAAACCUAGAUCUUUGAUUUGAAAUUGGUGAUGAAGAAAAGCUUUCAAACUAUUGAUUUUUGUGGAAUCAUUUCCUGUUACUAAAAUGUCAUCCACAUAAACAACAACAACAAUUAAGGAUGUAUUGGUCUUCUUGAGAAACACCGAAUGAUCAUUUUGAGAAAGAUAGUACCCUUUAGACCUUAAUGUUGUAAAAAGCUUAGAAUACCAUUGCCUUGAAGCUUGUCUUAAGCCAUAUAAAGAUUUCUUGAGUUUACAUACUAAUGAUGGUGAUGAGAUGUAAAAUCCAGGAGGAGGUUUCAUGUAUACUUUUUCGUGUAAAUCUCCAUGUAGAAACGCGUUAUUAACAUCAAAUUGAUGAAUUGGCCAAUUCUUUUUAACAGCAAGAGCAACAAUACAACGAAUUGUCGUAAACUUGACAACAAGAGAAAAAGUUUCGUGAAUGUCUAUUCCUUCCUUUUGGGUAAAACCCUUUGCUACCAAACGUGCUUUGUGCCUUUCAAGAGUUCCAUCAGCUCUAUAUUUGACUUUAUAAACCCACCUACAUGAUAUUGGUUUCUUGCCUUUGGGUAAUUUCACCACAUCCCAUGUUUGAUUGGCUUCUAAAGCUUUUAGUUCAUUAACCAUAGCUUGUUCCCACUCGGGAUGUCCCUUUGCUUGAUGAUAAAAGGCUGGUUCAAAAACAUGAGUAACAACAUUGAAUGUUUAUCUUGUAGAAACAAAAUCUUAAUUAUGAUCAGAAAAAUCAUGAAGACAGUAAUUGGUGAUAGUAUGAUGACAAGAAGGAGAAUUACAUUCUGAAAAUGUAUGAUUACAUACAUAAUCACAUAAAUGAGAAGGUGGUUGAAAAACACAAGUUGAACAUCUUAAAGACACACCAUUUGGUUCAGGUGGAUUUCGAACAGGAGGUGGAAUAGGUACAGGAGUAACAAACUCUUGAUCAAGGGUAUCUUUGGAAAUUGUGGGUAAAAAGGAGAGUGAUGAUGGAUCAAUGGAUGGUGAUAUGAUGGAAUGCAAAGGAAAUAUAUCUUCAAAAAACUUCACAUCUCGAGAAAGGCUAAACAAACUCUAACGACUUAAUGACUUAUGUUGUAACAAUAUGAUGAUUGUAUUUUGUAUGCUAUUUUUUUUCAUUUGCUUUGUUCUCAUGAUGAGAUCAUUAUAACCAAAGACUUCCACACUCAACGCACCCAACCAUCCCCAUCACCACACCAUUUCCACACACAUUCAUGCCCACACCAACAAGUCCAUGGCAACACCGAUGUCCACCUCCAAUUAUACAUUAGCAUACACACACACACGACAUUGACACCCGCAUAACACCUAAAUCCAUACCCAUACCUACAUAUCCCUCUCGUACCUGCAUCCACACCCACCAUACACCUACGUGCACACUCACACUCCAAUGUAAACGACCCUACACCAACGCCGAUGACCACCCCCACAUGUAUACGCCCACGCUUGCAAUAACAAACCCACAUAGGUUUGAAGUAGGUAAAAGUUUAAUAAAUGUAAAUUUUAUCAUUUUUAAAAAUAAUAAGAAGUUAUAAAGAAUCAAUAAAAGGAGAUUGUGGAUAUAACAACAUUGACUCAUGUAGGGUAUGUAACAUAUAUUAACUAGUAAAAAAAUUAGUAUAAUAGAGUCGUGUAUAUAAUUAAUUGUUAACAUACAAUAUGAUUUAACUAGUUUAGAUUUGGAUUAUUAAUUAUUUUAUAAUAUAUAAUAUGUAGCCAAAGAUGACAUUUGGAGACUGUGACCCACGAGAAUCUAGUCCUGCUCUAGGCCAACUACAUCAGCAUCAUCGACAUCGAAUUUUGCAUUGACAUCUGUAGUAGCAAAACUAGGAGAAGGAUAUAAUAAGAGCUUUGCCAAUUGUUAUGGUGAACAAAUUGAAUUGGAAUGGUUGGUGAUGAAAAUUUUGAUAGGUAUCAUCUAUUCUUUUCUUUGUAUGUAAUUGUAACAUAGAUUCCCAGUUUUUCUCGUAAUCAGAAUGUGAACAAAUUGAAUUGGAAUGGUUGGUGAUGAAAAUUUUGAUAGGUAUCAUCUANUAUAUAUAUAUAUUCUUUGUAGUCAACUUUUGAACUUAGUUUAAAAUGUAAAUAUGUUACGAGCUUGCACUUGACUUGUGCAUAUACACAACCACUCUACUUCUUGAAGAAAGUAUUUUACUUAUUGAGGGAUUCGAUUUCAUUGAUUACUUUGACAAAUUAUUUGCAAAGCACGCACCCUAUUUCUAAAACUGAAUGAAGUUGGUUUUUUGAUGGGAAGCCUUGAUUAACAUUAAGAGAGAGAUACGGACAGAGGAGGGGGUGACUCUUGUUGUUGCCUGGUGGUGUGAGUUGGCUUUUAGUUAGGUUAAUUUGUUUAGUUUUUGUAACACCCCGAUUCAUAGGUAUUGACUUAGUGUGUGAGUUCUUGAUUUCAACGGCUACUCGACGAGUUCAUUGCCCUACUUGUCGAGUAGCAGCGGGUUGGCCACAUAUUUUAAUGAGCUACUCGCCGAGUUCAAGAAGGGACUCCACAAGUAGGAGCUGGCAGAUGAAACCCUAAAUCUCGGGGUUUUACACCCUAUUUAAAGGAUCAUUGGCCUCCCCCAGCCUCCCCUUUACUGCCCAUUGUCCCUCUCAACUCCUAAAUCGUGUGUGUGUGUGUUCUUUUGGUGUGUUCAAGCUUUGGAGGAGGAAAUUUGAAGAAGGAAACACUUAGGGAAGCAAGGAAAUCAAGGCUAGGAACUCGUGUAGAGCUAAGAGGUUCAUUAGUUGUUACUCCCAGGAAGGUAUUAAGUUGUUCCUUCAGCUCAUCUCUCUUUUGACCUCUUUUGGAUGGGUUUUAUGAAAGGCUCCCCAUGUUUAAGUUAAGAUCUGAAGUUGUAACUUCAGAUCUGGACUCCCUUUGACCUCUAGAUCCAUAAAGUUAUCACCCUUGCGUGGUAGGAGCCUUCCCUCAAGUGUGAGACUUCAUUAUAAGCUUAGUAUUGCCAUUUAAGGGUCUUAACGCCUUGCAUGCACGUAAAGUUUGCGACUUUAUGUGAUAAACAUGCCCUAGACGCUUGGAUCUGUAAUUUGGAACCUUGCCAUGGCUUUAAAAGCGUCUGCAUGGAUGAAGGUCUGCAAGGACUCGGCGAGUUGGAUGAACAACUCGGCGAGCCCGUUGAAGAUAGCCAUGAAUUCGACGAGUUGGAUGAACAACUUGGCGAGUCCGUAGAAGAUUGCCUUGGAGUCGGCGAGUCGUUCGAAGACUCGGCGAUUCAGCUAGGGUUUCUCCCAAUUCUUGGACGUAUGAACUCAGUGAGUUAAAAGGGAACUCGACGAGCCAACCAGGGAUUUCACGACUUCUCGAGUUCAGGAAGGACUCGACGAGUUGGUGAACUGCCCUCGACGAGUCAAGUCAGCAUGGACUGUUGACCUUGAUUGUGGACUUUGACUUGGACCAAGGGUUGACUAGUUGACUUCUGAGGGUAUUCUAGUAAUUUGGAGAUUUAUGAAAAAGGGUUUUAUGCUAACUAUAGGGGGUGGAGUUCGUGUUGGUGAUUCGGGAGUCGAGCUUUCUAUUUUUAGACAACAGUUGCAAGGUGAUCUAUCCUCACUAUACUAAGGGGUCUAAGGCACCAAGGCUGGCCCAUUGGAUACAUUAUCCUAGCAGAGUUAGAUGUUGAGUAUAGGUUAGCCUUGCAUGCUAGUGGUUAUGCCAGUUAGGUAGACCUGUAGGACUACGUGUGAUGUUAUAUGAUUAUUACAUGCUCGGUGUUUAUGUUAUAUGUUUGUUAUAUGGGAUGGGUUGAGGUUAUACUGCUUCGUGCGGUAGCCAACAAACCCCAGGAGCAUACUAGUUACAAGCUAAAGGAGACUCGUACUGUGGGCUCGGGAGCAUUCCAGUUACGGGCUGCGGGAGACUCGUAAUGUGGGCUCGUGGGAAUUAUAGCCUGCAGGGCUAUGGACUCGUUACGUGGUGUUCUGUUUAGUUUGUUAUGAUAUGUUAUUGCCGACAUGGUUAUGUGGACUGUAUGUGUGUCGGUAUUUUGGGGGUAACUCACUAAGCUUUCAGGCUUACAGUUUCAGUUUAUUGUUUCAGGUACAUCAGGGGAUCGCGGCAAGGCGAAGGCAUGAUCGUACAGGUCCUCAUAUUAUGUUUAUAUUUCUUGGAAUACUCUGAUAAAUAAGAUUUUGAAAACAAAGUUGUAAUAUUUUGAUGAACUUGACAUGUUUUAAUAGUUUAAAUUGGUUUGAAAUUGUUGGGUGUUACAAGUUGGUAUCAGAGCCUUGGUUUGAGUGAAUUGGAGGAACACUCGUGUAACUCCAGUCUCAAAUCAAGGAAAGGAGUUUCAAAAUGAUUUUUCUAAAAAGGUUUUCAAAAUAAAUAAAGUAGGAUGCAGGGUGUACGAUCAGCCUGAGCCAGUAAGUAGACCCCAAAAUACCAUAAAAGUUAUUUGAUUAUGUGAUAUGUUAGAACAACAUGUUAGUACUAGGCUAGGGAUCUUCAGAAAUUGCACGGUAGAAUUGUCUGAUUUCAUGAUGCCUGCUAGCCCAGGGCUUCCUUUAUAUGAAAUUGACAUCAUUACUGUAGUUGCUGAGUGUAUGCAUCACAGUUAUAUAUAAUUAAGACCUUAUAGCCUGAGAAUGUUUGAUUUGGCCAUAUGUACUGUUCUUGUUUGAUUGGGAGCUUAGGGUAGGAUUGGAUAUUCAAAAGUUUAUAGGGUUCAGCGUUAUGUAUGGCUAGCAUACACUAGUGCUACAGGGUUGGUGGAAGUUUCAUGGAUAGGUGGGUUAAGUGAGGUCGGGAGGUCAGUUAUGAGAUGUUUAUCACUCCUCUAGGGUGAGAAUUGAGCGCUCGCCAUGUUGUGUAUUCAGUUAGGGCUUUGUGAUGAUGCUUGAGACAAAUAUGGGUAGGUGUGGAAAGUAGUAUGGGCCUGUACUACUAAAAGCACAGGACCCAUCUGCAUGUCAAGUAAGUCACAAUCCCUAGGGUUAGUAGGGAGUUUGCUCCCAGCUAUUUAUAGGGAUUAUGUGAUAUCUUGUGGUAUGUUUCAGAAUCGUGAUGACGAGGCGCUUUGUGGCUGGAUCCGGUUCGGGAUCAGGAUCAGGGGACAGAGGCUAGGAGGGGUUGACAACACCUGAGCCGGUGGUGCAUAUGGGUACAAAGGAGUUGGAUGCCAGGAUUCGAGAGAUCCUACAUGAUGAGGUUCUUGCUGCAUUCCGGGCUCAAUUACCGGAGAUGUUCGGUUCGAUUAAGACCGCCAUGGUGGAGUAUUUUGAUGAGCGCUAUACAGCCCUUGCAGAGACAGCCGCCGCAGCAGCUGCAUCAGCUGUAUCAGCGGCAAGAGGGAGUUGGUUGAGGUUUUCAGUACAAGGACUUCGAUAACACGAAGCCCCCUACUUUAAUUGGGACGUAAGAUCCCAUCCAGGAUAUGAGAUGGAUUUCAGAUGUGGAGGGGUGUUUCUUAACUUGCUCGUGUCUUGCUGACCAGAAGGUCAGGUGUGCUCUGAACCUGCUUAGGUCUGGGGCCAAGGACUGGUGGAGACUUGUGACUGGGUCGUACGCUGAUGAUCAGAGAGGUGAUGUUACCUAGGAGCAGUUUAGAGACAUGUUCUGCGCCCGUUACAUUUCGCCGGUUGAGCGUGAGCGAUUGACACAGGAGUUUCUGAGUUUGAGACAGGAUGGGGAGUCGGUGACGGAGAUCACCCGUAUGUUCACUGAGCGGACGAUGUUCUCCCCAGAGUUUGCUUUCGAGCAGUCUCAGAUGACCCGUUAUCUGAGUAUUCUCAAGACUAAUAUCCGACAGUUUGUAUCUACCCAGUGAUGUAAUACUCUUUCGGAGUUACAGGAGGCCGCUAGACGGCGGGAGUUAGAGAUUGAGCUGCAGCUGAGGGAGCAGCGGCCGGCCCCGACACAGUUGCAGCCAGCGCCGAAGUGGUCCAAGACUGCUGAUUUGAGGUAUGGGAGUCAGCAGAGGCGCUCUUGUGGAAAGUGAGGCAGGGUUCAUUCUGGGAUUUGUCGAGCCAGUAGUGGGUUCCAUAGGUGUAACAAGGAGGGGCACUAUGCGAAGGAUUGUCGCCAAGCCGCUCCGAUACCGAGUAUGAAGUUAUGUUACCAUUGUGAUCAGGUUAGCCAUUUGAAGGCCAACUGCCCGUUACUCGUUGCCAAACCGGAGAUGUUCGGGUCGAUUAAGACCGCCAUGGUGGAGUAUUUUGAUGAGCGCUACGCAGCCCUUGCAGAGACAGCCGCAGUAGCAGCUGCAUCGGCUGUAUCAGCGGCAUGGGGAGGAGUUGGUUGAGGUUUUCAGUACAGGGACUUCGAUAACACGAAGCCCCCCACUUUUGAUGGGAUGCAGGAUCCCAUCCAGGAUAUGAGAUGGAUUUCAGAUGUGGAGGGGUGUUUCUUAACUUGCUCGUGUCUUGCUGACCAAAAGGUCAGGUGUGCUCUGAACCUGCUUAGGUCUAGGGCCAAGGACUGGUGGAGACUUGCGACUGGGUCGUACACUGAUGAUCAAAGAGCUGAUGUUACCUAGGAGCAGUUCUGAGACAUCUUCCGCGCCCGUUACAUUCCGCGGGUUGAGCGGGAGUGGUUGACACAGGAGUUUCUGAGUUUGAGACAAGAUGGGGAGUCGGUGACGGAGAUCACCCGUAUGUUCGCUGAGCGGGCAAUAUUUUGCCCAAAGUUUGCUUCCGAGCAGUCUCAGAUGACCCGUUAUCUGAGUUUUCUCAAGACUAAUAUCCGACAGUUUGUAUCUACCCAACGAUGUAAUACUCUUUUGGAGUUACAGGAGGCCGCUAGACGGCGACAGUUAGAGAUUGAGCUGCAGCUGAGGGAGCAGCGGCGGGCCCCGGCACNNNNNNNNNNNNNNNNNNNNNNNNNNNNNNNNNNNNNNNNNNNNNNNNNNNNNNNNNNNNNNNNAUUUGAGGUAUGGGAUUUAGUAGAGCUGCUAUUAUGGAAAGUGCGGGAGGGUUUAUUCUGGGACUUGUCGGGCCAGUAGUGGGUGCCACAGGUGUAACAAGGAGGGGCACUAUGCGAAGGAUUGUCGCCAGGCCGCUCCAAUACCGAGUAUGAAGUUAUGUUACCAUUGUGAUCAGGUUGGCCAUUUGAAGGCCAACUGCCCGUUACUCGCCGCCAAACCGGAGAUGUUCGGGUCAAUUAAGACCGCCAUGGUGGAGUAUUUUGAUGAGCGCUAUGCAGCCCUUGCAAAGACAGUCGCCGCAGCAGCUGCAUCAGUUGUAUCAGCAGUAGGGGGAGGAAUUGGUUAAGGUUUUCAGUACAGGGACUUCGAUAACACGAAGCCCACUACUUUUGAUGGGAUGCAGUUUCCCAUCCAGGAUAUGAGAUGGAUUUCAGAUGUGGAGGGGUGUUUCUUAACUUGCUCGUGUCUUGCUGACUAGAAGGUUAGGUGUGCUCUGAACCUGCUUAGGUCUGGGGCCAAGGACUGGUGGAGACUUGCGACUGGGUCAUACGCUGAUGAUCAGAGAGCUGAUGUUACCUAGGAACAGUUCUGAGACAUGUUCCUCGCCCGUUACAUUCUGCAGGUUUAGCGGGAGCGGUUGACACAGGAGUGUCUGAGUUUGAGACAGGAUGGGGAGUCGGUGACGGAGAUCACCCGUAUGUUCACUGAGCAGGCGAUGUUUUGCCCAGAGUUCGCUUCCGAGCAGUCUCAGAUGACCCGUUAUCUGAGUAUUCUCAAGACUGAUAUCCGACAGUUUGUAUCUACCCAGCGAUGUAAUACUCUUUUGGAGUUAUAGGAGGCCGCUAGACGACGACAGUUAGAGAUUGAGCUGCAGCUGAGGGAGCAGCGGCCGGCCCCGGCACAGUCGCAGCCGGCGCCGAAGCGGUCAAAGACCGCUGAUUUGAGGUAUGGGAUUCAGCAGAGCUGCUCUUAUGGAAAGUGCGGCAGGGUUCAUUCCGGGAUUUGUCGAGCCAGUAGUGGGUGCCACAGGUGUAACAAGGAGGGGAACUAUGCGAAGGAUUGUCGCCAGGCCGCUCCGAUACAGAGUAUGAAGUUAUAUUACCAUUGUGAUCAGGCUGGCCAUUUGAAGGCCAACUGCCCGUUACUCGCCGCCAAACCGGCGCAGGCUCCAACACCAGCUACUUUGAGGAUCACAGAUGGGAGACCAGUCAAGGCAGAGCCUCCGAAGGCCCAGGGACGUGCUUUCCAGCUUACAGUGGAGGGGGGCAGGGCAGCACCAAAUGUGGUUGCUGGUAUGUUUGUAUCCUUUAUCUCGUUUUCCAUAUCUGUUGUAUGCUUAUCUAUUGUACCUGUGAUUAGGUACAUUUUUAGUGAACUCUUUGCCUGCUUUGGUCUUAUUUGACUCGGGGGCGAGUCGGUCCUUCGUAUCUCAGUCUUUUAGUAGGGAGUUCAGAGCGCCAGCGGGCGAGUUAGAGUGUCCGUUGCGAGUAUCUAUCGCCAACGAACACGGGGUUUCCGCUUCUUCAAUCUAUCGAGGGUGUGACUUGGAGAUUUUCGGGGUGUCCUUUCCAAUAGAUUUGAUUCCGAUCCCCAUGGGGGAGGUGUGCGUGAUUGUGGGCAUGGAUUGGCUCAGCCGGUUCGGUGCUAUGAUUGAUUGCGAGGGCCAGCGAGUGGUAGUUUGAACCCCAAGUAGGGGAGAACUGAUUGUAUAUGGUGAACGAACCAGAGUAGGAUCAGGGUUUUGUUCAGCUGCCAGGGCUUGGCAGUACAUUCAGCACGGGUGUGUGGGUUAUCUAGCGUAUGUUGUAGAUACGCGAGUCAGGGAUCAGAUUUCGGUUUUCGAUGUAUCGGUGGUCAAGGAGUUUACGGAUGUGUUUCCGGAGGAGUUUUCAGGGAUACCUCCGGAGAGGUAGGUCGAGUUCAGGAUCGACCUGGUGCCAGGUGCGGCCCCUAUCACUAAGGCGUCGUACCAAUUGGCACCACCAGAGAUGCGGGAGCUGUCGUCCCAGCUACAAGAACUGUUGGGCAAGCAGGUCAUUCGACCUAGCAGUUCUCCAUGUGGAGCGCCGAUUCUUUUUGUCCAGAAGAAGGACGGUUCGCAUUGGAUGUGUAUUGAUUACCGAGAGUUGAAUAAGUUAACGGUGAAGAACCGUUACCCACUCCAGCGGAUAGAUGAUCUCUUCAAUCAGUUGCAGGGUGCAUUUUGGUGUUCCAAGAUAGACUUGAGGUCUGGGUAUCAUCAGGUCUAAGUCAGAGAGGAGGAUGUGAAGAAGACCGCGUUCAUAACUUGUUAUGGACAUUAUGAGUUCGUGGCGAUGCCGUUUAGGCUCACCAAUGCGCAAGCGGUGUUCAUGGACCUGAUGAAUCGGGUCUGCAGACCGAUGCUUGAUCACUCGGUUAUAGUGUUUAUAGAUGAUAUCUUGGUCUAUUCCAAGACCCAAGAGCAGCAUGAGGAGCAUCUGCAAGAGCUGUUAGGAGUUCUGAGACGAGAACGAUUGUACACCAAGUUCUUGAAGUGCGAGUUCUGGUUACAAGAGGUCCAGUUCCUCUGGCAUCUCGUCAACUAGGAGGGGAUUUUGGUCGAUCCGUCCAAAAUCGAGGCGGUUAUGCAGUGGGAGAUUCCAAAAUCUCCCUCAGAUAUUAGGAGCUUUCUGGGAUUGGCAGGGUACUAUUGUUGGUUCAUACGAGAUUUCUCCAUGAUUGCAGUACCCCUCACUCAUCUGACGAGGAAGGGGGUGGAUUUCCGGUGGGGCCCCGAGCAGAAGAGGGCGUUUGAGACCCUUUGUCAGCAUUUGUGUAAGGCACUAGUAUUGACACUCUCGGAGGGAGUUGAGGAUUUUGUGGUGUUCUGUGAUGCAUCCAUCACAGGAUUAGGGGCGGUCCUCAUGCAAAGAGGACGAGUGAUAGCCUACGCAUCGCGGUAGCUGAAACCGGAUGAGACGAGAUACCUUACGCAUGACUUGGCACUGGGGGCGGUGGUGUUCACCCUCAAGAUAUGGAGACAUUACCUCUAUGGGGUCCGCUGUACAAUUUACACGAAUCAUAAGAGCUUGAGAUAUAUCAUGGAUCCGGGUCUUCCACUCCCGCGAUAUGUAUGAGAAUAGCGGUGGAUUCUCCGCUUGUGAGUUUGAUCAGAGAUGGCCUGGUAGAGGGCAUGCAACUGGAGAAUUGGAAGCUGGAAAGGAUCAAGGGUGAGAAUACCCGGUUCGUGCAGGAUAGUCGGGGACUAUUGACCCGAUGUGGUCGGGUUUGGGUUCUGAUGUCGGGUGGGGUUAGGCAGACGAUUAUGGAGGAGGCUCAUAAGUCUCAUUUCUCUAUUCACCCAGGGGCCACCAAGAUGUACCGCGAUUUGAGUUUGAGCUAUUGGUGGUCGUGCAUGAAGCAAGAGAUCGCUUGGUACUUCGAGAGGUGGUUGACCUGUAGGAUGGUUAAGGCCGAGUAUCAGAGGCCGCAUGGAAAGCUGCAGCCUCUAGAGAUUCCUAUGUGGAAAUGGGAACAGAUCACGAUGGAUUUUAUUACCAAGUUGCCGAGGACGGAGAAAGGGUUUGAUGCUAUAUGGGUCAUCGUGGAUCGAUUGACCAAGAGUGCCCAUUUCUUAGUUAUACGGGAGAGCUCAUCGGCCGAGAAAAUGGCCAAAGUGUACAUUCACGAGAUUAUGUCUCGCCAUGGGGUUCCCGUUUCCAUUGUCUCUGAUCGAGAUGUCAGGUUUACCUCCCGCUUCUGGUAAAAGUUUCACGAGGAGUUGGGCACGCAGUUUCACUUCAACACAUCAUUCCACCCGCAGUCAGAUGGCCAGAGCAUGCGGACUAUUCAAACCCUCGAGGACAUGUUAAGGAGGUAUGUCAUAGAUUUCGGUGGGAGUUGGGAUUCUCACCUACCGCUUACGGAGUUCGCCUAUAACAACAGUUAUCAUUCUAGCCUUGGCGCCCCGCCUCUCGAGCUGUUGUACGGGCGGAGAUGUCGCACCCCGAUUUGUUGGGGUGAGGUUGGCCAUAGGGUGAUGGGUAGGAUGGAGGUGGUCUUGCAGACUACCGAGAAAAUCCAGUAGAUUAGGCAGCGGCUGCAAACCGCUCAGAGUCAGCAGAAGAAUUACGCCGACCAGCGCCUCUCCGAGUUAGAGUUUCAGGUCAAUGACAUGGUACUCCUGAAGGUCUCGCCCUAGAAAGGCGUGAUCCGCUUCAAGAAGAGGGGAAAAUUGGGUCCCCGGUAUAUUGGGCCGUUUAGGAUCAUUGCUAGGGUUGGCAAGGUAGCUUACAGGCUAGAGCUGCCAGAGGAGCUUAGUCGGAUACACAAAACUUUCCACAUUUCGCAGUUGCGAAAGUACAUUAGGGAUCAAGAGGAGGUGGUGCCACUAGAUGAUAUUCAGGUUAAUGAACGCCUGAAUUACAUAGAGAGGCCUAUGGCCAUACUAGAGAAGAAGAUGAAGAUUCUGAGGAAUAAGGAGAUACCUUUGGUGAAAGUUCAGUGGGAGCAUCAGAGGGGGUCUGAGUGGACGUGGGAGACGGAGGCGGAAAUGUGGGAAUUCUACCCGGAGUUAUUCCCUGUAGCAGACUUCGAGGACGAAGUCUAGUUCAAGUGGGGGUGACUUGUAACGCCCAGAUUCUCAAGUAUUGACUUAGUGUGUGAGUUCUUGAUUUCAAGAGCUACUCAAUGAGUUGAUUGCCCUACUUGUUGAGUAGCAGCGGGUUGGCCACGUAUUUUAAUGAGCUACUCUCCGAGUUUAAGAAGGGACGUGACGAGUAGGAGCUGGCAGAUGAAACCCUAAAUCUCGGGGUUUUGCACCCUAUUUAAAGGAUCAUUGGCCUCCCCCAGCCUCCCCUUUACUGCCUUUUGUCCCUCUCAAGCCCUAAAUCGUGUGUAUGUGUGUUCUUUUGGUGUGUUUAAGCUUGGAGGAGGAACUUUGAAGAAGGAAACACUUGGGGAAGCAAGGAAAUCAAAGCUAGGAACUCGUGGGGAGCUAAGAGGUUCAUCAGUUGUUACUCCCUGGAAGGUAUUAAGCUGUUCCUUUAGCUCAUCUCUAUUUUGACCUCUUUUGGAUGGGUUUUAUGAAUGGCUCCCCAUGUUUAAGCUAAGAUCUGAAGUUGUAACUUCAGAUCUGGACUCCCUUUGACCUCUAGAUCCAUAAAGUCAUCAGCCUUGCCUGGUAGGAGCCUUCCCUCAAGUGUGAGACUUCAUUGUAAGCUUAGUAUUGCCAUUUAAGGGUCUUAAAGCCUUGCAUGCACGUAAAGUUUGUGACUUUACAUGAUAAACAUGCCCUAGAAGCUUGGAUCUAUAAUUUGGAACCUUGUCAUGGAUUUAAAAGGGUCUGCAUGGAUGAAGGUCUGCAAGGCCUCGGCGAGUUGGAUGAACAACUCGGCGAGCCCGUUGAAGAUAGCCAUGAACUCGACGAGUUGGAUGAACAACUCGGCGAGUCCGUAGAAGAUUGCCUUGGAGUCGGCGAGUCGUUCGAAGACUCGGCAAGUCAGCUAGGGUUUCUCCCAAUUCUUGGACGUAUGAACUCAGCGAGUUAAAAGGGAACUCGACGAGGCAAUCAGGGAUUUCACGACUUCUCGAGUUUAGGAAGGACUCGACGAGUCGGUGAACUGCACUCGACGAGUCUAGUCAGCAUGGACUGUUGACCUUGACUGUGGACUUUGAGUUGGACCAAGGGUUGACCAGUUGAAUUCUGAGGGUAUUCUGGUAAUUUGGAGAUUUAUGAAAAAGGGUUUUAUGGUAACUAUAGGUGGUGGAGUUCGUGUUGGUGAUCCGGGAGUCGAGCUUUCUAGUUUCAGACGACAGUUUCAAGGUGAGCUAUCCUCACUAUACUAAGGGGUCUAAGGCACCAAGGCCGGCCCAUUGGAUACGUUAUCCUAGCAGCGUUAGAUGUUGAGUAUGGGUUAGUCUUGCAUGCUAGUGGUUAUGCUAGUUAGGUAGACCUGUAGGACUACUUGUGAUGUUAUAUGAUUACUACAUGCUCGGUGGUUAUGUUAUGUGUUUGUUAUAUGGGAUGAGUUGAGGUUGUACUGCUUCGUGCGGUAGCCAACAAACCCUAGGAGCAUACCAGUUACGAGCUAAGGGAGACUCGUAAUGUGGGCUCGGGAGCAUUCCAGUUACGGGCUAAGGGAGACUCGUACUGUGGGCUCGUGGGAACUACAGCCUGUAGGAUUGUGGACCCGUUACGUGCUGUUCUGUUUAGUUUGUUAUGAUAUGUUAUUGGUGACAUGGUUAUGUGGAAUGUAUGUGUAUCGAUAUUUUGGGGAUAACUCACUAAGCUUUCGGGCUUACAGUUUCUGUUUAUUGUUUCAGGUACAUCAGAGGAUCACGGCAAGGAGAAGGCAUGAUCGUACAGCUGCUCAUAUUAUGUUUAUUUUUCUGGGAGUACUCUGAUAAAUAAGAUUUUGAAAACAAAGUUGUAAUAUUUUGAUGAACUUGACAUGUUUUAAAAGUUUAAAUUGGUUUGAAAUUUUUGGGUGUUACAGUUUUUGUACUAAAGAAAAUGCAUACAUCAUAGUGGAGACUGGCUAUUAAAGGUUAUAAGGACUUUUUUAACAGGUAAAUAUAAGUUUAUGCCGUUAUAUACUAAAAAAACAUGAGUGACCUUUUAAAACAGAUGACACAAGUUCGUUGGGCUAAAAUGACAUUCUCCAAAAGAAAAAAUUCACCAAAAAAUCAUCCCACUUCAUAAGAAGCUUAAUGCUAAGCAACAUUUGGAACUUGAAGUCAACCGAAUGAAAGGGGAAAUGGAAAUGAAGAAGUUCUAAAAGAAAAAGAAUACAGACAUGAUAGUUUGGAAGAGCUUAAUUAAUCAAGCCUUAUUUUUCAAAGACGAGUUAAGCAGUAAUGGAUUACAACAUGCACCCAAGUAAUUUAUUUUUCUAAGCUUCUUUCCAUCAGAAUGCUAUUAUUUUAUAGUAAAAGUUACUUAUUUUGUCCUUGUUUGAACAAGGCAUGAAAGUUAAUCAUGUGUGUAUAUAUUGGUGUAAAACAAAUGGGUGAGAUUGGUGAAAAUAUUUUCAUUGUUGCUGUCAAAAGACGUUUAAGGUGAAUUCAAUGUAACAUAAAGUUGGUUCCUACAACUCAUCUUUUAUUAUGAUCUGAUUGUUGUUCUUACUUUUAAGUCUUACUUGAAAAAAAAAUGCAAUACUGAAUCUGUUGCUGGUUUUUAGGUCAUAGAAAAGAUUAAUUUCAAACUUCAUGAUGAUCAAAAAGUUCGAUAUUCUAUUUAUAUCCUACAUGUGCUUUUUCUAUUCUUGAAGCGGGUAAAUGAUCAACUUAUGAAAGAGAUAGCAACAGAGUAAAAAAUUCAAUAUAUUUUUUAUUGUUUAUCUCUAAUUUAUUGCAUUAUUUAGAACUUAUGGUUAUAUAGAACUUCUAUUGUACAUUUUAGCUAAUCUAAAUCAGUAUUGCCAUAUAUAUGAUUUUUGAAUUGGAACAUAACCUAAUUGAAUUUUACAUAAAAAUUAAUAAGCUAGGUUUCAUAUAAUUACAAAUUAGUUUUGUCCACUAAACUUUAUAAAAAGUAAUUUUUGUUGGAGUAAAUCGCAACAUACUUUAUUUCUUUAUUAAUUAAUUAUUCAUUAUUCUUGAUUUCUUGGAGCAUUAGAUCUCAUUUUUAGUUCUUUGAACUAUGUAGAUGUUAUUGUGCGACCUCCUUUUGUUUAUAUUGAUCAACUAAAGAGCUCUUUAACUGAACGAAAUAAUAUAGCUGCUCAAAAUACUAGGACUGGGACAUCAUUUAGCUUAAUAUACACAAAAACUAGAACUUAAUGUAUUGCUUUUAUGAUAUGUUGAAUAUAAUUUAUUGGAUGUUGUCUCUUUUUUUGUCUCUUCUUUGUAUACAGUGAAGAAGAAUACAACAUCGAUAUGAUUUUAUUUUUGGUUUGUGAUUGUAGGUUUCUUUAAGCAUCAAAAAAUGAGCAAUGGCCAUGUGUUACAUCUCUACAAGAUUUNUAUAUAUUUUGCAUUAUGAGACAUUAAUUGUUAUUUAAUUUGAGAAUUAGUAUAUUUACAUAAAUUUUUUAAAACUGUUAACAUUAUGACACGCAAAAUGUGUAUCGUAAAAUAUGUCAUAAAUAUGUAUUAUAAAUGUGUGUCAUUAAAGCCAAUGUCAUAAAGGAAGAUGUCACGUAGUUUGUGUUGGAUUAAUGUCUAAGCCCGUAACUAUAUUUGGUAUGUAAUUGACCCGGUUGUGCAUGGUCCUUUUGGGUUGCCUUCACCAAAGCAACUUGAUAGGAUGAUUUAUAGAGAAAAAGGAAUAAUUAUGAUUUAUUAAUAUAUUAUAUGAAUAAUAUAUUAAAGGGGAAAUCAUAGUGUUUAAUUAAUAUUAAUUAAGAAUUUAUUAAGAAAUAGUUUUGUGACUAAAAGACAUGAAUUAAACUUAAGGGACUGGAAUUGUAAUUAUAAGAUAAUUGCAAUUGGGCUAUGGAUCACCUUGGAACAUAGGUUGGACGAAUUCUAUGGGAAGCCCAUAAAGAAAUCGUCCAAGGGAUGUUCUAAAGGGAGUCCAUGGGUUGCUUAGGGCCUAAGCAGUCAAAUUAGGGUUUCCUAGUUGAAAACCCUAAUAGCCUACAUAUAUAAGGAACCCUUAAGGCCCCAAAAACGUGGCUAACACUUCUAAGAGAACCCUAGACGUUUUUGGUGCCUCCUCCUCCUUCUCAUAAGUCAUUCUCUUGCUUAUGGUGUUUUUAACCCAUUAGAGGAUGGCAUUUGUGACUCUAAGCUCCAAGACAAGAAGAUUCAAGCCAUUAUCAAAGAGGUAAUCAUCUAGAUCUGUUCUUAUAUGCUAUUUUCGAAGUUCACAUGUUAGAUUAGGGUUCUUGAGUCUUGGAUGAAUUGAAUGUGCAAUAGAGAAACCUAGAUCCAAGCUUUAGGGUUUGCAUGAGCACAUAGGAUGUUCUUAUAGCUAAAACCCAUCAAUUUGCAUGUCAUAAAUUUAUGACAUGCAAAUGUGUGUCAUUUUCCAUUAUAGCAGGGGCUUUAAUAACGCAUGUUUACAUGUGAUCUGACCCUUUUAUGACACACAUUGGGUGUCAUUAAAGGUUUGUUUUCUAGUAGUGUAGUAGUUGGAUAUGGACUAAGUUUGUUACUUAAAGCACCUAAUAUUUUAUACGUAACAUAGAUAAUCAUACCAUAUGAUGGAUUGGUUAUUUUAUUCUUUUUAUUAUUAUUUCUUAGAAAUAAUAAUUCUCAAUAUGUUGGUAAAUAUUAUUUUUCGUAAAAUAAUGGUAACUUGCUAUAAGGUGUGACCCUAUAGGAUCAUAUGUUAUUAGAAAUAUCGUUCAAUAACGACUCCUAGGCAUACAAGAUCUUUCAAUCUCUUACUUGGACAAGACUUAUCAUAUAUUAAUAUAGAGAAUGGUGAACGUCUAGCAACAUUUAACUACCCCAAUAACAUAUGAAGAAGAAUGUCAUUCACCAACAUCCAAUUCGCAAAAGCUCAAACUUUCAGUUGACGUAUAAAGUAAGUUUAACAGUUAUCCAUUUGUUGCAGACAUCCUAUUAAACAUGAGACAUGGAUAACAAUCAAUCUCAUUUCAAGUUCAACUUUGGCUAUCACGAUAGAUGCUCAACUCUGAACACAUAAGAGGGAAAAAUCCCAUCUAGACUUCAUAAAACUCUUACAUAGUUCACAUCAUAACUAAAAGUGGAUUUUAUAUAAUUGCCCAUUUAAGAAUUAGCAUUUGACCAUUUCUAAGCACAACACUCCCCACACUUAAUUCUCACUAUGUAUCUUAGGUUUUAAGGAUACAAAGAUAGUAGCUUUUAAUCAGUUAUCACUUAUAACUGUGACCUAUAGAUGAUCUUCAUGUUGGUACAUUCAGUACCAAUUGUAUGACAAGUACCUAUGAAACUUGGUUACAACCACUUGUCUACUUUCAUCUGGUGAUAGCUAACCAAUCCAGUUCAUUUUAAUGUUACUUCAUAAUUUUUCCCACAAUUAUAACUAACUAUGAAUUUUUGAAUAAUGUGAUUAUUCAUGGAUUAAACAUGUUAAUAUAGAACACAACAAGUAUUGAUGUGAUGAUAAUAUCCCCAUAUAUCAAAACAGUAUAAUAGUUUUUGUCUUCAUGUUCAAAUAUCCAAAUACUAAAUUCAAAUCAAAAUCCUAUUUUUUGAAUAUUGAAGUUGUAUAGCUGAAAUGUGACCAGUCAUACUUAGCUAAAAGGGAAGGACUUUAUUAAUGGUCCAACCAAAUUAAAAUUGUGUGAAUUUUGCGAAUACUAUUAUUUCCAUAUUUGACUUUACUUUAAGUAUAGUCAAAUAUCUUGAAGAAUAUGAUUGGUGUUCUUAUGUGACAUAGAUUGAAUUAGCUUUAUUAAGUAUACUCUCGAAGUCAUAAAUAUUUCUAUGUGUCUUUGAAUGGUAUAAAUCAAAAUAGUUUUUCAAUGAGCUUAUUCAUCCAAUCAUACUUCAUUUCAACUUCUAAAGUAGUAGUAUCUUCUUAUUAAGUAUAUUGUGCAAUUAUGUUUUUCUUUGACCUCAUUCUUACAAAACUUACUCUUCAUUCCAUAAUGAAGUCCUAAUCCAAUUAUAAAUCACUAUGUAUCUCAUGGUCAUUCUCUUAUUUCUUCUUCAGUACUCUCAGAAUGUUCUCAAAGUUGUCCAGUGACUUAUCCAUGUAUUCAAUUGGUAUCUUAUGAUAUGUUCAAGACAUAAUCAUAUACCUAGUUUUUGUGCAUAAUAUGAUAUAAAUUAUGUAUUCAUUUGCCUAGCAAACUGAGUAUAAAUGAUUUUAUCUAACUCAAACAUAUGUAUUAGGUCCUUUUGAGGCUAGCUCAAAAUGAUGUCAUGUGACAAUGCCAAGAAUUCUCUAAAGAAAUCUUGUAUCUUGAUAUCAUUCAAUAUAUUUUCAACAUAUGCAUAAAUCAUUUAAAACUUUAAUAUUCAUCUUUAUCUAUUUAUGUAGAUUUUACAUUCAAAGAAUGUAUCUUGUCAUUACCAAGUCUUUCAUCUUAGAAACAGAUUAUGAGUCAAGGUGAAAUAUAUUGGCAUGGUUAGAAUGUAGCUUCUCAUGACUAAAGAUAUAUCAUUCAUACAAUAUUAGGAAUAUCACUAUGCUCCCACUACUUCUUAGUAAACGCAAAUAUAAUCUUCAUUCUGAUAUAAAAGUACACAUUGUAUUUAUAUAUAUAUUAAAAUGAGGAUUCUAACCUUGAGAUGUUUGCUUUAUGUCCACAAGUGGAUCUUAAGUGGUACACAUUUUUUUAGGAUAACAUGGAUUAAGAAAACAUCCAGGCUAAUCUAUAUUGAUAUCUUCUAGUAGAUGACUAUAUAAAAGGGGUAUUUCUUGAAAUCUAUUUGCUAUAUUUCAUAUAAAGACUAUGAAGUCAUAGUAAAUAAUAUCCUUUUUGAUAUAAUCAUAGCAACUUGUGAAAAUGUUUAAUCAUAGUCAAUGUAAUGAGUAUGAUAAGGACAAUAAUCAAUGACACGGGUAUGAGAAAAUGCUUUUAUUACAAGCCUUGCUUAAUGUGUAUUAUAUUCAUGUAUGCAUUUUUUCUAAAAGAAUCACUUACUCCUAUUAGCAUUGCUAUAGGGUGGAAGAUUAAUCAAUCCCAUAUUUAAUUAUUAUACAUGACUACUUCUUAAUAUUCAUGACUCAGAGUUAUUUAAAGUAUUUUGGUAGUUGAUUGACAUGCCAGAAACCAUCAAGAAUAACUCAUCAGUGAGAGAUUCCACAUUUCUCAAGUCAUAAAUGAUUUCUACCAUUAAUGCGAACAAUUUGUGUUUAUGAGUUGCUAUUAUUCAUGUAUAACAUGUUUUUGUUAACACUAGUGCCAACUUUUACAAUAUCAGGCUAUGAUUCUUGAGCUACUUCAAGUUUUAUGUACCUCCCACUUGGUUUGUCAUUAAAAGCUCUCUUUGUCCUAAAUUAGCCUUCAAAGGAAUAAUGUGACAACCCAAAAAAUUUUCCAUCGUUAUAACCCGUUUCUGUUAGUAGAAUAUUCUAUUUUAUUAAGAUUCCGCUAAUAUUGGGGUGGACAAACCAAUACAUGUUUUAUUUUAUUUUAUAUUAUUAAUGUCGUAAUGAAAUAAAUAAAAACACGUGAAUUACCCUCCCGUUUAGUUGGAAAAAGUUAUUAAUUACGACCAUUUAAUCGGGUAAAAAUUUAAGCCUCGUUAAACGUCAGUAUCGGGUAGAAUUCCACCAUGUCUCAAACUUAAACCAUAUUUAAAGUUGAGGUAACUUCAUUUUGAAGCUUUUCACCCUCUCUCUACUCUCUCUCUCUCUACAAUUCCAAGCUUUUGAUCCAAAAAUCACCCCAUUUCAAGCUCCAAUUUGGUAAGAUAUCCAUCCUAACUCUUAGAUUAUCAUACUUAGCUUGUAAUUUCGUGUCAAAAUCAUCCAAAAGGACCAUAAUCAUGUGUUUACGGCCCUAGAACAUCCUUGGGUCGCAAACACACAUAGAUGGGGUUUUUGAGCCUCAAAACCCUUCCAAACCACAUUUGGAACUUAGAUAUGACUUAGGGGCUUGCGAUACCGGACUGGGAACACCUAAACCUUAUCAUUUGAGGGGUAAACAAGAGUUUAUGGCCCGAGCAUAUGCUUAGACCGUAAACUCCAUUUCAUAGGCCGUAAACCCCUUUAAAGGUGUUAAAAUGCCCCUUAAGCACCUCAUAAGCCUUGGAAUAAAGUCUAGAACCAUCCAACAAUGUGUUAGGGACCUUAUACAUGCAAGAAACCACCCCUAAGGAGUUCACGGCCGUAAACCUCCCCAGGAAUGGUUCCUGGGCUGUAAACUCCAAUAAGGUGGUCAAUUGGUGCCAUAACUCCUUCCAUGGCUUGUACCUAGCACUAGAAACUCUUGCAAUUGACCUAGGACCACCAAAACACAUUGAGAAUUGGUACAUCAGAGUUUACGGCCGUAAACUCCUAGUUUACUGUCGUAAACUCCUCAAAUGGUCCUUAUGUUGUUCAAAUUCCAUUCCAAUGCCUUAAAACUAAGUCUAGCAUCACCCCUCAAGAGUUUAAGACCAUUAAGCAUCCUAGAACACCCCCACCAUGAGUUUACGGCCAUAAACUCAUGAAGAGUUGGUCAUUUGGGCUGAAAACUCCAUAAGGAGUUUACUCUUGAAGAGCAAACUCCAUAUCCAAGUCAUACACACCCUUAGGUGCUACCCGGGUCACUCCUAGCACUUGAAAUGAAGUCUUUUCGCAUCUCGGAGUGUAUUGUCUUAUCUAAUUAGUUGUUCAAAGUCUAAUUAGAUAUAAUUAUAUAUCUAUUCAUAUUACAUAGGAACCUCGCGCGUUCUCAAGCCCCGAAUUGACACUUAGCAUCUAUCCGACACAUUCCUCGUCUGGUGAGUUCAUACCCCUUAAUGAAUAUUUUCAAAUGUUUUUAGAUGUUUUAGGGGGGGGGGGAAUACAAGUUAAAUGCAACAAGUGUUAAUAUCAAAUCAUAUGUGAUUUAUAACCUGCAACUAAAAAGGAUUUUUUAUAUUUUUACCUACUUAUUCAUAAAACUGUUUCAAAUACUUAUCAAAUGCAUUUUCAAGGUUAAAUUGUUGUUAAACUACUUUCAAACUGUGUUUAAACUAGUUUUCUUUUAAACUAUAUCUACACUAAUAUAUUUAUAUAAGUAAGACUUGAAGGACUUAGGACCGAUGGCUCGCCUUAUUUCCUGUUCUUGUUUGAUUGUGGUCCUAGGGUAUAUUGUUAUCUGUCCGACUGUCGUUGAUUUCNUAUAUAUAUUUGCGUUAGAUAUGAAAGUCUUCAUCUUAUUCAUUACCUUUGUAAAUCAAAGGCAUGCAAUCCAACACUCUAUUUAGCUAUAAUAGGUAUAGUUAAGACUACUGCUCCUUACCUCUAUUAUUACUAUACUCACUAUAAUCAUUACUACUACAAGUUAAUGUACAUUAAAGAGAACACUCUAUGUACUAUACUAAAGGCUUACUAUACUAUAACACGAGAGAAUACACUAAUCCAGAGUAUAACACACUAUCCCUCUAUACGACACUCUACUACGCAAAUACAAUGUAACCAGAGCUUCCCGGAAGGAAAGCAACACUACAUGUAUAGAUUUAUACAGGACGGACACUAUUUCAUCCCGACUGUUGACUACAGUCCGAGCUGACUAGGCCCAGGGGCGGCACUACCUUGCUACACUACGUAUGACUGGGAAGGUCAUCGGACCCUCUAUUAUCAUUCAGUUUGGUUACAUAAGAGAUCAAAUCCAUAUCCAAAUUAACAACACUAAGACUUAAAGUCUAAGCUAACUUCCCGAAGUAAAUAAACAUAUAGUACUAAUUGAAGUUUGCAACACUACUACAACCAACCGGCAAUACUUUUCCUCAUCUACGUUACUUGAAGGAGGUUUAUUACAUUAUUUUUAUAACUGAAAGUUUCAAUGGAAAUACUUUUACACACUCGAAGGAUUUUACUUACAUAUGCUCAAUUCAGGAAAAUAUAGGAUUUUCUAGGGUUUUUCUACUAUUCUUAAACAUUAAUUACAGCUUUUAUAUUACAUGAUUAUAACUACUUGUAUACAAACAAAGACACUGAAUUCUUAUGAACUCACCAGCUUUAUGCUGAUACUCAUUUUCAAAAUAACUUGUAUCCUCAGGUCAAAGAUAGACAGGUACUGGUGCAGCUUUUGAGAAGAUGGAGCAUAUACAAGAUUCAUCUUUUAUUUUUGUUUAUACUUUUGGUGUCUAUUAACUGUGCAGAACACGUUUGUAAUUAUAAUCACUAUAUUAAUGAAAUGGUUGUUGUCACUUGUUUUUACUAUUAUGCAAUUGUUAUGAUACUGUACAUGACAUCCUCCACCCCAGAACGUAUUCCGCCGUUCUCGAUUUUGGGAUGUGACAAAUAACAAAACUUAUUCUUGGUGGGUUUGUAUAAAAUAAUCUAAAUUCCCUUUUAGAAUAUUGUACUAACAUGCAAUUAGUUGGUGUUUGUAUUCAUGAUAUAAUAAAUUCAUUGAAGUUAAAUCCCAAGAGAAUAAAGGAGGAUAUUUCUAACGAUUACAAAACAAACUAUGUCAAGUUAAGUUUAAUUCAUCCUUUAUUAUCACUAAGACUUUAUAUGGUAUUAUUGGCUUCUAUAUCAACUUUAUUUUUGAAAAUUUCAACAAAAGUUUCAUAAUUAUGUUUUAAGAUGUAAAGUAUAAUUAUAACUACUAUAGUUGUUAAUAAAUUUUAUUUGGUAUCUUAUGCUUAAUCUUAGGCAUUUAUUAGAAAAGAAGUUAUAUAUCAUAGUAUAUAGUUCCUUAAUAAUUAUUUUCUCUACACCUUAGUGAAAAUAUCAUUAGGAAUUCUUUAUAUAUAAAUAAGAUCCACAUAUUCCAAAUACACUACAAUAUUUUCCUUCAAAGAUCCCUUUCUAGAAGUUGGAAUAUGUAUAUUUCAUUUAUAUAACAAAGAUAACAAUGUCUUAGUUAAAUUUGAUUCAAAACAAUUUUAACUCAAAAGGGUUUGCAUAUAGAACUUUUUAUUUAUAAAAAAUUGAUUUUUAUUUUAUAAUUCUAUUAUGAGAUCUAGUCUCAUAAAUAGAAGUUAAUCAUUUCAAAAUAUCAAUAUUAUCAUUAUCAAAAAUUGAUUUAAUUAAAUAAUCAAAUUUUUAACAAAUUAACUGAGACAUAUUUAAACAUGUUAAACUUAAAACAUACAUUGUUCCAAACCAAACAUUUUUUUACAACACAAGUACAUUAUGUUCUAAGCAGAAAUUAUAAACUAAACUCCUACAGUGAAGUUCUAAUUUCCAUGUGCUCUACGGGUUACUCUUUUGUAAAUAUUUGCAAGCAAAUUACAAAUAUUAAAUUAACAUCUAAGUAUCAAGUACUUUAGUGUUAUAAGAAAAAUACAAGUUCUAUCUAGUAGACACCUAAAGUACUAGUCUCUUCCAGACUUCUUUUUAGAUAGAGGAGUAGAUCCUUUUCCAGUAUCAUAUUUCUCCACAAAAGAAACAAGGUCCAUCUAUGUGGGCCUUAUUGGAUUACUUGGGCCUAAAUGUAUUCAUUCCUUAAACUAUGGGGCUCUUAAAUGAUACAUGGUGACUAUUUUCAGCCUUGCAUUACUCUAUUUGUUUGAAUUGGCUUAAAACAAAAUAUCACUGUACUGGAGGUAUAUUUGCAUAACCUUUUAUAUCAUUAGAUUUAAAUCUAUAUUAUCUAAGACUUCCUGGAAGUCAUGAAUAACAUUUCCUAAUGUGAUGUUAGAAGCAUCUUAAUCGUCGCAGUGAAGCCUUUACUUGGUAUUAUGUUCAGGUCUAUUGCUCAAAGCAAGUUGUUUAGGAAUAGGUCAUUUAUGAGUGUACAAUUUCUGGUUUUUAAAAACAUGAACUCAUUCAUUGAAAUUGUAUCUUUUGAGUGUUAUUGUUUUUCUAGUCANUAUAUAUAUAUAUAUAUAUAUAUAUAUAUAUAUACACACACAAAAUUUUAAGAAAAUUCAUUUAGUAUUAUUUAUAUUUAAUCUUUAAUAAUUAAUACCUUUUUAGUUUCUAAAAACAUUAAUCACUAAAUUCUAGAAUCCAUGUUGCAAAAGAAAUAAAUGGUUAGGUAUCCUUUAUCCAUCCAUUUGAAUCGAACUAGGUAGCUAGUCAAUUAUAUACUAGUAUAUAUUCCUAUUGUUUUGGGAUCAUUAAUAACAAAAUUUAAUAGAAAUGUUUAAUUUGAUCUAUAACUCGAAACUUUCUUCCUUAGGUAUCUUUAUCAUAAAAGAUUUCUGAUGAAAUCAUCCAAUUUGAACAACUUGUGUAAUUGACCUAUAACUUAGUUACAAAAAUAUAUCUCAUGUUACACUGAUUGUUACUCCAUACAUUAAAUCCAAGCAUUUCACAGAGAAUAAUAAAGAUAACAAAUAACAUGAUGAAAAUAUAUCUCAUGUUCAUUCUUCUUUACAAUUCAUAUAUUAUACAAGAAUCGGGAAAGUGGACAAUACACAUAAAUAAGAAUCAUAAUUAUGCCAAAAAUAAUAGUAAUAAUAUGAAUUCAAUUGUAGAAAAUUUUGGUAGAAAACUUGAAAAUAAUUGUGUGUGUCUUACAUACAUCUUAACAUCAUAUCCUUUCUUAUAAUUUAUCCACCUUCAUUAUUUUUGUUUGAAGUCUUUAAUAUACCACGUAACCACCCAUAAUUCUCAAAACUUUACCAACAUAAUCUAUCUAUAUCUAUAUAUAUANNNNNNNNNNNNNNNNNNNNNNNNNNNNNNNNNNNNNNNNNNNNNNNNNNNNNNNNNNNNNNNNNNNNNNNNNNNNNNNNNNNNNNNNNNNNNNNNNNNNNNNNNNNNNNNNNNNNNNNNNNNNNNNNNNNNNNNNNNNNNNNNNNNNNNNNNNNNNNNNNNNNNNNNNNNNNNNNNNNNNNNNNNNNNNNNNNNNNNNNNNNNNNNNNNNNNNNNNNNNNNNUAUAUAAGCAUUUAGCUUAAAAUGUUGAAUUUUAAAAGGUAAAAGCCUUACUACAUUAUGUACAUUCAUUUUAUGCAUAUAAAAUCUUAUGCGAUAAAUAAAAACUAAAUCUUAUCUAUAAAAUGAAAAUGUCAAAAAAUUAUCUUCAAAUUCGCCAAUUGAAUCGCUCAAAGAGCAGUUGAAUCGGUCAACAUAAGACUCCCCUUAAGAACUCCACUACCCGAUCGCCGCACCUAACUCUGAAUCUCGCCUCAUUCUCCACCGAAAGAAUGUAAAGUUGGUCUCUCGUACUCUCCCAUGGUGUCCCACUCAAAAUUUGUCCAUGGAAAACCCUAACCACUAAAUAUGAUAGCCUCUACCAACCACCAUUCUUGCCUUGCUGCUAAACAAACUACCUUCUAUCGUCUGAUAAAGCCACCACCAUUACUCUCCGUUUCUUUCUCUAUCUGUCGUCACCAUAGAAUCGAUGAAUAUUGAUUUACUUUUUAGGUAAACUAAAUUUUGAGUGUUUAUUUCCUUUUGUAUUUUUGGUUUAUUUGAUUUCAUGCUCACAUUUUGAUUUUCUGCUUCGUUUAGUGCCUAGGAUCGAUGCAUAAGUUGACCACUUUAAAAAGAAGGAAUCCUCUUUGAUUGUAAAUAUCCAUAUAUCUAUGCACACGGAUGUUUAUGUUUCCUACUCCUGGUGAAUACACACACCAUGAACCCUAGAAAUAUAUUUUGUUUCUCUCUAGAUGAAUACACACAACACCACGAACCCUACAAGCGCCAUCUUUAUGAUCUGGUAAAUUGUUUUUCUAUUAGGAUUUUCACUUUGACGUUGAGGUACCAAAUAAUGUGUUUAUUUCAUUAUCUUCAUAUUUUUUGGUUGUUGGAGUUUAAUGAGAUGCUCCAAACAUAACUGUGAACCAAGUUAUAAGAUUUUUCUUAUGAUCAUUCGACUCCAGUUGUAUCCUUUUGACCAAUAAUUGCUUAUUAACUUAAAUAUUUUAGGUGAUAUAUGAUGACUAAUCAUGACUACUACAAGUAGAUUCUGGCCCACGAGUCCAAUUUUCCCUCAUACAUGUAACACAAUUCUCAACAACUUAUUCACUUUCUUAUCUCAUCAAUUUACAUAGUUUUCAUGAUUAUGCUAUAUUGAAACUUGUUAAUUGUUACAGUUGAUCAAAAUUUUCUUUUUUAGCUUAAUAUUCAAAAGAUGUUUGUAUGUAAUUAGAUUGUAAUCCUUGUAGUUUAGUGUUAAUGCAUUUUGGUAUUUUUGGGUUUUUUGCUAUAGACAGAUCUCUCGUUUGAGUAAAAAACAUGAAAUCAAUUGAUUAAUCCAAGGUAUAAAAUUGAUUUAGAAAAAGGGCUUGGGCCAUAAUUUAAUUCCUUAUUAUUAUGUGCUCUAUAGUAUAGGAAAUUUGUGAAAAGGCAAGGUAUUUCAAGAAUGUUAUACCAUUAACAUAUUGUUAUUUGUCUCUCUUUCUCUUCCUCUUUGUCUCCUAAAAUAAUAUUCAAACAAACAUGUUUACAACAGGGGAUAAAUGGAACGAACGAAAGCUUAAUUUUGUGUGUUUGCUUUAUAAGGAAACAAAGUUUUGUAACCAUGAGUAUUGAUUUAUGCUAAUGUUAAAUAUGGCACACCUGAUCACGUGAUGAACCUCUAUCAACCCCAACAAAGACGAAGAUAAAGAAAGACACUCACCAUUGGUUUUUGGAUGCUCGAAACUUACGAUGUAACGACAUGGUUAACAGCUGAUUAACCCUCAUGUUUGUUUAGAUUGGGAACGGGCAUGUUUAUACUUAUGUUUGGACUGCAACUGAUGUUUUAGUUUGGUAAGUCAGUUGUUUUUUUAUGGUUUUGAUUGGUACGCACUUUGAUUAUGGUUUAACUUUAUUUUGAUUGAUAUAGUUGGUGGUAUUUGUCUAUUCCUCCAUAGUUAUCUUUAUAAAUUUUCAAGUGUUGAUUUAGUUUGACAUUAAGGGUUGAAAUUAAUAGUCUAGCUGUCAAAAUUUUAUAAUGACCAUUUUGCCCUUGGACUAAAACUAAAACACAAUAACGACAAGGACUAACUAUGUAAUUUUAGAAUGUCCUUGAAUAAAAAUUUUAAAUUACAGAUGUGCUCUUCUUUUUGAAAGUUUAAAACAAAAUCAAAGGAUAAGAGCUAUUUACAAAUUUACUUUUGUGGUGUACUUUUUCCUAUUAUCCAAGGGCUAAAUUGUAAUGCCCCGAUUCUCAGGUAUUGUUUAAAUAAGAAUUUUUGGGUUAAGCUCUACUCGACGAUUUGGUUUACCUACUUAUUGGGUAGCAGCGGGGUGGGAUCGUGUGUUAAGUGACCUACUCGAUGAGUCCAUAUUGGGACUCGGCGAGUAGGAGCAGAAAAAUGAAACCGUAAAUCCCAGGGUUUGCACCUCUAUUUAAAGGAGCCUCAGCCUCCUUUGGCCUCUUUGUAGUGUUUGAGAGCCCCUUAAAACCCUAAUACGAGUGUGUGUGUGUGUGCUCAUUGUGUGUUUGAAGCUUGAAAAGAGGAUCUUUGGGGGAGAAGGCUUGGAGGAGAAGGAGAUUGGUGCAAGUAGAGUGUGGGAAUCAACUCCAAUCUCAGUUAUCCUCUUCUAGAGGUAACCUCAUCGCCUUUUUCCUUGUGAAUCGCUUUUAUUGGUUGAGUUUUCGGGUUUUUGGUGAGAUAUUAAGUUGGAAAGACAAGCUAUGGGCUAGAUCUGAGGUUGUAGCUUCAGAUUUGGACCCUCCUUGGAUUCUAGAAGCAUAAAGUUUCAGCUUUGGUCAUGAUUAAGGUCCCUCUUGAGCAUGAAGUUCCAUUAAGAACUUAAAAUAGGCAUUUAGAGCCUUUAAAGCCAUGCAUGCACGUAAAGUUUGCAACUUUACGUGAUAAGCAUGCCCUAGAAGCUUGGAUCUAUGAUUUGGUGCCGCUGCAUGUCUCAAAACAAGUCUGUAUGAAAAGAGGACUAAAUGGACUCGACGAGUCGCAAGGUUGACUCGGCGAAUCACAUGAAGAUGGCGGUGAACUCGACGAGUUAGAUGAACAACUCGGCGAGUCCGGUGAAGAUUACCAUAAGACUCGAUGAGUUGAAGAACAACUCGGCAAGUCGGAUGAGUUUUCCCUAGGAUAUGUAUGUGUGAGUAUCCGUCGAGUUGCAAGGAGGGAACUCGACAGGUGAUCAUAAAGGUUGGACAAGAAUCGAAGGAACUCGACGAGUCACCCCGAUGACUCGGCGAGUUGUAAUGUGCUUCAAGGAACUCGGCGAGUAGCCGGGGGUACUCGACGAGUUGGGGGUCAACAUGGACUGUUGACCUUGACUGAGGAAUUUGACUUUGGGCAGGGGUUGACUAGUGGGUUAUGGAGUACCUUAUAAGGUUAAGGACUUAUGAGUAUAUUGUACUAUGAUCAUAGGUGGUGCAGCCUGUGUCAAGUGAUCCGAGAGUUGGAGUUUAUCUUCCGAGUUGACAUCUACAAGGUGAGUUAUCCUCACUAUAUCGAUAAGGUCUACGACACCAAGGCCGACCCUUUAGUUGUUAUUGUUAUGGUAUGCUACCUGUGGUUAUGAUCUGUUAGAUCGGAAUCAGGAUAGACAGUACGUUAUGCUCUUAUGAUCCGUAAGGAUUGGUAUGUUAUUGACUUGCUAGGUCGGUACUCUAGUUACGAGAUAAUUCUAUGAUUGAUGAUCAGUGUGAUAGAUAUGUUUGAUGUUUGUAUAUGCCAGUUUAUGAUAGAUAUGCGCACAUGGUUAUUUGCUUGAUUGGUUGGGUUGAGGCGGUCCUGCUUUGUCUUGAAGGCCAACAUACCCUAUGAGCGGUCCGGGGAGACUGUAGGCCCACGAGGCGGACCAGUCAUGCCGAAGGCUCGGGAUAGAUUCAGAUAGACUGUAGGCCCAGUAAGGCGGUCCAAUCAGGCCAAUGGCCAUUAUGCAUGUUGAUUUAUUGAUUGAUUGUUACUAAUAUGGCAUUGUCAGUGUGGUAUUGGUAUUUUGGGGGUAGCUCACUAAGCCCUCGGGCUUACAGUUUUCAGUUACAUCAGGAGAUCAUGGCAAGACGAAGGCAUGACCGUGCCACUCCUCAUCCUUAUGUUAUGAUUUUGGGACACUCUGAUGGAUAUUGAUUUGAAAACAUUUUUUUUGUAAACGAUGCUAUUUGAUUUUUAAUUGUGACUAAAAAGUUUAAAUUUGGCGCAAAAUUUAUGGAUGUUACAUAAAUGGUUUUUUUAAAAAGUCUUAACAGCUAGGCUAUUAGCUUAGAAAAAUUGUAGAUAACGUUUUGGGACCAAAUUGUAAAAAUUGAGGGCCAAAAUGUAAUUUUGUCGAUAAAAGAAAUAAAAAGAAAUUACAUUUUCAUUUAUGUGUAUUUCAUUUAUAACAUCUUACUUUCUGUUAUAUGUGUACUAUAGCAUCGUACUUUCGAUUCGUUUUGGAAAUAACAAUAUGCUUUCAAUGUUCCAUCCUACAUUCUGUAAUAUCUAUUACAACUUUGUACUUGAAAUGUUUACCAAUUAUAGAAAUGACAUACAAGGAAAAAUGAAAGUACAAUGCUAUAUUUAUAUUGGGUAGAUUUUCGAUAUACAAAGGCUUAUUAAGAAAAGAAUUUGAAGUACAGUGUAAUACACAAAUAAAUCAAAAUAUAUUGCAACAACCACAUAAUAAUGAAGCCUCAUUGUCUUUUAAUAUUCCUGAUGAAAAUUUUAGAAAAUUGUGAUUAGUUAAGACACCUGAUGAUGACGUAUGUGGCCAUUUAUCUUAAUAAUAUUUUAUUUUGUACGUUAAAUAAAAUCUAUCCAAUUAGGACAUCCUACUUUAAAUCUACACUCUGGUUGUCGCGGAUCUACAAGAUAUGGAAUGAACUCACAUGCACAUAGAUCAAGAAAACAACAUCAACCCCCAUAUACACACUCUCUACGAAUGACUCUGCCAAUGGCCCUUGAAAUUGCUUUUUAGAGUCCUGACCUUUUCUUUUUUGAUUUAUGCCGUAACAUGUUUGAUGAAUCCUCAAGCUGAUUUUGCUAUAUAGGGUUUAUUUUUUUUCUACAUUUUAUAUGUUUUUCUUUUUUGUAUAAUGAAGCGUCGAGUUGUUGAUUUUGCUAUAUAGGGUUUAUUUUUUCUGCACUUCUGCCACACUCUACCAAUGGCUUUUUCAAUGAUCCUUGAAAUUGCAGUUGUGGAGUUUUUAUAACCUCAUUUGUUUGAUUCAUUAUAUUGUGAUAACAUUAUUCGUGUACAAACAUGGUUUGUAUUUACUUUUUUUUAAUGUACUUCCCAUAUAGAUGUGUUUCCGGCCCAACAACUAAUUACUUUGACAAAAACAAGGUACUGACUUUAGGAUUAAUAUAUAUAUAUAUAUAUAUAUAUAUAUAUAUAUAUAUAGUAGACGAAUGCCCGUACGUUGCACAGAAACACCGAUAUAGUUGAAAUCUUUAAGAAUAUAUGUUUUUUUUAAAUAUAACAAUAAUGCUAUUGUUAAAUUUGAUAUAAUCAGUUGUAUACUAAAUUGAUAGAAUAUAUUGAUUAUUUUAAAUUAUAUGAUAAUAUAUAUCUAUUAUAAGUUCAUAAUUCUACCAACGAAUUAUACAUGAAUAAAAUUAAAUAUAAUAUAUGGUUUAAUGUUAUUUAUAGUUGUUAUUGUUAAUUAAUUUUUUAAAAUUUAUUUGUUUAUGUUUUAAUUCUGUCAGUAUAAUUAUUUAAAACAUCAACCAUUACUUUUUAAUUUUAAAGGUAACAAUAUAAUCAUUUAUAUAGAGUUAUUUUUUAACUAUUGUUAUUGUAAGUUAUUUUAGGCUAUUUAUUUGGAAAUUUUUAAAGUUUAUAAAAAUAUCUUUUGGAAAUAUUAUAGUUAAAUUGAGAUUAUAAUUUACUUUUUUGCAUUUAUCACUACAAUUUAUCAGUUUUAACUGGUUACAAAAUAUUCUUUAGUUUUUUAAGUGGAACUGAAAUUUAUAUUUAAGUUGAAACUGUAAUUUUAUAUUUAAGUUAACAAUUUUUAAUUAUUUUAUCCAAACUGUUCAAAAGUUGAAGCUUUCAACUGAUAAUGGUUUACAUAUAACAACAUAUUAAAUCAAAUAAAUUAAGUAUAUUAUGUUAAAAGUUAAAGACAUAACUUUAUAAGUAGAAGUAAAGAUAUUAUUUUAAAAUUAAAUUUUAGUUUAUUUAUGAUUACAGUUUAGGUUUGAUAUUUAUUUAACCUUAUUAACCAAUUAAUGAUCAUUAUUAGAAAAACACUAUAAUUAUCACUUUUAAUAUAUAUAUAUANNNNNNNNNNNNNNNNNNNNNNNNNNNNNNNNNNNNNNNNNNNNNNNNNNNNNNNNNNNNNNNNNNNNNNNNNNNNNNNNNNNNNNNNNNNNNNNNNNNNNUAUUUAUUAAAUUAAUUAACCUAAUUAUAAUUAUUAUUAGAAAAAGAAAAAACAUCAUAAAUGGUCCCUAUGGUUACCCAAAAUCUGAAGUUUAGUUCUCGUGGUUUAAAAACCUCAUAAAUAGUCCCUGUGUUUUCAAAACUUUUGAUGUUUGGUCCUUUUUGCUUACUCCGUUAACUGAAGGGUAUUUUCAUCAUUUCACCACCACAGGGACCAUUUAUGAUGUUUUCUAGUAUUUUUUAAAAAAAGAAAAAACUAAACAUAAUGAAAUAUAUAAAAGGUCUCUCUCUCUCUCUUUCUUUGUCUCUCUCUCUCUCUCUCUCUCUCUCUCUCUCUCUCUCGCGCGCGCGCGCGCGUCAGCAACCAACACAUAUAUUGGUUUGUUCUUCAAUAAUCAAGAACACACAUAUAAACAUACCACCACCACUACCAAGAUAAUCGGUAAAGUAACCCUCAAGGAUCAAUCCUAUGUUGUCUACAAUGCAUUGGAAGCGUUCCACCAACCCUUUCUUCUACAUUAACAAACCCCCAAACCAGUGAAUUCAGAAUCGUUUCCGGAACAGUUUUGCUUUUUUUGAAUCUGAAAUCAUUUCUGGAAGAGAACUAAAUACAUCCCAACCCUUCUGCAAACAAACAUACAAAGAAACCAGAAAAAUAAAACCCAACAUUAUUCAUCGUUUUGAACCCUUCCUUUCCCAUUUUCUCCCUUCUUCUUGUUUUUGUUCUUAUUUAUACACCAAAUACCCACCUGAUCAAAUAAUUCACACAUCAAGAGGGGCUGUUUUGGGACAAGAUCCAGAAUAAUCCCAGAAUCCAUGUGUGGCUUUCGUUUCUGGGAUGAUUUGGAACCAAAAAAAUCAAAUGAAGCUCUAAUAGAUACCCAGAUGUGGAGUGGUUUUCGCCCGAUAGAUAACCAUAUAUGGAAUCGAAUCAAUCAAAUCCUAAAGAGAAGAAGAAGAAAAUAUUUAGGGUUGGGAGAAAGAAGACACACAGAGAUGCAAACCUAAAUGGGUUAUUGCUGGUUGCACAUACUAGAAAACUUGGUCAAGGUGUGUCUGUAAAAAGGUCAACAAAACUGAAUUCAGAUGAGCUGAUCUGAGAAGGAGGAAUUAAAGGGUGUAUACCUAAUGUGGAAUUAAAGGGUUGACGACUGCAAGUCGAUUGAAGGGAAAGGGGUAGGAGACUCAGAUUCGUCGGAGAAUCAACAUUAAUCUGGGUUUCUUUAAGAUCGAUUCAUGGAUGAGAUAAUAAGGUAGUGGGUUGCUGAAGGGAAUGAUGUUUCAUCGGAGGUGUUUUCACCGGCAGUGGGGUUUAAUCCUAAGGAGGUUAAGUAAACGAGGGGGGAUGACGACGAUAAGGUUGAAGCUUUUGACUGUGAAAUGUCCGACGAUUGUUGAGCAUGGUGGGAUUGGGUACGGUGGGGCGGUAGAUUUGCCACGGUGGGUGCAGUCUGUGGUCCAGGAGGAGUAGACGGUGGAGGUGUUUGAUUUGGAGUUAAUGAUGAACAAGGAUAUUGAAGAGGAAAUGGUGAGGUUGUUGCAGGUAUGAGUGUGUAUGUAAGAGAGAGAGAGAGAGAGAGAGAGAGAGAGAGAUCUAUUGGAUACUAAAUUUAAUUAUUUUUUUCUUUUUAAAAAAAUAAAAUAAAAGAAAACCUCAUAAAAGGUCCCUGGAUAGUUAAAUGACAGAAAUACCCUUUAUUUAACGGUAGAAAACUAACGGAGUUAGCAAAAAGGACCAAGCAUCAAAAGUUUUGAAAACACAGGGACCAUCUAUGAGGUUUUUAAACCACGGGGACUAAACUUUAGAUUUUGGGUAACCACAGGGACCAUUUAUAAUGUUUUUUUCUUAGACAAAAAUUGAAAAGUCAUGGGAGGUUCAAUUGAAUGUGGUGAAAGGAAAAAUGCAUGAGAGUUUCAAAUAAAUGUGAUGAUAGAAAAAAUGCUUCCAAUAUAUANNNNNNNNNNNNNNNNNNNNNNNNNNNNNNNNNNNNNNNNNNNNNNNNNNNNNNNNNNNNNNNNNNNNNNNNNNNNNNNNNNNNNNNNNNNNNNNNNNNNNNNNNNNNNNNNNNNNNNNNNNNNNNNNNNNNNNNNNNNNNNNNNNNNNNNNNNNNNNNNNNNNNNNNNNNNNNNNNNNNNNNNNNNNNNNNNNNNNNNNNNNNNNNNNNNNNNNNNNNNNNNNNNNNNNNNNNNNNNNNNNNNNNNNNNNNNNNNNNNNNNNNNNNNNNNNNNNNNNNNNNNNNNNNNNNNNNNNNNNNNNNNNNNNNNNNNNNNNNNNNNNNNNNNNNNNNNNNNNNNNNNNNNNNNNNNNNNNNNNNNNNNNNNNNNNNNNNNNNNNNNNNNNNNNNNNNNNNNNNNNNNNNNNNNNNNNNNNNNNNNNNNNNNNNNNNNNNNAUAUAUAUAUAUAUAUCUUUACUAUAUUAUUAAACAUAUUGUCUAUUUCUUGAAAAUUAAGAGGUAUAACUCUUAUAACACCAUGUACAAUUCUAUUAAGCUUACAAUGUAAGCCUAUACACACAUAUCAACGUAACUUACGGUCUUAGCUUCUCCUCUCCGUGUAGAUGUUGGAAAACCCUAAUAUCUCCCAUCAGCCAUCAUUUCUCCGAGAUCUCUUUCGUCUCCUUCAUUACUAUCUUCAAUCUUCGGUAGCCUCGAUUACCACCAACCUCCUGACGCUGUCGUUACCUUCAAUAGCAUAUGCCGCUUCUACCUUAUGUCGAGACGAGAAAACCUAACUCUAUCUUACUGCCACCAUUAACGCCAUCAUUGCACAUCGGAAACCCUAACCCUAAAGUGGCUCAAUCUUCAUGGUACGUAUCCCCCUCCAUUCAAAAUACCUGCAAGUAUUUUUGGAAUUUCCUAUUUUUCAGUUCGUCAAAUCUCUUUUUCUCUCACUCUCUCUAUCUCUUUCUCCCAUGAUUCCUCUCUUUUUCUUGCUCAUAGAAUUGAAAGGUAUACGUUUUUCUUACUUUGACAAGAGGCCUAAUAAUAACCCUAAACGGCGCAAUAACAUUUGUUUGUUCCAGAAAUUUCUUGGAUUCGACAACGAGUUCUACAUGUUGGUCAGUAUUCAUCUUCUUGAAUUUUUUAUUUCCUUUCGAUCUAACCUUUCUCUUUAAAUUUCUUGGAUGAUUUUCCUUUGUUUCCAACAUCAAAAGAGGUUGGCAUCUACACGUUUUGCUCUAUAAGGAAAUUAGGAUUUGUUCUCUCUGUCGCUUUUCAUUUAUCUUCUUUUUUGCAUAUCUAGCUAGGAGGGCUUUUGGAAGUGGUUGGAAUAGUGAAAUUUCAUUACUAUAAUUGGUGAUCCCCCAAAAGUAGGUUCGUAUAUUGAAAUGUUGACAAUUACCUAAUGGUGCUUUCUUACCCCUGAAGACGUUAUUCAUAUUUGGGUUUUGAUAUGUUUGGAGUUCCGUAAUUCAAUGUUUAUGGAUAACCUUUUUACUAUUUUCACAAAUGUUUAAUGCUUCCAUUUCUUGGAGUAACCUUAUGGUGUUCUUGAUGGAUGGGAAAUGACUUAGGUAUGCUCUUUUUACAACUUCAUGGGAUUAUGGCCGGUUAACCUAACCAACUUAAAAUAAAUUCACUAUUUUACCAAUCUGAAAUAAUAUAUUUUAAGCCAAUCUGUCUUUUAUUUUAAGAAUAUCAAUUCUUCUGCAUUGGUGUGAUAUAAUAUGUUGGCGAGAGCUGGAUAAGCUCUAAUUUUCUAGAUAAUUAUCAACCGGUUGUAUUUCCUUGUUUGUAGCAUAUAGAUUAGAAGUUUGUUAUUUUGCAUAUGUAUAAAUCCUUGUGCUCUGUUUAUUUUAUCAUAUAUCAAAAAUUUGGAAAUCCCUUUCCUCUAUACGUAUUCUCUCAAGCUCUCAUGGUAUCAGAGCAAAUCCUUUGAAAGUCUUGUAACAGAUAAGCAAUGGUGGAAUCUGAAACUGGAGGUGGAUCUGGUUCGAAUGCACCAGUCGUUGCACAAAACAUUCAAGAUGCACCGUUCCCUUCUGGUGUCAUUCUUGACGAAAAUAAUUAUCCUUUGUGGUCUCAGUUAAUGGAGAUGUGCAUAGGAGCUCGUAACAAAUCCCGUUUUCUCACUGGAUCCUCGGUUAAACCAACAACGAAUGAGAAACUUAUCGAAUCAUGGAUCACGGAUAACAACAAAGUGAAAAGUUGGCUCAUUGAUUCAAUGAGUCCAACCCUAAUGCGAAGAUUCAUCUGACUGUAAACGGCGGCUGAAAUCUGGAGUGUUGUAUCGAAAACUUUUUAUGACGGGACAGAUGAGACCCAACUCUUUGAACUAAACCGUAAGUCCUUCAGCACUUGCCAGCACGGAAGACCUUUAGCAACUUAUUACAAUGAAUUGGUUAGUCUCUUUCAAGAGAUUGACACACGUAUGAAUGAUGAAUCUGAUAAUGUUGAGGCAGCGGUGGCGGUAAACAAGGCGUUGUCAAGAUUCAGGGUCCACAUCUUUCUUGCCGGCUUGGAUCCCGAGUUUAACCAAGUUUAGAGCGAAUAUUUUAGAAAGGACCUUCCUCUUACCCUUGAGUCUUGUUAUGCAUAUAUUCGGAAGGAUCAUAAUCAAAGGAGUGCAAUGGAGGCUGUACCCGUUGAACCCGAUAGCAUGGUCCAUGCUGCAACCCGUAACAGACCGUUCAAGAAUAAACGUCCAAACAAAAAAGGCGGAAACAAUUUCGCAUGAACUCACUGUGGAGAGAUAGGCCACUCAAAAUUAAAGUGUUACAAGAUCAUCGGUUAUCCGGACUGGUGGGAUUUUUUGAAGAAACCUAGGAAGAAGGUCAGGCAAGGACUAGCGGCGGCUGCACCUUCCUCUUCCAAUAGUGAAGGUGCUUCGGUGGCAGCCCAUACUUUCACAAAUUCUGGUAAGUCUUAUCCUAACCACACGAAAACUAGUAGUUGGAUAAUCGAUACGGGAGCCACCGAUCAUAUAACAAACAAUCCUAAUAUCUUAACCACAUCUUGUACACCAAAACAAUCGAAAAUUUAUACAGCUAAUGUAAAUGUCGAAAGUGUAACUGUUGAAGGAACAGUAAAGGUCUCUAAAUCCAUUGAAUUAGACUUCGUACUUGUUGUUCCCUCCAUAUCAACCAAUUUACUUUCAGUUAGCCAAGUUACUGAAGUUCUAAACUGUUGUAUUAUCUUCUGGCCAAAUGAUUGUGUGUUUCAGGACAUGGUGACACAUCAGAUUCGUGGCUAUGGUACUAGGAGGGGGAGACUCUAUUAUUUGGAAGAAGAUUGUAGGAGUCAAGUGAAUCACGUGGGAGUAAUAGAAGCAAAUAAGUCCAUGAUUGUGAUAUGGCACUGCCGCCUUGGACAUCUUUCUUUUGAGUAUCUUAGGAAAUUAAAACCCAAUUUGUUUUUGAAUGUAUCGAACAAUUGUUUUAAUUGUGAUAUAUGUGAACUUUCAAAAAAUAAAAGAAUAUCCUAUAGUCCUAGUACUCAUAAAGUUACAAUGCCUUUUAUGCUAAUUCACUCCGAUGUGUGGGGGCCGGCACCAAUUGCUACUCGUAAUGGUGCACGCUAUUUUGUUACUUUCAUAGAUGAAUGCACACGUAUGAUAUGGGUAUCACUUCUCAAAUACAAAGGAGAAGUUUUUAAUGCAUUUGUAGAAUUAUAUAAUCAUGUGAAAACGGAGUACAGGAGGGAUAUUCAAACUCUCCAAUCGGAUAAUGGUGGGGAAUACGUGAGCCUUGAUAUGAAAAACUUUUGCAAACAAAACUCAAUCCGCCAUCAAACUUCAUAUGCAAAAACACCACAGCAAAACGGGUUAGCUGAACGGCGAAACAAAUCUAUACUAGAGAUAGUACGUGCCUCACUCUUUGACAUGAAAGUCCCUAGGAAUUUUUUGGGGAGAGGCGGUCCGAUCUGCUGCUUACAUUAUGAACCGCACACCCUUGAGGGUGAUCCAAUUUGAUACCCUUCUUAAAAGGCUUCAUAAUCUGCUAGAAACGGAACCAAAAGUGAAUUUGGAGCCACGUAUAUUUGGGUGUACUGUAUUUGUUCAUCAAAACUCCAGUAACCUUGAACCACAAGCUGCUCGAUGCAUGUUCAUCGGAUAUGCGGAAUACAAGAAAGGUUAUAGAUGCCUUGAUCCUGACAAUGGGAAAGUGUAUGUGACCCGUGAUGUCUCAUUCCACGAGACGGUACCGUAUUUCUCGAAUGAGGUAUCACUUCAGGGGGAGAGAAAUAGUGAUGAAGUGAUCCGAAUAAGACACAAAACUCUAAUUCUAGUAAUGAUGAUGACGAAGUUGUAUGUGUAAGUGAACAGAUACCACUGACACAAAUGUUUGAUGAAUCAGUUGUGGAAACAAAUCCUUUUCAAGGAUUCGAUGAAGGUUUUGAGACAGAGACAGAGGAAGGGAAUGAUACCGAUGAUGCCAUUUUUACAGAUGUAGCCAGCUAUACAAACAAUGGUAACAAUAAUAUAAUGGGUUCUGUUUUACAGACACAUGAGCAAGAACCGGAGGCGAGUGGAAUACCUGAUGAAGAUGGCGACAACACUCAAAGACUCCCAGCACGAAGUACACGUGGAAAACCAAAGAAAAUGUACGAACCAGACCCAAAGGCGAAAAAGAAAUACCCGAUCUCAAAUUAUGUUUCUCAACAUAGGCUCGCGGAAGCACAUGCUUGUUUGGUAGAUAAUUUGGUAAGCACCACUAUUCCAGAAAAUAUUGAAGAAGCUUUAAAAUAUGAGGGGUGGAGACAAGCAGUGAAUGAAGAGAUGAAAGCACUUCAAAUGAACCAAACAUGGGAUCUAGUAACUCUUCCUCAUGGAAAAAAAGACGGUGGGGUGUAGAUGGGUUUUCACUGUGAAAUUGGACUCAAAUGGGAAUGUGGUAAAACUCAAAGCUAGGUUGGUGGCGAAAGGGUAUACACAGAAGUAUGGAAUCGAUUAUGGAGAUACGUUUGCACCGGUGGCAAAGAUGAACACAAUUAGAAUUCCCAUUUCACUUGCUAUAAAUGAAGAUUGGCCAUUAAAGCAGUUUGAUGUAGAGAACGCCUUCUUAAAUGGCUAUCUUGAAGAAGAAGUUUACAUGGACCCUCCUCCGGGUGUUGAUAGUCAUGGAAAGGUGUGUAAACUGAAGAAGGCCUUGUAUGGGUUAAAGCAAUCACCGCGAGCAUGGUUCGGACGGUUCUCUACCUUUAUGAAGAAGAUAGGUUAUAGAAAAAGUGAUGCAUAUCACACUUUGUUUAUAAAGACCAAGCCCGGGAAAGUGACGGCCCUAAUCAUUUACGUGGACAAUAUGGUAGUAACAGGAAAUGAUAAAGAAGAAAUUGAAAGGUUUCAGAAGAUCUUGGCCACUGAAUUUGAACUAAAGGACCUUGGAAGUUUGAAAUACUUCUUAGGUAUUGAAGUAGCAAGGUCUAAAAAUGGAAUAUCGAUGAAUCUAAGGAAGUUUAGUUUGGAUCUUUUAACAGAAACCGGCAUGUUGGAUUGUAAAUCCAUUGAUACGCCUAUUGAAGUGAAUCAUCACUUAGAGAUGGUUCCUGAUCAAGUGCCUGCUAACAAAGACCGUUUCAAAAGCUAGUAGGGAAGUUGAUCUACUUAUCUCACACACGACCUGACAUAGCUUAUGCUGUGUCAGUUGUAAGCAGGUUUAUGCAUGCUCCAAGUGAGAAACAUAUGCAGGCUGUUUUUCAAAUCUUAAGAUACCUAAAGUCAUCUCCUGGUAGGGGUUAUUCUUUGGAAAACAUCAAGACCAUAAUGUAAGUGGUUUUACAGAUGUUGAUUGGGCUGGCGAUCGUAGUGAUGGAAAGUCCACUUCCGGAUAUUUUACAUUCGUUGGAGGAAAUUUAGUUACCUGGAGAAGUAAGAAACAAAAGGUUGUCUCUAGGUCUAGUGCAGAAGCUGAGUUCAGAGGAAUGGUUCAUGGCACUAGUGAACUUUUGUGGAUUAAACGCAUCUUAAGGGAUCUAGGAGUAUCUCUAAGGGCUCCAAUGAAGUUGUAUUGUGAUAAUGAAUUAGCGGUGAAGAUUGCUAAUAAUCCAGUUCAACAUGAUAGAACUAAGCAUGUGGAAAUUGACAGACAUUUCAUCAAAGAUCACUUGGAACGUAAGACAGUAGAACUUCCACACGUAGGAUCGGAAGAUCAACUUGCAGACAUGUUGACCAAAGCAGUGUGUGGAAGGACUUUUCGUAUCUCUCUUGACAAGCUAGGAAUGGUAGAUAUCCAUUCUCCACCUUGAGGGGGGGUGUUGGCGAGAGCUGGAUAAGCUCUAAUUUUCUAGAUAAUUAUCAACUGGUUGUAUUUCCUUGUUUGUAGCAUAUAGAUUAGAAGUUUGUUAUUUUGUAUCUGUAUAAAUCCUUGUACUCUGUUUAUUUUAUCAUAUAUCGAAAAUCUGGAAAUCCCUUUCCUCCAUACGUAUUCUCUCAAGCUCUCAUAAUAUAAUGAUUUUUUUCUUCUAUUCAAUAAUUAAAUUUUUCUAGGUUGUAUUUUUCUAUGACCUUAAUCUUUUCUUUUUCUUUGUUUUUGCAGUCAAAGAUGCAGGAGAAAUUGGUGGAAUCUGUUUAUUGCUAACAUUCAUUUUGCAUUCUAUCUUGCUUUUAAACUUUUCAUUGACUUAGUUGUAUUGGUUUUUGUGUUUUUCAAUCAUGUAUACAUGAAUUUUUAGCUUUUGUUGAAGCUGUUACAAGAACGAGGUUGUGGCCAGUUAAAAGUAUAAAGAUUGGUUUAAAGGUGUUCAAUAAUCAUGAGGGGCAUUAUUAUUUUAAAUGCAUAUUAAAAACAAGGUUUUUGUCAUCCAAGUAUGUGCUACUUACUAAUGUGGAACAUGGUUUUUGAGAACCACAUGUAAGCAUUUUAUCACAAAAAGAAGACAAAGGUAUGCAAUCAUUUCUUUGUGUACUUGACCACGAUCUUCUAAUAUAUUUGUUGUUAUAUUGCCAUGGUUCACAAGUAUUUUCUAGACAAGUAAUUCUCCAUGUUACAUGUAAGAACAGAUAAAAUGGCUACAUGUCUAGAAAUUUACUCUACAAUGAAUAGGUAGUACACAAUAAUCUUCUAGUGAUUGAUAUAUGCCUACGAAAUGUUGUGGUGGUGUGUUUGUUUGUUUGUUUGUUUGUUUUUUCCAUAUUUGUAUCUCAUGUACAAUCAAUGUCAAUGAAUGGUGUUUUGUUCGUUUUCAUUUUUGACAGUGCUUGAAGAAAGAAAAGAAUACGGUGGGGACAUUAUUUUUCCAAAACUCAGGUUAAAAUUUUUGAAGUACGGUGGGGACAUUAUUUUUCCAAAACUCAGGUUAAAAUUUUUGAAGUUUCUAUGAUCAGAAGAAGGGCACCACACCAUGCCAUGUUUUCUUUGCUAAAGUGUAAAAGACGGGUUUGUAGCUGCCUAAAAGUCAAAUCUUGUGGUUGUAAUUUUGUUUACUUUCGGUGUUACGAAAAUAUAUAUAUAUANNNNNNNNNNNNNNNNNNNNNNNNNNNNNNNNNNNNNNNNNNNNNNNNNNNNNNNUAUAUAUAUAUAUAAAUAACAAAUAUGUUAUAAAUUUAUAAAAUCUAUUGUAAGAUAUUGACACAUUAAUAUAACUUUUUUCGUUUGCUUGAUUGUUCAUACAUUUAACUCAUGAGUUUCCUUUUUAAUAGAUUUUCUAUUGGGAGAUUUAAUUUUAAUUUUAGAUACAUUUAUUGAUUUUCUUUUAAUAUAAUAAUAUUUUUUUAUCGAAAAAUGUUGUGAACGUUUGAUUAGUGUUUAUGCAUAUAUAAAAGUUAUACAAUGUGAAUCUAUGAAUUGAUGAUAUUUUUUUAUAUACUAUAUUUUUUAUCUAUAUUUUUUUAAUUUUCUGGCAUUAAAUGAAAACACCAAAAUAUAAGUCUUAAAACUUGAUGAAAAUGAUAAAGGUUGUAAAUAUUGACAAUUUUAGUCCAACUAUUAAUUCAACUUGAUAGGCACAACAUAUGAGUCUCGUAAACAAUUAGGGUUAAAAAUUUGACAUUCUGUUUUUACAACCUAUAGAAAUCUAUUUUUUGAAAGAGAAUGUAUGCCACGACGCCAACUAAAAGGAAACAAAGCGUCAAGAAAAAUAUUGAUCAUGUGUGCCAUUACGAAAAUUGAGUAAUAUAAUUGAACGAGAUUAGCUCAAGUACAACACUAAAUCAAAAUGCAUAAAAGCGGAACUAAAAUGAAAUAACUAAAUCUGAACAAAAAAUGUGAUUUCAAACCUAAAAAGCUAACAAAAAAGACUGAUAGAACAACUAAGCUUGAUGAAACCCAACUGAAAAAAUAAGACGUGUUAGAAUCGGUUUUUUCGCAUGACUGACUUUAUGUGACAUUAUUCAGAGGGAUAUCACGUGCCAAUCCAUGAGUGAACUUUGACGAGCAAUUAAAUGUCAAUGAAGUCUAUACAUCAAAUGUGAUGUAUAAAGAUAUGUUGCACGAUUAAUAAUACACAAUCAAUAAUGUGCUCAUUUAUACUAGCAUGACUCUUAUUCAUAAUUAUUUAUAUGUAAUAAACUAUUUCCAUAAAACAAUUAAUCGGCUGUAAAAACUAAUUUGAGUAAAAAUUAUUUGCACCCGUUGCUUGGCGUGGGUAACGGCUAGUAUAUAUAUAUAUAUANNNNNNNNNNNNNNNNNNNNNNNNNNNNNNNNNNNNNNNNNNNNNNNNNNNNNNNNNNNNNNNNNNNNNNNNNNNNNNNNNNNNNNNNNNNNNNNNNNNNNNNNNNNNNNNNNNNNNNNNNNNNNNNNNNNNNNNNNNNNNNNNNNNNNNNNNNNNNNNNNNNNNNNNNNNNNNNNNNNNNNNNNNNNNNNNNNNNNNNNNNNNNNNNNNNNNNNNNNNNNNNNNNNNNNNNNNNNNNNNNNNNNNNNNNNNNNNNNNNNNNNNNNNNNNNNNNNNNNNNNNNNNNNNNNNNNNNNNNNNNNNNNNNNNNNNNNNNNNNNNNNNNNNNNNNNNNNNNNNNNNNNNNNNNNNNNNNNNNNNNNNNNNNNNNNNNNNNNNNNNNNNNNNNNNNNNNNNNNNNNNNNNNNNNNNNNNNNNNNNNNNNNNNNNNNNNNNNNNNNNNNNNNNNNNNNNNNNNNNNNNNNNNNNNNNNNNNNNNNNNNNNNNNNNNNNNNNNNNNNNNNNNNNNNNNNNNNNNNNNNNNNNNNNNNNNNNNNNNNNNNNNNNNNNNNNNNNNNNNNNNNNNNNNNNNNNNNNNNNNNNNNNNNNNNNNNNNNNNNNNNNNNNNNNNNNNNNNNNNNNNNNNNNNNNNNNNNNNNNNNNNNNNNNNNNNNNNNNNNNNNNNNNNNNNNNNNNNNNNNNNNNNNNNNNNNNNNNNNNNNNNNNNNNNNNNNNNNNNNNNNNNNNNNNNNNNNNNNNNNNNNNNNNNNNNNNNNNNNNNNNNNNNNNNNNNNNNNNNNNNNNNNNNNNNNNNNNNNNNNNNNNNNNNNNNNNNNNNNNNNNNNNNNNNNNNNNNNNNNNNNNNNNNNNNNNNNNNNNNNNNNNNNNNNNNNNNNNNNNNNNNNNNNNNNNNNNNNNNNNNNNNNNNNNNNNNNNNNNNNNNNNNNNNNNNNNNNNNNNNNNNNNNNNNNNNNNNNNNNNNNNNNNNNNNNNNNNNNNNNNNNNNNNNNNNNNNNNNNNNNNNNNNNNNNNNNNNNNNNNNNNNNNNNNNNNNNNNNNNNNNNNNNNNNNNNNNNNNNNNNNNNNNNNNNNNNNNNNNNNNNNNNNNNNNNNNNNNNNNNNNNNNNNNNNNNNNNNNNNNNNNNNNNNNNNNNNNNNNNNNNNNNNNNNNNNNNNNNNNNNNNNNNNNNNNNNNNNNNNNNNNNNNNNNNNNNNNNNNNNNNNNNNNNNNNNNNNNNNNNNNNNNNNNNNNNNNNNNNNNNNNNNNNNNNNNNNNNNNNNNNNNNNNNNNNNNNNNNNNNNNNNNNNNNNNNNNNNNNNNNNNNNNNNNNNNNNNNNNNNNNNNNNNNNNNNNNNNNNNNNNNNNNNNNNNNNNNNNNNNNNNNNNNNNNNNNNNNNNNNNNNNNNNNNNNNNNNNNNNNNNNNNNNNNNNNNNNNNNNNNNNNNNNNNNNNNNNNNNNNNNNNNNNNNNNNNNNNNNNNNNNNNAUAUAUAUAUUAUUGGGAGGGCAAAUGAAAUACAGCAAAACUUGAUUAGCUAAGCCUUUGUAAAAACAAUUAAAAGCGUUUGUAACAUCAGAGGUGAAGUUGAUGAAUUCUUGGCUGUCUAGAAAAUACAGCACGAUGUAUGUGAUGCUAGAACUUAAUUGUGGCAAGAUUUGAAAGUAAACGCAUUUUUUUUGUGGAAUGGAAUAGGAUUUAUAUUAGAUCACUUAUCGAAUACUUUUUAUACAAAAAUUUUCACAUGAUUAUUAUUAAUAGUGUAAAUCUUGGAUUAUAUAAUAUUUCUACCAAGGGAGUAUGUAACCUUUGGAUUUAUGUUUGAUGCAUUUUUGCAUACCAGGUUAAAGAGUUUUAUAAUGAAAGAGUCUACGUGGUGACUUUUGUUUAAAAGUUUCUACGAGAUUAAGUAAACACCCGGCUUUUAAAAAUGAAUUUGGGUUAAUAAGUUAAUUUCAUGAAAAGAAACAUAAUUAACAGGAACCUUAUUAAAAUAAUAUGGAUUGGUACUAUGUUGUUUUAGUUACCCAAAAGUAAAGUAAUUUUUUUUACAUUUCAUGAAAAAUUAUACAAAAAGAAGGUAAUUUAAACAAAGUUUUUAUUGUAAACUUUAAUUUAUAAAUAUAAAAUAAUUAUUUUACAUAAUUCAUCCACAUGGCCUAAGGAGUAAAGCAAAAUCUAAAAUUUAGAUAAACAAAACCAAAUUAAUUUUUUUAACUAAUGUUUAUUAAUCCAGAAGCAAUAAUAAUUAAAUGCAAAUAAAUAACAGUUGACGAGAUAAAAAUGAUAUGGUAAUAUAUAUGUUAACAAAAAACAGUGAUAUGAUUUUAUUUUAACCAAACGACGGCUAUCCACAUUGAUAAAUCAUAAAUGUUAAAGCAGUCGGAUAAUUGAAAAAAACAUAAAAAAAAAAGCAAAAAAUACUUGCAAAGCCACCGAAUAAGUUUCUAAGACAAACAUCAUUCGUUUAUCUUUUUAUUAUUAUUUGUUUUGCCAAAAUAAAUAAAAUAAAAUAUAUGAUUUUUCAAAAAUAUUUAAUUUGAGAAAACUUAGAAAAUCAUAUCUAAAUAGAUUGGAUUUUUUUAUUCUUCUUUGUAUGAUAUGAAAAAAUUUAUAUAAAAGUAGUAAACAAAUUUAGAAUUUUUUUUCUAUAAAUAAACUAUAAUAUCGACAUAUUUUCAUAUUCAAUUAUGAUUUUAUAAUUUCUAAUCUUUUUUGAUUUCUUAUUUUUUGUAAUAGAUCAUUCGUUUCUAAAUAAUUUAUUUGAAUUUUGAUGGCUCUCAAGAUCAUCUAGAUACUCAAUAUUAUGAAAACUCUACGUUUUUUAAAAUCCAAAUCAAAUCUUUGUCACUGGAAAUCUUAAAACCUCAUAACAUAUUAAAGUUAAUAUUUUGAAAAACUUUUAUUAGAAUAAAAAAGAUUUACAAAUUAUAUUUAUUUUAUUAUCAAUUUUUGUAACUUGGUUAAAUACUUAGUGGUUUUUAUAGUUUGAUCUGAUAGUCGCAAAGAACCAUUCACCAGAAUGAAUUAAUUACCGCUUGAAAAUAUUGUUGUAUGUCACAUUGCGCGUGUCAAUACAAAAAUAUUAGUGAAGUCUGACAAACAAUUCAACAACGGGGAAGUUUAUACAUCAAAUGUGGUGUAUAAAAUAGUGUUAUACGAUUAAUAAUACAGAAUCAAUCUUAUGUUCAUGAACAUUUAUAAAUAAUCUCAAAUUUUCAUUUAUAAUUCUUAUUGAUUUCGUUUAUGCUACCAUGAUUCUUAUUGAUAAUUGUCUAGAUGUAUUAACUAUUUGCAUAAAAUAAUUAAUCGCCUCUACAAUUUAGUUUCUAGAAGAAAUUAUUANACAGAGCUAGGUUCAAAUGUGGAUUGAUAUCUAUUGUGUGGACGUGUGGACAUGUUAUUCUGUGAGAAUGACAAAGAAAAAUUAUGUUCUUUGAUAAUGUGAAUACAUUCAAUCUUACAUAACUAUUGUCAUUAUUACACAUUCUCAUUAAUUAAACCAUCUAUCAGGUUAUUAUAGAUUUUUUUAUUAUUCUCAUUUUGUCAUAAUAUUGUCAGAACUUUUAUUGAGUCGUAUUCUGUAAAACUAAAAAUGAAUGAUAACGAUGUGUGAGAACAAAAAUGAAUAAGAAUUAGUGAAAAUGCAUGAAAAUGACAAUAGUUAUGUGAGGUUGAAUGUAUUCAAAUUACUAAAUAACAUAUUCUAUUAACAAUUCUUAUAGAAUAACAAUGUCCACACUGCCGUACAAUAGUUGUCCAUCCAANAAGUUUAAUUUAUUAAAUUAGACCACAUAGUAUUUUAAAAGUGUAAAAUACACCAUUAUAAUAUAUAUAUAUAUAUAUAUAUAUAUAUAAUUAAAAAGGAAAGAAUAAUCAUAAAUUCUUUACAUAUAAAUAUGUUUAAUUCUAUAUUGAGUAUAUCAUUUAUGAUUAUUCAAAUAUGUAUAUUUAUUGUUCAUUAUUCAUAUAUGAUUAUCGAGUAAUCCAAUAUGAAUAACACUAGUACAAAAAUAACAUACGUUCACAUUACGUUCACUUUAAAAAAAAAUGUGUUAUUUACUUGUCACUAUAAAAAAAAUGUGGCCAAAUCUGACCAACUACCAUGAUAUUUGUGUUUUUUACAAAAAUGUGUCAUUUACUUGCCACGGUAAGAAAAUGUGUCAUAUCUAACGCAUCUGAUCUAUCCUCUACAAUCUCAGUUGUAUUGUUCUUUCUAUUUUCUUCACCAAUAAACUCAACUAGUGUGUCAACAUUCAUAUAGAAAUCAUCCAUGUCCAUCUCUACAUCAUCUAUAAUGUUCUCUUUGUCUACUUAAUACACACUAUCAUCAUUAUCUUCAGUUCCAUCACUACCAUCACUACUAUAAUUAUUAUCUCUUUCUUCUUGGCCAUUGUCUUCUCGUUGUUCCAUAUAACAUCUUUGUGGUCAUCGUUCUGUCUUUCUUCUUGGUCCAUGAAACCUUGGUAGUUCAUGAAAUUAUCUGGAACCAUAUCCUCAUUUUACAAAACAUGUUAUAUUAUCGUAAGCUCAUCUUUGCUCUGUGAAAUCCAACAAGUUUUCUAGAUCUAACACAACUUGUUUAUCAAGAAAAUCUCUAUGAUCCAUUGCAUCAUCGUGGUCCAUGGUAUCUGUGCGAUCCAUUGCAACUAGGUGUCAAUGCUAUCUUCAUGGUGUUCUUGGUAUAAUGUAGCUUAAUUGUUCCUUAGUAAAAUUUGUGUUAUCCAUUAUGACUUGGUGGUCCAUGGUAUAUUCAUACUCCAUGGUAGCUUGGUGUUGUUGACCUUUACGCAUAUCACUAACCUCAUCAUCUCUUAUCAACAUGCCAUCAUCAUUGACCUCAGCAACACCAUCAAAGUUAGGACCAAUUACAUGGUGUUCUUUACCCCUGCUCAUAUCACUGAUGAACUCAUUAUUUCUGAUCCUUAUGUGAAUCACAUGGUCCAUGUUCAACUUCGUACUACAAUAUGUAACAAAUUUGUUAUGUUAUCAAACCCUUUUCCUCUUAUAUUUUGGAGACAAUAUUAUACUCUUGGCAUUCACAUUAGCUAAAUUAACCUCUCAUUUUUCAACAACUAAAACAAGAGAUGUCUCUCUUUUAGGCGACUGAACUUUAUUAACAAUGAUGGUUAAUUAUGUCCUCUGUCUCACUAAUCUCUUCAAUAAUAACCUUUAUCUUGUUGUACUUCACAAACUGAGCAAUUUUGUAUACAUCUUCAUCGUUACACAAAACAUGAAGUCUAAAGUGGCAGUCACUAUUAGGUAUGAGGAAGUGCUAGUAGAUUGUAUAGCAUAGCCCAAACCUUUCAUUAUUAUAUCAAGUUGGUGAACCAAAAGCUCAUCAAUAUUCACCGUAUCAAUGUACGAAAUAGUGCCAUCAAUGUACUUCAUGUUUAAAAGUCUAGUCAACUCACCACCGUGGUAAAGUUUAAUGGUGAACAAAGAAGAUAUCCCAUCUUCAAAACAUGGAGAAAGAAGGUCACAUUUUUACUCGUUUUUUCAUAAUUGGAAAAAGAUGAUCAACUUAUAGUAGAAAGCUUUGGGGUCCACUCUAUGUUUCUAUGUCGAAAUUACUACAUUUUAAAGCUCGUGAACAAGGAACAUGACGAACUAAAGAAACUUGAUUCGGGUUUUAACGAGGAACAACACUUUCAAUGAUGGUAACGAGGGGGCAACUGAUAAUUAAGGAUUAUUUAUGCAAUCGGGAAACAAGUUGGAUUUAACAUGUGUUUUGCAUAACUAUUAAGUCGAAGGACCAAUUCUACAUAAAAAUUUUAAUUUUCGAUAGAGCAUGCGAACAAAAUAAAUUGGACUCGAAUCGUACUUCUUUUAUAAACCAUAUGGACCAAUUGUCCAAUUUAACGAAGAGUGUACAUAUAAAUGCAAACAGCUUUCAAAUGUUCACAGUCGCAUCCCAUGAAUAUCCCACAAUCAUUUACAAUUAACUUUUACAAGUUGAAGUCCUACCGAAAAUUCACUAAUAAGCUGUAUAAUAUUGCACAACAAUUGAUUAAAAAAAACCCUAAGGUAUCUGUUAAUUCACGAUGAUCCAAACGACGCAUUCGUAUUCUGCACCCGCAAGUCAUGGUAGAACCGGCUAAUGAACUGCUCAGCCGCGUCAUUCACCUGGUUGUCCUCGUCCACACUACUUAACGGAAACGGAGAGUCGGUUACCCUCAGCUGCCUAACCAUCGGUGUACUCCCAAACCCUGGAAGCGCCGGUGAGGAAUUGUCGCUGUGAAUCAUCUCCAUGGCUUUAAACACAGCGUUAACAGCCAUCAUAUCAAGAUGAUCCUUCGAUGGUUUGCUGUUGGAGUGAUGUUUCUUGUGGAAUGAAAAUAGAGAGAAAGGGUGGUUACUAGUGAGCGCAGGGCUGUUGCUGCAGCUGAACUCAUAUUCACCUAGCGGAGUUGAAGGGAAAGAGACGUCGUGGGAUCGGUGGUUGGUGGUGAAAGAUGCCCGGUUGUUAUGGUGGUGGAACAUAAGGUUCUGUAAGGCUUUUCCGGCGAUCUUCCCACGCUUUAUCAUCAUGUUGAGGUCCAGCAACAACUUUCUCUUGGAUAUGCCUUUUCGCAGCAUGAAGUAAACCACACGAACCAGAUUCCAAACUUUCUUGGGCAAAACCGGUAGAUUUUG
rnacentral:lncRNA from 1 species